rnacentral:lncRNA from 1 species
CAACUUUCUAAUGCCACGAGGAGGUAUAUUCUUAUACUUUAAAUAAUUAUUGCAAAUAUAUUUACAAUGUCUCACUAUGUAAGCCUUUUUUUAUUUUUCAGAUCAAUUUUAACUUGUUGAUUUUGGAUAUCCAAACAUGCCUAGAUUUCUUGCCCCUUAUGGAGGCCAAAGAUAUCAUCUGCAUGGCUAUGUUGAAUGAGGAAGACUAUGUGGGAAGGAAGAAUUGUUCAACUAUAGACACUCCUCGUGCCGUAACAUUAUUGAAUGUUGCAUUGGAGUUUUAAAGAAAAAAUGUUCUAUUUUGAAGCUGAUUACCAAUUAUCCACUUAGUAGGCAAAGACAAAUCCCUACUGCAUGUUGUGCAAUAAACAACUUCAAUAAUCAAGAGCACGCUUUAGAUAAGUUAUUCGUAGAGUACUCAGAGGAGAAUAUGGUGUUUCCAGACAUACCAGAGUCAAGUUAAGAUCAAGAAGUCAUACAUUUUGAUGCUAGUCAAACAACUCAAAUAGGACAAGUCAGGAAUCAAAUUGCUACACAAAUGUGGAAUGACUACUCAAGACGUUGUACAUGAUUUCGUGGAUGUACUUUAUAUUUUGCCAUGAUACGUAAACUUCUAAUAGUAUCUAUUGAACUGUAUUGUCAAAUUUAAUUGAGGUUGUGUUUUUUAUAUCUGUCAAAAAAUAUUUCAAGAUUUGCCAACUUCAAAAUUUAUAUGUUAUUUAAUAUUAUAUUAAUAUUAAACUAUUAAAAUUUAUUGAAUAAUCAUAUUUCUUGAAUAAAAUAUUCUCAAAAUUUCAAAGUGAACUCGUUUUUUAUGUUUAUGUUUUCAAAAUCAGUUUUCUAGAAUGACAAAGAGAACACAUUUUUAGCAAUUUCAAAAUAGGUACUUAAAACACAAAACUCAAAAUGAAUUCAAAACUCAAAACUGCAAAACUGGAACACGAAAAGAACAUGUCCUUAUUGAUAAAGAGAGAAAUUGUGAGAAAUCUUCUAUAUCAAUGUAUCUUUUUUCCCAAUCUAAUGUACCAUCUCCAUAUUCCAGUCUUUCCCAAAACGUCCAAGAAAAUAUAAGUAAAAGAUGAAGGAAAAAGAAGAAAAAAAGAAAAUGAGAAACCCAACCAGCUGCUACAAAGUCUGGAAGAAGAAGUCGCCCCCCCCCAGCUGAAAUCUUGCAUUUUAUAUUAAAACCUAAGGAAAAAUUGCAGCUUGUUCCCUGGAAUUUAAAGAAAUAAAAAUUGUAUCCCAGAGUGGCGCUUAGGCGCCAAAAUAGUGGUCCCUAAAUGCCACAUUUCUACCCAUCAGUGGGCAGAAUUUAGGAGCUGUGGCACCCAUCUUUCUAUCCAAUUAUUAUUAUUAUUAUUUUUUAAAUAUCGGUUGCAUCUUCAAGCUUUCCCUUCAACUCUCUUUAUCUUUUUUUUGUCUUUUCUCGCAUAAAUUCCUUCAAACCAUCACUUGGUUUUUGCCCACACAAUAAAAACAACUAAAUCAGGUAAUAAAUCGCUAAUGAAACUCACAAAUAUUUAUGUUUAAUGGCCUGAAUAAGUGCAAAAACCCGCACUUAUCAGAACACAUGCAUAGUCUCUUGAGAUGUCAUUAAAAGCAGAUGCGUUAUACUUAAUGGAAACUCUAGAAAAUUAGUUAUAUGCUUGGCAAAUUUCUUUAUUUUAUGUAAGGGACAAUAUCCGAUGCACCCUUAAGUCUCAUAACAAUGUGAGAAACAUUUCCUUAUGUUGAAAAAUACACUAAUCUUCUUUAUUUGUUGUUUUGAAUAUUAUAUUGACCAUUUGACUACUUUUAUCUUGACUAAUUUAAAAAGCAUUUGUAAACUAAAGAUUAAUUUUCUAUAAUUAGCUGUAGUUAAUUUAAAAUUACAUACACAUACAUAGUGUUUGUUUAAUAAAAUAGUUAUUCAUGGAGAUAAUAUCAAAUACGCUUUUUAGCUUGAUGACAAUAUCAAAUACACACCACACCUUUAAAAAAUUAUAUUAACCUCAUUUACUUUUAGUUUUGAGUAUAACAUUCAUCAUGUAACCAUUUCUUGAGCUAUAUCUCAUAUAAAUUAAAGUUGAUAUUCCUAAAAGGCCUUCAUGAACUAAUGAACAAGCUUUCUACAAUUAAUUCUAGUUAAUAUGCUCAAAGAUGACAAUAGUUCCUUGAAUUUCUCAACCAUGAGAAUAGGAAUUUGAAUAGAAGAUUGCGUUGAAGAGGAUGCUGCAGAGUCCUUUUCCAAUUGUGGAGAUUUUGCUGUUGUAGGAGCUGCUACUUUUAUUUAGUAAAAACUUCCAGUUUGGUGGAUAAACACGAAAUUUGUAGCACUUGGCUAACAUCUCCAAGUUCGUUUAGACGAAUAUUAUCUGUAGAUUAGAUAUUCCCUACUCCAUUGUCUUCAAUAAUUGCAGGCAAUUUGAUAAUAAAAAAAAAAUUAGGAAACUCUGCUUAGAGCUUAGAAUUAAGAAGCAUUUCUCCAUUCCACACAACUUCCAAGCCAUUGGUGAAUUCGAGGUCGUCAACAAAAUCAUCAAAUACGUCCUACAUGCUCAAGCUUCACUCUUGAGAGGGACAUUGAAAACCUAAGAAUAGCUAACCGAAAGGAGGGGGGGGGGGUUAAUGGGUUAUUGAAAAACUUUUUGAAAAAUAAGUCUAAAUUUAAACAAAUCUAACAAUAAAUAAGUCAAUCAAACAAAUAUGCAAAAAUGUGAUAGCAAUAAGUAAAAUGGAAGAGAGUGUGCAAAUGAUAUAAUAGUGGAGGUUCGAUCCCAACCAAUGAUAUAAGUCCUCCGUUACCAAGCUCUUUGCCACGAGCAAGACAUUUUUCACUAUGUUGAUUGACUUGUGGUGCAAUUUAACAUUUUACAAUGCUCCAGUAACUUACAACCAAGUAGCACCGAUUCUUUUACAAUAUAGAGCUUUACUGAACAUCUAUAUGACCCACAAAUUGAAACAAUAAUAAGUUUACAAUUUGGACAUCUCUCUCAAUAAAUGAUAUAAACAAAAUUAAGUAAUAAGAGAGAAAUAGGCCGACAUUUUAAUGAUUAGCAAUGGAUGAAGUUCAAAUAUUAGGUAAGAAAACUUUGAUGAAAAAGAUGAUAUUCAAAGGUUCAUUCAGUUAAUCUAAGUUUUUCAAAGUGAAUGUUCAAAGAAAAAUUCAGUAAGAAGUGAACUGAAGGAGUACUACUCAAGAUAUUUCUUACUUUAAUGCUCUCAAAGAUGUUGUAAUGAAUAGAAGAAGUGAGGGUAUUUAUAGAGUUCAAAACUUCAAAAAAAAUCUGUGAUUGCGGAUGACUCAUCUAGUUGACGCCUCUUGUCCGGAUGAUCAAUAUAGUCAUUUGUACAGUAAAAAUCAGAAGUCAGAAUGGUCAAAUUUUAGACCGUUACAUCUUUCAUGUUUGAUCACCCCUUCGGCCGGUUGACAGGGGUAGCUAUCGGUCUUUCGCAUUUUGGCCUCCUUUGACUCAAUUCGAAGGUUUUGAAAGGGAUAGACUUUUAGAAGGUACUUUUAACUAAUUUUUCAAGAUAAAAAUAUAUUUUUCAAGUCAAAAUAUCUUUUUAAAGUCGUUUUUAUAUUUGGUACCUUUACAUUUUAUCUAACAAAUUAAGUGUUUGAUUUUCCUUCAAAGUUUGGCUCGAAAGUUCUUCGAUCUUGACCUUCUUUCACGAGUCCGAUUUGUAAUGAUAUCUUUUGAUCUUUUUACGAUCAUCAAUCAACUUUUCAUAGUAGGCUUUGAAAAUUAUAAUCACUUAAAUUCAAUUUGUUAGUAAACAAGAUUACUUAUUUGUUAUAUUCAAAACUUUAAAGUUACAAUCAACCAUAGGUCAAGAGAUGCAACUGGACUUCAUUUAUGAAUGUUGAAACAUGUUGUGGGUCAAAAUUAGAGAUAUACCCAAUAAAAAUGACAUGAAACUACAGUUUGUGCAAAUGAAUAUAUGGGAAAUCUUUAGUAAGCUGCUUAAGUUUUAUACGAAUAUCAUUUAACUGAAGAAAUCAAAUAAUGCUACAAAGCACCAAAACAAUUACCAAUAAAAUUAGACACACAUUUAAAAAUCUGAUUUUCUUACUCAAGUGUAUUCUUUAAGAUUAAGAACUAAAACCCAUAAAAAAACAUAUUCAUUAUUUUUCAAAUAAUAAGACUAAUAAUUUUAGCAAACAUAUAAUGCAGUCACAUAUAGUAAAUCAAGAAAAUGCCUUUUAAAUUUGUUGAUCACGCCAUAUUUAAUCUAUAGGCAAAUUACCAACGCGACUUUAAUUUGAUGAAAAAUUGGGUGAUCUUGUGUGUAGAUAAAAUAUUAAUUAACAUAACUAUUUUAAACAUAAACAUAUAAGUAAUAUAAUUUAAUAAUAAUACAAACAUAAGAUAAGGGUUAGAAAAAGUAAACUUUAGAGAGUCACGUCGAAUACGCUGUCCUAAAGUUGUGUUGCUUCCCUUUCGUGCGGGUUCUUUUGGCACUACACGGCUCCGAGAUAAAAUCCAUGUGGUUCUCCUUCUAUGGGCACGACCAUAGGGAGAUAAGUGAACGGACGUUUAUCGAAUUGCCAAAAGCGUAUGAUUAUUCAAGUGGUUAAAGAAAUAUGUGCAACAAUGAAAUACAAUCACCUUUUAUAUUUAAAAUUUCAACCCCCUUAUUUAUACCAUUAAAGCACAAGUUACAAUAUGUAUUAUGGUCUUUAACUUUAUGUUAAAACUAAAAAUUAAAAGGUUUUUAAUUUGAAAGGUUGAAAAUUUUAUUCUAAAAUUACAACCUAAAUUAUGAGAUUUGAUUUUAUAUUAAAAAUUAAUAUUAGAAUCGAAAUUAAAAAUUCAUAUUUAUUGUGAAAGUUUAAAACUUUUAAAAAAUGUUCUAACGGAUAUUAGCAGUUAAUUAUCGAUGAUCCCGUCCUAUUUUAGAUUUUGACAUCAGACCCUUAUAAACAAUAGAAACUACAAUCCUUCGUUGCCUCUGAGAACUUUGUCAACGAGGUGGUGGAAUGUACCCUUGUCACCUCGGUAAUAGACGGAAGAGAGGCGACGUGUUCCUAUUCGGGUGCGGUUUCUUGAGAUCGCUUGAACGACAUUUUGCUUAGUUGACAACUGCGUGACUUGUCAAGCAGAUAGAGACGUCGUUUUUUUAGUCAGAUAUUAUUAUUAAUAAAGCAAAAACAGUACUUAUAAAUGGGAAACUUCAUCAAAAAUAAUAUGAAUCGCAGGAAAGUGAAGUGGCGCAUGUCCGAAUAGAUAUCGUUGAAUCCCCAACGAUUUAAGUUUCAUGGUAAUUUACUUGAGUGAAAAGGAGCAUGAACCUUAGAAUAUUUUUUCGUUGACUUGUCGUUACAGUUCAUAAUUUCUUAAUUCCCAAAUCCCAACGUAUGUUGCAUCACAUUGCUUGAUUAGGUUACAAAUCAAACAGAGAAAACGGGGAAGGAAUUGAACGAAAAGGGACAAAAACCAAAUAAAUGAAAAAAUAAAAAAAAUGUCGAAUUCGUCAAUUCAUCAUUGCAGUUAAUAAUUCGUGUAAAAAGACCAAGGUCUAGUCAAUAUUUUUAAUGCAAUAAAUCCCUAAACCUAAUAUUAUAAUUUUUUAGUCACAAUGAACCGUGGACUUCAUUAUCGUCAAUUCAAAUUUUAUUUUUUUCAAUCGCUCAUUUUAUUUGAUCAACAAAUUUUAUCAAAAAUUUAACUACAUAUUUCACGAGUUUCACCAACUCGUAAUCUGAAAAAAGUUUGUCAAACAGGAGUUUAUAUCUCCAACAAGAACUAGUAUAGUUAAGAAGCAUCAAGGAUGCAAUUAAUUUCUUUUAAUAAAUAGAUAGAUGUUUCUUGCUACUCUAAUGAAGAUGAGGAUCAUACGUUACUACAAAGUAGUCGAUGCAAAAAUACAGGAUACAACAGAUCCAUUGAAAAUAAUUCAUUAGCAAGAAUUGACAAAAUGUUGCAUGCCAACUCAAAAGGCGUCCUACUCUAUAUGAUCAAUAACAGUACAUCAAUUCACAAGCAUAUUAGACGAGAUUUAAUGUGUGCGCGCGCGCGUGUACACACACACAGAGUUUUUUUAAUAACUUGUGCUUUUAAAUUUAAUAAUUCAUCAUAGUACCAUAACAUGUAAAUGUCACGUGUUAAAGUUUCUUGGCCAUUUAUACAUUUAAUGAAGUUGUGCUCAUUUUGAUAAGGAUAAAUGAACGUGUGGAUGCGUUGAAAAAAUUAUUUAAAUAAUACAUACAUGAUCUUAUCUAAAAAUUUAAUUUACUGGGUGAAACCCAUUAGAAGUGAAGCCUGUUAUAUCAAUAUAAUUUCAAAUAAGCAAAACUAAAUUGUGUGAUUCAUUCAAGUUAAACAGAAAAGAAAUUUUUUUAUAGAAAGGAUAUCAUUCUAGCUAUGUUUUUAAUAUACUUGUGAUGUUCACAUUUCAUCAAUUAAAAAGGCAAAAGGGAGAUAAAAUAAUCAAAAGAAUGCUAUUCCUACAUUGUGGAUUUCACAAUUAUAGUGUUUUGCAAGACUCGAACAUUUUUGCGUUUUUCUCACACUUUUCAAAAGACAAAAAUCUUCACAAAAAUUUAAGAAUAUAUGUGAAAGAAUCAUUCUUCUUGGCCAAGGCUUCAUAGGCCCUAGAUUUCGGGGGGGGCGUGGGGUCAUGUAUCCCCUCUAUUGACAGGGAGUCUGUUUGCUAAGUAGCAUGGUCCAAAUGAAAAAGUUUUGCACAUUAGCCAAGCAAUUAAUCUAGUUGUAAAAUACAAGUUGACAAAAUGGUUGACAAAACAAGUGUUGGUAGAAUUUUAACAUUUGAUCUCAAAUGAUUUAAAAAAAGUGUUUUUGAAAUAAUUGGUGUAGAUGUUGUUUUGUAAACCAACUUUGUCAGCUGAUUUUGUACAAGUAACAUGACUUUUAGCCAAGAACAAGUGGCAUGGCCUAGUAUCAUUAAGAUAUGACAAGUUUACAAUUUUUAUAAAUAGAUGACAAUGAAACUUAGAACUAAAGAUAUUUAUUUGUUCCGAUAUCAUAGUAAAUCACCUUAUUUGAGAACUCAAAUAUCAUUUAGGUAAUACAUUACUACAAACCAGUUUAAGCGUCCGUUUGCCAACACUUUGCUUUGUUUCUGUUUCUUAUAGAAGACUUUCUUGAAAAAGGAUUUUGCUACUUGUACAUAAAAAAUAUAUAUUAUGGAUUACAUAAUAUGAUGUGGAGGGAAAAGAUUGAAUGAAAAAGUUAAUUAUGUUUUAAAUUUGCAAAUGAUAGAGUGACAUAUGACAUUAUAUAAUUAAUUAUAUAAAUUUUUAUGUACAUGUAGCAAGAUCCCUUUCAAAAUAUCAUCCAAACUUUUUGAAAGUUAUGUCAAAUAGGCAGUGCAAAUUAAAAAGCAGGAAAAAGCAUACCCAAAGGGGAAUGAAUUAAUUAAUACGAAUUAAUAAAUUCUCUAUGCCAACUGCAAAAGGGAGAUCGUUACAUCUCAUCAAUAAUAUUAAUACAGCAUUAAAUUCACAAAACAGAAGCUGAUAUUUUAUCAAAAUUAUACUUAUUUUUAUUUAUUUUGACAGAAAGUUAUACUAAUUUAUUGGGUUUGUGCGACCAAAAUCGGUCCGAUCAAAUUUAUAAAACCUAUAAUUGAAAAUCCAUCCAAAACCCGUUAAACCAUCCACUUUUUGGAAAACCUGUGACACGUUCCGGGCUGAACCGAUUCCACCUAUGUAAAUGCACAUAUAUAUAUAUUUUUAAAAUUUUUAAAUGUAUAUUUAUAAAAUUUUUGUAAAUUUAUAUAUUUUAAUUUUUUUAAAAAUCAUCGGUUCAACUCCUGUUCAACCUUUAGAUUCUCGAUCAUUUCUCUUUUCGAGUUGAUGACCAGAUCGAUUUUUAAAACAUUGUAUAGUAAAACAAAUCAUUUAUUCAUAUUGUAAAAGUGUUGUUCACCGAUUUGUGUACACUUACGAUAAUUAGAAAUUAAUGUGUUAAAUAUCGAUUUUAUUAAGAAAAAAUGCUUCACAUAACUUACAAAAUGCUAGUUGUACGAGUUAUGGAACUGUCCAAGUCAAAAAAUUUGUAAUACAUGUCAUAAUCAUGAAAUUUUGAACACUAUUUAUUAUUAUUAUAUUUUUUUAAAUAUUUUUUAAUCACUUGUAAGGUUAGAAAUGGGGUCACAUUUUCACGUUAGAGAAACUAAUGGUUGCUUGUAUUUUUAAAAAAAAUUAUAAAUACAUUCGACAUAUCUCAAAUUUAAAGACUAGUAAUUGAAGAUCACAAUAACAUGUAUCCGCCCUAUUCUCAGGGAGUCUGUUUGCUAAGUAGCAUGGUCCAUAUGAAAAUAUCGUGCACAUUAACCAAGAACUAGUGGCAUGGCUUAGUACCAUUAAGAUAUAACAAGUUUACAAUUUUUAUAAAUAGAUGAUUGAUAAAUGUUUUUUUACACACUUAUUUAGUUCACAAACAUGACUUAAUUAUGAUCAAAGAGUUUGAAUUAUGGGUUAAUUCUAUGUAAUUAUUUUUCGUAUGACUAUAUUGAAGAAUGUGGUGGAAUUCAAGAGAAAAGAAACGAAAAAGAACCAAAAAGGAAGAAAAUCCAAAGUAUGAGGACUAAAUUGCAACAUUUUAAUAGUUGAUUCGGAUCAAAAAAUGAAGAUUAAAGAUGAUGCGGUUCAAUUGGAUGCAAACCAAAGUCAAAGAAUUGAAAUUGCAAGAGAAAGGGCUUGAAAGAAUAAAAAAUCGACUUCGAGGGGCUAAAAUACAACAUAUGAAAGAAAUUUUGCGUGGCCAACAGCCCAGUUAUAAAAACUGGGCGAUCAACCGAUAUGUUUUUCUUAUUACUGAGAAGAAAAUGUUGGCCUGGGCGACAGCCCGGGUUUCGCCUGAACGACAGCUCAGGCUAAUCGCAGCGAAAAUUUUUUGGUUUCCUUUUUUGAUUAAAACUCUUAUAGAAACAAAUCUUGGGAGUCUUUUGAAGCCCUAGGGACGUCCAAAAAUAGACACUACACAUUAUACAUUAUUUUGGAAGGAUUUGAAGAGCAAGAAGAAGGAAGAACAAGAAGAUUCAAUCCAAGAUUCAAGAUCUCACUUCAAGAAUUUCAAUAGGUGAUGUCUUUUCUUGAUUUUUAUUGUUGUGUUCUUCUUCCCAUCAUGCUAGACUAGAAAAAUAUAUACUAAGAGAUCGAUGAACCUUCUAAUGUGAUAUUUAACUCUUUGUUCCGUAUUUUGACACUAAAACACGUAUUGAUUGUUUUGAAUGAUUUAUAUGCAUUUAAUUACUUCCAUGAUUAUGGGCCCGUAAUUGUGUGAGUUUUGGUGGUUUGUUUCAUCUAUUUGAAAGAAGAGGAAUGGGGGAGGAGGUGAAAGACCAACAAGAAGGGGCUCCCAAUCCCGGGAAACAAAAAAGGCAGUGAUAUCAACAGGAAGGUCAGAUAAGAUUACCUCACGCUCCACGAGAACGGGGUGUAAGGAGAACUGAGAAGUGAAGACCUCCUGAGCUGUAGCAGAAAUGAAUCUGGAAUGACUAUACGACGUCGAACCACCAGCUGGCUAUGCAGAGGAUCGAGAACGCUUACGGGCCAUCUGGCAUAUGGAGAGACGGAACUAAUAAGUAAGAUGAAGAAUGCACAUGAUACGAUGCACUAUGAUGUGAAACACUGCACACUCAAACGAGGCACGAAAGAGAUGCAUCGAAAAACGUGAACGACCCGUAGGGCAAACGAAGCAUGAUGUAAAUAUACACCAAAAAUAUGUGUAAAAACACUCAACAUGGCACGGGAGGGCAAUGAAACAACGACGGAAAGGAAAGAAAGAAAAUAGAAGCACAAAAAUGAAGGAAACAAAAAAAAAACAUAUAACUAAGGACUUGCAUCGAACAUGUGGCGUGCAUCACUUUGGUACACAAUUUCAAGUACAUACAAGACGCAACCACACAACCAAGCACAGUCCCACAAACUAGAAAACAUGCUCUUUAAAAUGAAACAAACCUCACAAGAAAUGGAGUAACAGAAUGCAAGAACGGACUUAAUGAAAAUGGAAGAAAAACAUGAAAAACCACAUAACCAAAUGAAUGAAAAACGAACAAUUCAAUGGAAAUCGUGACGCAAAACGCGUGAAAUAACAUCCAAUGAAACAAAGGAAGGAUGAAGCCUACAUUAAUGAAGGAACAAUCAAGCAACAACACAAAAAUAAGCAAAACACACGAGGAGAAUGAAAGAAAAAAACGAAAAAAGAAAAAAAAAUACCUCAAUUUGAUGUGUAGCAUUGGAAAUCCGGAAGAAUAAUUGUUUUAGGGUCCCGAAUUUAUGUGAUCAAUGGACGAAAUAUGGAAGAAGUCAAGAAGAAACAAAAAAACAAGAGUGAAAUGGAAGAAGUUGCGUUAAAAAAUGAAACAUGACCUUUUAAAAUAGACCUGUCGCUCGAGUGAGGCCUUAGCGAGAUUCGGGCGACAAGCAAAUUGCUUUUGUAGCUCGAGCAAAGGCUAGGUGAAACUCGAGCGAGAAACCAAAUGUCAAAAAUAGCACUAGAAAUUUGAAUUUUAAGAAACACGGCAAAAUGUUCAACAAAUUACGAAAUUUGCCCUAAACCAUGUAUUUUCAAAAACAAGCGAACUACGUAAUAUGGAAAAUAAUCCCAAAAAAAAAACAAAAAAAAUAUCAUGGAGCCAAAUAUGCAAUCGAAACCAACAAUAAGCAUAAAAUCACAAACCCGACAACCAGCACGUAGACAAAUGGUAAGUCCACACAUAGUUCAGAAUCCUGUGGAGGAAAGUGUAUACAGAACAUCACUGUGAAACGUGCCACGUAAUCCAUGCAAGUUAGACUCAAAACCUUAAAUUAGUGAGAAAGGACACGUGAAAACAACCAGACAAAGGUAAAUGUCUACCAAGUGACAGUCAAAUCCAGUUCCACGAGGACCUAUAUCAAUUAUUAUGAUUGUCACAAUUUUACUCCCCCUAACUGUAUUAUUCCAUUUUUUUUAAAUAAAAAUAACAAAAGAACUUAAGUGCAAUGCAAUCCUCAUUAGGCAACAUAAAUGACCCCUGUAACGAACUUUGGGUCGGUGACUCCCAAGUCAGACAACCAUAGGGCACCAGGUUAGAAAUCCCUCAGGCUUAAUUGUUCGAGUCAAGUAGGCCUCGAAGAUAGUCAUAAGUUCAACAAAUAACAAAAUAAAACUGGGGAAAGAUAAUAUUGAUUAGGUUACACUCGUCCCAGAUCACGUCAAAUGUACAUACAACCCCAAUCAUAGAAGAACACCAUCCCAAGUCUCACCCAUGCGAUCAAGACUCACUUACAGGACUACAGUGUGUGCUGUGUGAAAAUGAAUGAUGAGCCAUAUACCCAGAACUCCACAGUCAAAAAAUGAACAAUGAUGGAACCUCAGACUCGUACAUAUGAAGAAAAAUAGAGUUUGAUUUUUAAUAUAAAUGCCAUAAUCGUUACAUAAAGGCCCAAAAUUUUUUUUUAUAUAAUUUUAUUAUUAUUAUUAUUUUAUUAUUAUUAUUUUUAUUUAAACACACGAAUAUAACACACAAAAGAAGACUAAACUUACAAAAAAAAUGCAUCACACACUCACAUGUGAUGAAUACAUGAACAUGCAUGAAUCCAUGAUCAGAUAGGUGAGCAAACACCAACAACCGUCCGAAGCGACUCAAACCUCAAUCCGUCUAGUGGUUUCGUAAGUAGAUCAACCAAUUGAUUAUUAGUAGAGACAUGGUCGAGGGAGAUUACAUGUGAUUCAACAAGCUCACGAAUAAAAUGAUGUCGUAUGUCUAUAUGUUUCGUUCGAGAGUGUUGAAUGGGAUUCUUAGAAAUAUUUAUAGCACUUGUAUUAUCGUAGAAAAUAGUCAUGGUCCCUAGACUAAUCCCAUAAUCACUCAGCAUCUGCUUCAUCCAGAGAAGCUAAGUGCAGCAACUCCCUGCAGCUAUGUAUUCGGCCUCUGCCGUGGAUAGAGAUAUAGAAUUAUGUUUCUUACUUAACCAGGCUACGAGAUUGCUACCCAUGUAAAAACAACCCCCUGUCGUACUUUUCCUAUCAUCUGCAUUCCCAGCCCAAUUGGCGUCGGAGUAACUAGCCAAGUCAAGAUUGGAAUUCCUAGAAUAGAAUAUCCCUAGAUCAACUGUACGACUCACAUAUCUAAUGAUGCGUCUAACAGAGUUUAAGUGUGAUUCUUUUGGAUCUGCCUGAAAUCGAGCACACACACCAACACUAAAAGCAAUGUCGGGUCUAGUAGCUGUGAGAUAAAGAAGACUACCUAUCAUGCUUCGAUAUAGGGAAGGAUCUAUACUCUUACCUGAAGGAUCACGACCUAACUUCAAGCUAGUACUCAUAGGUGUCCUAGUAUGCUUCUUACUAUCUAGCCCAAAGCACUUAACUAGAUCCUUAGCAUACUUAGACUGUGAAAUGAACAGUCCAUCCUCUGUCUGUCUUACCUGAAGUCCUAGGAAAUAACUCAACUCCCCAACCAUACUCAUCUCAAAUUCUUGCUUCAAACACUCAGCAAACUCAUAAGCUAAAGACUCAAGAGGAGAGCCAAAAAUAAUGUCAUCGACAUAAAUCUGAGCAAUGGUGAUAGUUUUAUCAACAUGUCUAAUAAAUAAGGUCCUAUCUGCACCACCUCGAGAGAAUCCAUGUUCUUCAAGGUAUGAUGUAAGUCUCUCAUACCAAGCUCUAGGAGCUUUCUUUAGACCAUAGAGGGCUUUGUGUAGUUUGUAGACAUAGUGGGGAAAUUUAGGAUCUACAAUCCUUUUGGUUGUUCCACAUGGACUUCUUCUUGAAGAAGUCCAUUCAAAAAGGCACUUUUAACGUCCAUUUGAUGUAACUUGAACCCUAAGGUACAAGCAACAGCAAGUAGAAUCCAAAUAGACUCAAGUCGUGCAACAGGGGCAAAAGUCUCAUCAAAAUCAAUUCCUUCAACUUGAGUAUAACCCUGAGCAAAUAAUCUAGCCUUAUUCCUAAUUAUAGUACCUUGGUCAUCUGUCUUAUUCUUAAAGAUCCAUUUAGUACCAAUAACAUUACAAUUCUCAGGUCUGGGAACUAAGAUCCACACAUUGUUCCUAGCAAAUUGAUUGAGCUCCUCAUGCAUCGCAUCUACCCAGCACUCAUCACCAAGGGCCUCUUCAACUUUCUUAGGUUCUACCUAAGAUACACAGCUAGUGUAUGCUAGAUUGUUCAGUACUCUCCUACGAAGCCUCAUACCUUCAUCUAGAUCCCCAAUGAUAUUGUCCUUAGGAUGAUUAGACUUAACCCUAGUCGAUGGUUCCUUAGGAUCUUUAUCUCGAUCUUGGGAAAGUGUUUUCUUUUCAGGUGUUUCAGGUUUCCCAAGAGAUGAUUCAGACACAGGUGGCUCAGUAGGAUCACUAGAACUUAUAAGAUCACCAUCUCUAUCACAAUUUUCAACACUCUCCCCCUCACUUACAGCAUCAUCUAUCACAACAUUUACUGACUCCAUCACCACACGAGUACGUAAGUUAUACACCCUAAAUGCUCGGCUAUUUCUUGAGUACCCUAGGAAAAUUCCUUCAUCACUCUUCGAUUCAAACUUACUCAAAUUCUCUCUAUCACGCAAAAUGUAGCACUUACUUCCAAAUACUUGAAAGUACUUAACAGUAGGCUUUUUAACCUUAAGUAUUUCAUAUGGAGUCUGAUCGGUCUUGGGUCUAAGGUAAACUCUAUUAAUUAUGUGGCAUGCGGUGUUAACAGCUUCUCCUAAAAAAUGUAUGGCUAGUCCCUUGCCAUGAAGCAUGGCUCUAGCCAUGUUCUGAAGAACCUGAUUCUUCCUUUCAACCACCCCAUUUUGUUGAGGAGUGAUAGGGGAAGAGAACUCAUGCAAUAUCCCUUGAUCCAUAUAGAAACUCUCAAGAUUAAAAUUCUCAAACUCUUUUCCAUGGUCACUACGCAUUCUAGACACUUUGAGAUCCAGUUCAUUGCUAAGCCGUUUACACAAAGACUUUAUGAGAUCACAUGCAUCCGAUUUUUUCCUAAGCAAUUCUAUCCAUGUGAACCUCGAGAAGUCAUCUACCACAACUAGAAUGUAUCGCUUACCUCCUAAACUCUCAGUCCUAGAUGGUCCCAUUAAAUCCAUGUGUAUCAAUUCUAGGGGUCUUUCGGUCAGAAUUUUAGAAGUCUUCUUAUGGUUUCCUUUAAGUUGUUUACCUAGUUGACAUGGUCCACACACAGCAUUUUCACUAGGACCUAUCUUAGGCAAACCAUCUACCAACUCUUUCUUAGCUAGUUGUACUAGACUCUUAUAGCUCAAGUGACCUAACCUUUUGUGCCAGAGUUCACUCACAUCAAUUUUAGCACUCCUACACACAUAGUUAGAAUUAAGCAAGACUCCAUAACAAUUAUCAGUUGUUCUAACCCCUUCAAGAACCACCCUAGCAGACGAAUCAUACACAGUACGUCUCUUUUGCACAAAGCUCACCUCAAAAUUGGCAUCACAAAUUUGACUAAUACUUAACAAAUUAGAUUUUAAACCUUCCACAUAAAGCACAUUAGAGAUCACAGGUAAGCCAUGCAUUUGUACAGUACUUUUGCCAAGAAUAGGUGCAGAACCCCCAUCUGCAAAGGUAACCGUACCACCGUUACAUUUAUCAAGAGUAGUGAAUAAAGCUUUAUUACCACACAUAUGCCUAGAACAUUCACUAUCUAGGUACCACAUAUUGUAAUUUUGGGCUUUUAAUGCAACAUGAGCAACGAAACACUUUUCUUGACCUGAAUGUCUAGCUAGAUCGCCUUUUUUGACCCAAACUUUCUUAGAUGAUAAAGUACUCCUAGUAAGUUUAGUAAGCAUCUUAGUCAAAUGACUAACCUGAUUAGACAGAAAGCUAACUUGACUAGGAAUGUUCUGAUUUCUACGCUCAUUGCCUAACUUAUAGUAUCUAGGUCUAGUGUGUCCUAGAGCUCCACAGUGGUGACAGGUGGGAAUGAACCUAGGCUCAAAGGUACGUGAAUGUGGGUAUCUGGGUAUGGAGUUCGUACGUGAUUAAUGACUCUGUUCUCUCGGAACAUUCUUACCCUUAUUUGAACUAUUAACAGCAUUAGCUUUCUUAGAGGCAGAAACAAAAACUGUUUUAGAAGGUCCAGCAACAUGUGUAUUACCCUCAACAUAUCCUAGACCCUUCCUAUCUCCUGCAGGCUUAUUCAUUCCCAAGAUAUUGUCCAAUUUCUUAGUCCCACUCAUGAAAGUCUGAAGAUGAGCAUUAGAUUUCUCCAAUUCACUAGUCAAAGUCUUAAUCUUGUCCUCUAACUUCUCAUGGACACACUUUAACUCACUACCACUCUUAAGAGAAUCCUGAAAAUUAUUAGCAAGUUUCUCUUUUUCUCUUUCAAGUUCAUCAACCUUUUUGAGUAGGACUUUAUUGACCUUUUUGAUUCUAAGACUCUCUUUAAAUAAAAGUUGAUAAGCUUCUUGUAUGUCUAUCUCAUCCUCAUCCUCACUACUAGAAUUAUCGUUUGGAAGUUCUUCCUCAACCUUGUCACUCUCCUUAUCAGAUUCACUCUUAACAGUCGAUACAAAUGCCAUAUAGUUUCUUUCCUCCUCACUACUAGAAGAAUCCUGUCUAUCACUGGUCUCAGAUUCAUUAUCUGUAAGUGAGACAACUAAGGCCUUACCUUUCCCUUUUCUUUGAUUUUUCUUAUAACUAGGGCAUUCAUUCCUAUAGUGACCUAUACCUUGACACUCAUGAGACCUAACCAAAGGUGGUUUAUCACUCGACCCUUUAUUGUUAAACGUUUCAGUUUUUGCUUUUGUGAAUCUACUAGGGGCUCCACUCUUUUUAUCUUGAGGUUUUCUCCUAUUCUUGAGAACUUUUUGGAAUUUCUUAACAAAGUAUGCAAUUUUCUCGUCCCUAAGUGACUCAGUAUCAGAAGAUUCAUCUUCUUUGAUGGAUUUUAGGGCUAUGGACUUUCCUUUCUUAGGUUGUGUAAUAGUGAGUUCAUACGUUUGCAACGAUCCUACCUGUUCUUCAAUUUUAACUUCAUCUGGGUCCUUACUUUUCUCAAUGGCAGUGACUUUAGGCCUAAAUUUCUCGAGCAAUGACCUAAGCACUUUUCUCACAAUUUUAGACUCGAAAAUUUUCUCACCUAGAUUGAAGCUAGAAUUGACAAUGUCAUUCAAUUUAGCAUAGAAUUCGUCAAACGUUUCAUCAUCCUUCAUUCUUACUUCUUCAAACCUAGAAGUUAGCAUUUGUAGCUUAGAGUUCUUUACCGUUUUAGUUCCCUCAUGUGUAGUUUCAAGAAUGUCCCAAACCUCUUUAGCAAUUUCACACAUUGACACUCUCCUAAACUCUUCGGGAGACACGGCCAUAAACAGGGCAUGAAGACCCUUGCUAUUCCAAUUACACUCAGCUAUUUCAUCUUUAGUCCACAGUGAUAUGUCGGUAAGGUUAACAGUUCCUAAUACGAUAGUAGAGGGAGGUUUCCAACCAUUUUGCACACUUACCGAAACAUGCUCAUCUAAAGACUUAAGAAACGCUCGCAUUCUAACCUUCCACUAGGCAUAAUUACUUUCGUCAAAAUAUGGAGGUACAGAAAGUGAUUGACUCAUCUAGACAACUAUGGGUCAGGACUCGAGAUUUGGCUCUGAUACCACUUGAAAAAGAUAUAGUUCGACCCAACCAACACCUAGAGGGAGGGUGAAUAGGUGUUUAUGCGGAAUUAAACCAAUUAAUUAACUUAUGCAACAAGUCACAUAAAUUAUGCAUUGCCUAAAUUUAUUCACAUACUUUAUCCACCUAAGUUGAAUUACCGGUUGAAAAAUAAAUAACAAAAAGCAGUAAAAACACCACAAAAUGUUGACGGAGAAAACCCAAGUGGGUAAAAACUCCGGGCACAAGCCAGUAGAGAUCCACUAUUGAAGAUAUUGACUUAAAGUAUGCCAGACAUAAUUGAAACUAACAAUUCUCUGACCUCCUUACUGUAUCAACCAAAGCUCUCCUAGAUUCUGCAAAUCUGCGCCAAAAUCCCAGCCUUGAAUAUCUUCUACUUCCCGUGAAUCACCAAGCACUCCAGCUCUUCAAGCAAUUUCCUUCCCGGAUCUUCAAACAGAUGAUCUUCUGGAAGUUGAUAUGGAGAUAUGAAGGGGUGUUUUUGGUUUUGUGAUGGUUAAUGUUUUUAUUCAAAAAUCAUGAGAAUCAAAAGAUGAGAAAGAUCGAAUGUUUGGCUCUAAAUCCUUUGGAAGUUAAAAGAAGUUCUUGUUUGAAUGUUUUCCAAAAGAAUUAAUGAAAAUCGGACGUUUUGUUUAUAUAGUAGGUCAAAUUUGGAAAUAUGGAGCAUUAAAAACUCGCGAGGCAUUAAAAUUACCAAUGGCCAGAUAACACCGUCGCUCGAGCGAGGUGUUGGCGAAACUCGAGUGACGCACCUUCGCUCGAGCGACUGCCCAGCGAAACUCCAGCGAGAUCAGUUCUGCAAUUUUGGCUCGAACAAGGUCAGGACGAAACUUUAGCGAAAUCAAUGCGCCGUUUGCAUCUUCAAAGCAUCCCACUUUACCCUAGACCUAUGCUAUGAAAUUUAUUAAAUUGCAACUCUAGCCCUGAACUAUUAGACCUUUACAAUUUAGUCCCUGACUUUACAAACAUGACAAAUAGGUCCUUUGGCCACAGAUUGCCAGUUACACAUUUUCCUAAUAGGAUCAACUGAUAAGCAUUCUUUAAACUGAUCAAAGCCUAUUACCUCGGUGCACAUUUGCACAAGUAAUGACACCUUUCUGCUUAAAGCAUUUGCUGCCCUGUUCACAUUCCUUGAUUUAUGUUUAAUGGUGAAAGAAAAUUGUUGAGUGUAAACAGCCCAACGAGCAUGUCUAGCUGAAAGUUUAUCCUGAUUAUGGAGGUGCUUCAAUGCCUCAUGAUCUGAAUAAAUGAUGAACUCACUAUAUGCCAGAUAAGAACUCCAAUGCUUCAAGGCCCGAACUACAGAAUAAAAUUCCACAUCAUAAGUACUAUAAUUAAGUUUAAACCCAUUCAAUUUCUCGUUGAAAUAAGCUACGGGUCUACUCAUUUGACUUAGAAUGGCCCCAAUGCCAACUCCAGAAGCAUCGCAAUGCAACUCAAAAGGUUGAGAAAAGUCUAGCAUCACAAGUAUAGGGGCGGUCGUCAACUUUUCCUUAAUUUGUUCAAAUGUCUCGGUUGCUUCGUUCGUCCACAUGAAUUUUCCACCCUUUAUACAAUCCAUGAGUUGUGCCAUAAUAGUACUAAAAUUUGGGAUAAAACUCUUGUAAAAAGAUACCAAUCCAUGAAAGCUACGUACCUCCUGAAUGGUAGUAAGAAUUGGCCAAUUCUGAAUAGUUGCGACUUUAGAUUCAUCGACAGAUAGACCAUCUUUGGAACCACAUAGCCCAAAAAUAAGACCGAGUCUGUCAUGAAAGAACAUUUGGCCAAGGCUACAAAAAACUUCUCCCUGCGAAGUACUUCCAAAACCUCCCUCAACUGCUGAAGGUGCAACUCCGAAGUAGCACUAUAUAUCAAUAUAUCAUCAAAAUUACAAGGCACUGACCAAUGAACGGCCUAAAAACCUGGUUCAUCACCCGCAUAAAGGUACUAGGGGCGUUAGAUAACCCAAAAGGCAUCACUAACCACUCAUACAAUCCUUCCCCAGUUUUGAAAGAAGUUUUCCAUUCAUCUCCUGGACGUAUGCGUAUCUGAUGAUAACCACUCUUCAAAUCUAACUUGGUAAACACAAUAGCACCACUUAAUUGAUUCAAGCCGAGGAAUAGGAAAUUUGUACCUGAUUGUAAUUUUGUUGAUAGCCCUACUGUCAACACACAUCUUCCAGGACUCGUCUUUCUUUGGUGUAAAUAAUGCUGGCACGGCACAUGGACUAAGGCUUUUUCUGAUAUGACCUUUUGACAACAAGGUCUCCACUUGACGCUUAAGCUCUUCAUGCUCUUUGGGGUUCAUGCGGUAAUGUGGUCGGUUCGAUAGAUUAGAACUUGGAACUAGGUCAAUUUGAUGUUGUAUUUCUCUCAAUGGUGGCAAACCUUCAGGUAACUCAUCUGGAAAUACAUCAGAAAAUUCCUCCAACAAUUUUUUCACGAGAAGUGGUACUUUUCUCUCCCCGUAUAACCCUCUUUUCCUAGCAACACAAACAUCACUCCAGACUCCUAAAACUCAUUCAUAAACUCCCCUUUAGCUAACAAAAUUUGUCCCUCUCCUGAAGGGUACCGGGGCUCAUCCCUUUUGUUAGGCAGUAAGACAAUCUUUACUUUGUCAAACAGAAAACUAUACGCAUUUCGCUUUCCAUCAUGUGUAACAUUCCUAUCAAAUUGCCACAGCCGACCCAAUAAAAGAUGACAUGCAUCCAUGGUUAUCACGUCACACCAAAUUUUAUCCUUAUACUUCGCAUCGAUAGAAAAUGAUACCAAGCAACGCUUAGAAAUAGUUACCUCACUUCCCUUCUUGAGCCAAGCCAAUUUGUAAGGACUAGGAUGCUUCUCCGUCUUCAUUUCCAACUUCUUAACAACCUCUUCAGAAAUCACGUUCUCACGACUACCUGAAUCAAUGAUAAGUUUGCAAACCUUGCUACCAAUGGUACAAGUUGACUGGAAAAUAUUGUGACGUAACCAGUAAUCUCCUUCAUCCUUACGAGGUGUCAAACAUGCCCUCCUCACUACUAACAAAGGGCCUUCAUCACCUGCAACUUACUCCUCUUCGUAUUCCUCCUCCUCAACAUCGUAAAUAGGUUCCUGAUCACCAUCAACAGCUGAGUCUCCAGAAUUAAUGAAUAGCCCCUUACCGUAUCUACCACUUUUUUUGCAAUCUGCCUUGUGAUGACCUUGCUCACCACAUUUGAAACAUUGUGCUUGGGAGCUUGAUGCUAUCCCCCUGUUUGGCUGGGAAUUACCGUCCCCUUUAUUCUAGGAAGACGGACCACCUACAGUUCACGGCUGGGUUGUCUGAUUUCUUCCAGCACUACCGUUAUUGUUCACCCCACCGGCACUCCAAGUCCUCCUAGAUAAGGUCUUCUCCAAGUGCAAAGCUCGCUGAUGGGCUUCAGAAACAUUCACCCGGUCAAAAAAAUUCAACGAAUCCUGAAAUUACUGUCUCAUCCCUCCAAUAUACCGUGAAACCAACUGAUCAUCAGAUUCAGCCAAGUCUAUACGUGCUACCAGUUUAUAAAAUUCCAUAGUAUAUUCAUCUACAGAUCUUGUUCCUUGCCUAAGGUUUUGAAGUUGUUGGUACAUAAUUCUCACAUAAUUAUGGGGUAAAAAUGCUGCCCUCAUAUGUUUUAAAAAUUUCUCCCAACUACAGAUUUUUGGCUUACCUUGGCGCAGGGUAUGUUUAGUUUGCUGCCACCAAGCAGCAGCUCAUGUCCUAAAUCUUGUGGCUACUAAGGAAGCUCUUCGAUCAUCUGGUACUCCCUUGAACUCCAAUAUUUCCUCCACAGCAGCAACCCAAUCCAGGAAUUCGUCUGGUUGAAGGCAGCCAUGGAAUUCUGGAAUGUCCAGUUUGAAGCCUGACUCGCACGUGCUAGUAUUUUGUUGAACCACAGGACGUGCUCUCCUUUCUCUCAAUUUAGCAAACGGGUUUUGAGCCUCUUCUUCAUUACUCCCAGCAUCACUUUUUCCUGCAAAGUGAUCAUCAUCUCGCACUUGACGUCGACGAUAUCCAGUAUUAAGAGCCGCCAGUUGUUCAGUCAGGCAUCAAAUUAUAAAAGAAAUAAUGAGAAGACAUCACCCAGAUCGAAAAAAAUAUGGAAAAAAGUAGAGAAAUUCACUUUCUUGAAUGAAAUCUUGAUUUUGGAUGGAUAAUCUUCAAGAAUCUUGAACAAUUCCCUUGAUGUUGAUGAUUUAACCUCGUUCUUCCCUUUCAUAAUAUGUUGAAUCUAUGAAUUUUUUAGGGCUAGGGAGGUUUUUCAUGUUUUGGACAAAUUCUGAUAUUUAAAGGAUGUCAAAAAUAUUGUUACCAAAGUAGAUUUUCAAUUGGAAAAGGAAACAAAUUCUCGCCUCGAAAAAGUACCAUGCGGACAAAUAGUACAAAUGGAGGCAGUCGUAUAGAAGAAAUCAAAAUGGGUCUUGGAAGCACUGGAGGCAUGGAUGCGGUCGCAUUGAAUUAACACUAUGUGACCACAUAGAUAUACUUUUUUCACUUGACAGCUUUUAGUAUUUUGAUCAUAUCUUUCUCCUUCAAUGUCUGAUUGAAGUGAUUCAAAAUGAGUUAGAAAGCUAACUCAAAGAGUAAUAAUUAUUUUAGAAUUAUGUUUUUUCCAAUUCGAAAGUUUACUAUCUAAAAAAUGGGUCUCAAUGUGAUGCUGAAAUUUCGGAGUAUAACUUCUUAGGUUGGAAAUUGAUUUGUGAUAACACUUUGACUAUAUUUCAUUCUUUUGGCUUCUGUCCUCAUCCAAUUGACACCUAAGACUCUUUAAUCUUUAUCGUAAAGUUCGACACAAUUUUCGAGUAUAGCACUUUAGUCCUCAAACUUUGAAUUUGCUUCAUUUCAGCCCAUUUCUCUCGUAAUCUUAUUCUUUUAUCUUCUAAUUGUAUUUACUCAUAAAUCAAUUCAUGUUUCAAUAUAUUUCUCAUUGCUAGCCAGGCCAACUAUUUGAAGUUUUUCAUUCUUUUCAAUUUUUUUGUUUAAUAUCUGAAACAAUAAAACACACGCAAAAAAAGAAUAAAAGAAAACAUAUAUUUUCAAAGAAAAUUCAUGUUUUCCACCUCCAAAUUUAAACUGGACAUUAUCUUAAAUGUCUUAAAUUUAAAUUAGCAUUUAACGGGGUGGGGAAGAAAAGGUAGAAAAUAUUCUCCUUAUAUGUGCGUGAAAUCCAAUAGCUAGCUUUUCCCAUUACCCUCCGUUGUCAUCUUGGUUAUUAUUGGUUAAGUGUUCUACGAUGACACAUUCAUGUACAAUAAGAUUAGAUAAAACAUUUAAGAUCAAAUUUCUGAAACAAGUGUUACUUAGCUCAAAUAUCUAAUAAACAAACUAAAUCUCGAGGACUUAAGGGGAAACGACGAAAGAAUGAUGAGAUCCUAAUUAAAAAGAAUAACUAUUCUGAAUAAUCAUAUGACUAGAAAGCAUAAUAAACAAUGGGGAAGAAAGAUUGGGUUGCCUCCCAAUAAGCAUUUUGUUUAAAGUCUUUAGCUUGAUUUUAUUGUUUUGACUUCAUGGAAUUCUGAAGAACAAUUUUGAUGCCUUGUUCAGUUUGUCUCUUUUGACUUUACUCCACUCUUCAUUGCUUCUACAAAUUUUAACACUGUUCCCUCCAAUGUGAUAUUACUUGCCUAUCUCGUCCAAUUCAAAUUUAAUCAUGUAGACUUCUUCCUCCUCUUUGGGUUUAAUUACAAAUUCAAUGAUAGAGCAAUUAAUGAAGUCGACAGAAUGUUGGUUGACGUCUUCUUCAUUAAUUGCCUACUCUUUGUUUUUUUGGUUUUUUUUUUCAUUUGUAAUUGAACUUUCAUCAUCUUCUUGUUGUCUUCCAUAAUUGGUAUCUCCUCGGGUUGAAUGGUCGGUUCACAAUCUACAUCUACGGGCCAUGGGAACUCAUUUCUUUCAAAUUUUUCGAGUGGAUUAUACCUCCACCUUUUAAAAUCAUACUAAAAUAUGUCAUCUUCCACACACAGUUUGUUUUCAUUUGACUUGAUAAGAUCAGUGUAGUAUUUUGCAAGUACCUCCUCGUUCAACAUAGAAGGACCAUAUCCCACAAAAGUGUCAGAAGGGAUACACUUGCCCACAGUCAAGUAGCAUUCAAAACAUGUGUCAAUUGCUAGUUUUUGACAUCUUAAAUAUCUUCAAAUCUUAGGAGCUUGAGCUGAUAGGGAUCAGCGCAUGUAUUCAAGCGAUGGCCAGAAUAAUGCACCCCAUAGCAGAAUUCACAAUAGAUAUCUCCUUCGUUAUACUUCAUGUUGAGAUUAUUUAUUGCAAUUUUUUUUUUACCAUGUCAGCGUCCAAAUCCUAGAUGCACUGCUGAAUGGUACUUGGAAAGAAUACCAAACAAGAGAUAUCAGGGUGGGCAGCAAAAAUUAACAAAAUGAAAUAAAGAUAAAAUUAAAAUUUAAUAUAAACUACUAAACUAAAAUUAAAUCUGUCAUUCUCCGAUAAUGACGCUAAAAACUUGUUCGUAGAAAAUCCGUAAGGGUACGAGAUCAUUAUACAAGUAAUAAGAUUUAUGAGUUAAUAGUAUCGUUUUCAUAAGGAAAAGGUCUAAUAUCUAGUUCAAUAGCUUUUAUUAAAGUCGAAAUAAUGUAAAAUCAAAAGAGUUGGUUUGUAUAUAUUCUAUGCUAAUCCUAAACUAAGAAAGCAAAUUAAAUAUUUAUCUAAUAUGUGAAAGUUUGUAUUGAAAUCAUGAAUCCCCCUAUUGCCAUUUAAUUCAACUCUUAAUUCAUAAUUUCGUAAAUUCAUGUAUUUAAGACAAUCAAUUAUCCACUUUUAUUCAAUAUUCUUUUCCAAGAUAUAUUAAACUUAUGUUUAAUACGAUCCGAUUCUACUUCUAGUCCGAAUUCAUAUAAGAAACAUGCCUUUAUUCAGGAUUCAUCACACAUGAUUGCACAUGCCUUAGAUAUUACUUCGAAUACCUAUUGUCCAUAUAUUGAUUUUGUCGAGUUUUAGACUUAUUGUGAGUAUUCCUACGCUACAAUAAGCAACUUACUAUCUAAUUGUGAUCAAGUAAUAACUCAAUGGAAAUGCAAAAUCAAUCAAGAAAAAGUAAGACAUCCUAAACUAAUUAUCUUAAAUUAAAAUAAACAAAUAAUAGGGUUCAUCAUUCAAAAAGACAAAGGAGAAAUCUAUCCAACUAUUCUAAUUAUUAAAUUAUAUAAGAAAUAAUGAAAAGACAUUACCCGGAUCGAAGAAAUAUGGAAAAAAGUAGAAAAAUCCACUUUUUCAAAUGAAAUCUUGAUUUUAGAUAGAUAAUUUUCGAGAAUCUUGCACAAUUCCCUUGAUGUUAAUGAUUUAGCCUCAUUCUUAGCCUCCAAAAUAUGUUGAAUCUAUGAAUUAUUUAGAUCUAGGGAGGUUUCUCACAUUUUGGACAAAUUCUGGUAUUUAAAGGAUGCUCAAAAUAUUGUUUCCAAAGUAGAGUUUCAAUUGGAAAAGGAAACAAAAUUUGGCAUUGAAAAACUACCAUGUGGUCGCAUAGUACAGAUGGAAUCCGUCGCAUAGAAGAAAUCAUAAUGGGUUUUGGAAGCACUGGAGGCAUGGAUGCGGUCGCAUUGAAUUAACACUAUGCUACCACAUAGAUAUACUUUUUUUUGGCCUGAUAGCUUUCAGUAUUUUAGAACAUAUUUUUCUCUCUCAAUAUUCGAUUGAGUUGAUUUAAAGCGUGUUGGAAAGCUAACUCAAAGAUACACAAUUCUUCUAAUUUAAAUUUUACCAAUUCGAAUGUUUGCUAUCUGAAAAAGGGUCUCAAUUUGAGGCUAAAAAUUCAGAAAAUAACUUCUUCAACUGGAAAUUGAUUUAUGAUAAUACUUUGACUAUUUUUCAUUCUUUGGCUUCGUUCCUCAUCCAAUUGACCCCGAACACUCUCUAAUCUUCAUAGUGAGGUUCAACACAACUUUUGAGUAUUUGCACUUUAGUCUUCGAACUUUGAAUUUUUUUCAUUUCAGCCUGUUUCCCUUGUAAUCUUAUUCCUUUAUCUACCAAUUGUAUUCACUUAAAUCCUUGGCAUCUUCAAUAUUCAUUUCAUAAACCAUCUUAUCUAUGGAUUGUUUGCAAUUUAGUUCCCAAAUUUUUUAUUUGAUUCGAUCGAGCCCAUUUGUCGUUCUUCCUUCCAAUUCUUCGUCAAAACAUAAGUUUUCCUAAUAAAAGUAAUAACUAACAAAUUAGGUACUGAUUUGUCUAAAGAAAAAAAAAUAUUAUCAUUUAAGACCCCGAAUAAAUAUAGAAACUACACUUAUCAAAAAUCAUGGCUCACAAAAUCUAAGUAUUCCUUAAAAAUCUUUGCCAUAAAAGCAAAUCUUCACCAUAAAUACCUCUUGUCGAUGAGACCUCUGUCAUUUGACUCCCUACAAUGAAGAUUCUCAAUGCUAGCAAAAUUAAUUUGAAGGAUAUACUAGAGUGAGAUAGGGUUGGGCAGGUAUGGUUGAUUGGAGGAGUUGUGUAAACAAAUAUCUACUAGAUUGGGGUUAUGGUGGUUUGGGAUAUUUGUGUAGAGGGAGAUUCUAUUUAUCUUAUAAAUGUAUGUAUGUAUGUAUGUAUGUAUUAUUAUUAUUAUUAUUAUUAUUAUUAUUAUUAUUAUUAUUAUUAUUUAUUCCUUCAUUUUUGAAAUUUUUUUGUAAGUUUGUUGAAUGUGAAAUUGUUAUUUAAAGUAUUGUGGUUAUGUAGUUUUUCUUUUCUUUAUUUCACGUGUUUUCAUUGGGAAAAUAUUACCUUUAUUCCAUGCAUUUUUAUUGAGAAAAUAUUGUUUUCUUUAUUCCACGUGUUUUUGAUACUAUUUUCAUCUUCAAGAAUAUUGUUAGGGUUUUGAUAUAUAACGAAUACUAUAGAAGACUUGAAGGUUGGGAGAGUGUAAAUUGUGAAUUAAAAUAUUAAAAUUAGUGAAUUAAAAAUUGAAAGUUCUUGAAUCAAAUUCAAUCAUGAACUCAAUUAUUGAUUUAGUAAAAUUGUAAAUUUAUGUUUUUACGUUAUAAUCAUCCAGGUGAAUAUCCCACAGAAAUCCUAAUUUGUUAAUUGAAGAUUUUUUUUUAAGCAAUUUGUAUUAGAAUUUAUUCUUAAGACGUGUUGUUCAUUCUUAAAAGAAGUAAUCCAAACACGUGUAUUUUCAUUUUUAUUUGAUGUGGAAUUUAUAUCUUAAUAUGCCCCAAAAGAUGGUGGGUCAUUUUAUGCAAACUAAUCUUGAAAUUUGUGUACUCAUUUUUUUGAUACCAUAUUAAGAUAAUUUUAUCUUAAAAGCUCAACAUUAUUAAGAUGAGUAGCCUAAUCCCUUCUAUGUUGAUAUAUAUUUUAAUCUUUAUUCGAUUGAAAUUUAUCUCUUAACAUUUAUAACAUACAUAGCCACUCCAAUACUAAUCAUAAAAGUGUUUCAUCUGAGAUUUUCACAAUUUUCCAUGUUGAAUUGGUGACUGGACUCUGCUUUCAAGACAGUUUUGUUCCCCAAAUUUCAGGUUUUUACACCCUUGGACAUAGUACAGUAAUUGCAUUUUCCCCACAUCUUGAUUCAUAUGUUUGAUGCCAAAUUGUCCGUUUACUCUUCAAUUAAUUUUUAAUACAUUACUACAAUACUGAGGUGUCAUAAUUUUAGAGAUGCCACCCAUAAAUUUAAAAAAAAAAAAUUGUCAAAAAAUUUAGUGGGUUUUGACAUCAUUAGAAUUGUGACACUUCAAAAUAGUAAUAUGGCGUCAAAAUGUUAUGGAAGACUAUCAAUGAAAACCGUAGAUCUAGGCUCUCGCAAACCCCCUUUUCAAUAAGGGGAAGAGAUGGGAAAAGAUAGAUUCCUAUUACUAGAAGCAUAAUUGUUCAUAAAAAUAAUAUUUCGAUUUAAAACUCUGCAAGUGUACGGUUCGUUAAUAAGUAAUAAAGUGGAAUUUAGAGUUCUAAAUAUCAUCUCACAGAGAUUGAAUAGUUUAAUUCUAUCUAACUUGACCUUAAUCGAAACCAAAUUAUCAAACAAGAUUUGUAGUAUCUCAAAUUAACCCUAAUUUUGGCCUAAUAUGCAAAUAUGUAUGAAUCGAAUGGACUAAAAUGCAAAGUAAAUGUUUGAACGCAAGUUUGAUGUAAUCAAUGAAUAUAAAGCGCAUUAGGAUGACGAAUCCCCAAGCAAUGCUCACCUUUAAUCCUAGUUCUACAAUUUGAUAACAUGUUGAAUUUUUGAAGAAUCAAUGCUCAUAAAUCUAUCCAACAAUCUCUCUUAAAUUACGUUGAACCUACUCUCAUAUACCAUCUGCCUAUAUCUUUAUGACGAGUGUAAAUAUACAAGAAUGCAUGCUUAUUUGUGAGAACUUAAAGAUUCACACAAGGCAUAGAGGUAAAUCUCUAUCCCUUAUCGGACCCUAUGAUGAUUUAUACCCUACCAAGCUUAUUCCUCUUCUCUCGAAUAUAUGUAAUAAGUCACUACACUCACACAAUUAUGUGCACAUAAGCAUGAAAGAAAUUAAGUGUAUAUAAACCAUUCAAAAAAUUUCAUAUCAUGCUUUGAUGUCAAUAUUGUAAAACAAUAAAUCAAAAAUUCAAUUUAUAAGGUUUAUCGAUCUCUUAGUACAUAUAAAUCUAGCCUAGCAUGAAGAAAGUAAUAGAAUACACAACGAAUUUUGACGAAGCGACAUCACCCAAUUAAUUGUUGAUCUAAAUCUUCACGUCUUGGGGUUGUUUUUCGAGUUUCUUGCCUCGUUCUGCGCUCUUAAAAUCCUUGGGAAUAGGUUGGAAUGUGUGGUGAAUGCUUAAGGAUGGCUCUAGGGUUUUAAAAUACUUCUUAAGAUUUGUUUCCAUAAGAAUUUCAGUCAGAAUAGGAAACAUAAUUUUUUCGUCGCAAUUGGCCAGGGCGACUGCCCAGGCUAAUGUUUUCGCCUCGGUAAUUGUUCCUAGAUGUUGGGUAGUCGUCCAUCCUAAAUAAUUGGGCAGUCACUUAGUUAUAAAAACUUCCAAAUGUUGCAUUUUGAUCUCCGAAUUCAAUUCUUGAUUUUUUUUCAGAUCUUUUCUCCUUUUUUUUCCUUCUCCCAAUACUUCAAGUCUUCAUUAAAUUUGUCCUUGAGUAUUUCAUAUUGUCGUUUCUGCUUUCAGUUCAUCUUUUGGAUAUUUGCACUUUGGUCCUUGAACUUUUAUUUUCUUCCAUUUUGGUCCUUUUUCAUUUAUUUUCUCUUGAAAUCGGCUACAUUCAUUAAUAUAAUCCUACAAAACAUAAUUACAAAGAAUUAAGUUGUAUUCAAAUACUUUUAUCAACAAUUUGUCAUGUUUUGUGGCAAAAUAAGUAUGUAAAAAUGCACUUAUCAACAAUCUAGCAUAAAAAACUCAUGCAUGAUUGUAGGGACUAGAAGUCCUCCAUACUUAACUUCGAUUGGAAAUUUAGCCAAACAACUUAAGAAUUCGAUAAAGAAAAGUCAUAAAUGGCCUAAGCUAAUGGUAUCAAUAUAUGUUCACCGCAAUAGUAAAGUAUGCCAAGUGGCUGAAGAAUAAGAUGUACGAUAUAAGCCACAAUGAUUUUAAUAACAUACGCAAUCUUACCAUAAUAACAUUUACUAUACAAGGGGACACACACAAUACAUAGAGAUGGACAAAAUAUUUGACAAGGAUUUUUGUCUUACAAUACUCAGCAACAUAACACCAAUACAACACCGAUCAGAACAACAGAAAAAUUACGAAUCUUUUUUUCCACGCAUUGAAUUGACUUGAGAAAACAUAGAAAGUCACAAUGUCUAUUCUUUUUUUGCAGGAUAAACAAUGGAAAAACAAAUAUCGAAAACUACCAACAGAAUCAAACGACUCUGCCACACAUUGAAAGACCCUCAUUUUGGUAACUAGUAAUCGAAUGAUAGGGUCUUCUGCACUUUGAAGGCAGUGGAGGAUCUCAAAUUUUGAAUUUGAGUGUCCUCUUCCUCGACAGGAUCUACACUCCAAUUCAAUUGAUUGACACCAAAAGUCAGUACAUUGAUACUCUCUUCUGUCUCUUUUGAUAUGUUCGAUUCUUGGUAAACCCCAAGAUAAGUCUUAAUAUAUUGCGCUAACGUCUCUUUCACAUCUUCUUUGUACACUAAGCAAAUCCCACAUCCUCUUGGCUUAACCUACGCCUCUUCCAUUGUCCUAAUUGUAAGACAUCCAUCUAUUUUAGCCCAAUCAUCUAACCGAAAUUUCAGAAAUUGAAGCUGGAAAAGAUGGAAUGAUACGUAGCUUAUCCACACAAGAGCAGAUUUAUAGUUCUCUUCUAUCUUGAUGAUCCCUUUCCCCUUUGCCAGGUAACGUGGCAUGGAUUCGUGUUAAACACCUCCAACAUUCAUAGAAAUACUUUCUUUUUCUUACUAGAUUUCCUAUUGAUGCAAUAACCUAAGCGUUAUUUUAUUAGUUUUUUCCUACUAAUUAGGCAUCAAAACCAUAAAAAGUAAUUAGGAUCUAUCUCAUUCCAUGUUAACAAAGAAGGUUGAAACAUGCCCUCUAAGCACCAGAGAAAGCUAUCCUACCACCACCUAAACAGUUUAAACUUAGUUAUGUAUUAAAAAUCCCGUCCGCAUUUACUCUAAGUAUGAACCAUGGAAUCAGCAUUGAUUUAGUACAGAUAAUUACUAAAUCCAUGUAGUAAGAGUAAUUGCUCUUGCACGUACUGGAAAGGGCAGAAUUUAGAGACCAAAGAGUUUAGUAACUCAUCAGCGGCAUAUUUGAACAGUUUGAAGCAAUUGAAAAAUGAGAUCUUCUACAAGAACGUAUGCUUUCCUGAGAUAUCAGCCAAGCUCUGUAAUGAAUGGCAAUCAUCUGCACCUAGAACAGCUAUACUUUUUGGUAAAUCUGGCAGUGAUUCAAGACUUGAGCAACUUUCUAGUGUCAGGAUUUUUAGCCGAGGAAGUUCAGAAAUCUUUUCAGGAAAUUUACGAAGUUAUUUCUGCUCAGAUCUAACACUUCCAGACACAAUAAGCUGCCAAGAUCAGCUGAAAUUUCCUCAAGUAGAUCGCAAGAACUGAAAAACUGGCUGAAGUGACUACUUAAGUAUUAUCUGUUGAAUGAUUAUAAAUUUGUGCACAAUAUUUAGCGCCGACUAGAUUUCGAAAUCUGUGGAUUAUUUCACAUACCUAUUGAAGAAAAUGUAACUUAGAUUUAUGAGAAUAAUUAGAUGGACAAAAAAAUUAUUUGUGCUCGUACGCAAUUAUUGGAUCUUGGGUGGAGCUAAAAUAUAUAAGGUAGAUAAGAGAAAAAUGUAACUUAAGUUGGUGAGAGUCCCUUGUUAUUGCUUUUAUUUAAAAAAUAAAGAUUAAUAAUUAGAUUGGACAAAGGAUUGACUAGAUAUUAUCUAAAUUAUUGGAGCUUGUAAGAUAUAUGUUCGAACAGGUCCUUUGGUAGCUCUAUAAAGUUUUGGACUCAAUUACAAUUGCUGUGAUAGUUUUGGAUUUAUACGUAAUUGUAUUCAAAGUUUAGGAACUACACUUGAAAUUGCAUCAAUGAUGGUCUAAUUAGACUUGGACUUAGAAGGAAACACCAUUUUUUUCUAUAUAAGUAAUCAAAGGGGCGCCUUGGAAACUAUACUUAACACUAGGUGCAUUUUCUUUCUUAAAAAGGGAAAAAAUGCUUUCAUGCUUUCUUGAUCUAUCAAGUGUAGAAUUAGAUAUUUAAUUUAAUUGAAAGGAUGUUCAUACAUCGAUAUAGUCUAUAUUCUUGAGAAUACCAUAAAAAAAGGCUGAAAGCUUCAAGUUUCAGGGUUUUACACCCUUUGAUGUAGUACAAUAAUUGUAUUUUCCCCAACUCAUGAGUUCGUAUCUUUGGCGCCAAAUUUUUUGACUACUAUUCAAUAAAUUUUUAAAACAUCACUACAAUUUUGAGCCAUCACAAAUUUAGUUAUGGCACCUGAUGAGUGUGUUUCACUCACUUUUAUACCUUUUUAACUUGAUUAUUGGCUAGAUUCUAUAAGUAUUGAACAUUUUUAAUGUGUUUGUUAGAGUUGUUUUACGGGUUUGAUGAGGUGGCUUCAGAGACAGGAAAAAACAGCAUAGUACCACACCUAGGCACCCAGGUGCUACACCCAAAAAAAAAAAAAAAAAAGGGGAGAAAACCAUUGAUAGAAAGGGUGUCGCCCCUUGGGUGCUGAGGUGCUACCUAUAAAUCCUUCGCGGCGUCAGCACUUAAAAAUUUUAAAAAAUUAUAAAAAAUUUAAUGGAUUUCAAUAUCUUUAAAAUUGUGACACUUCAAAAUUGUAUUAAGGUGUCAAAAUUUUGUGGAAGACCAUAGAUGUAGGCUCUUGCCAACCCUCCUUUCAACAAGGAGAAAAGAAGGGCAAAAAUUAACUCCUAUUAGCAGAUCCGCAAUCCAAAAUAGAAAACUUGUGCAUGAUGUAGCAGAAGGCGAAGGAAUACAAAUUGUAGGGACCAUAAGUCCUCCAUAUGUAACUUUGAUAGGAAAUUUACCCAUACAGCAUGAGAAUUUGAUAAUAGCCUAAAUCAAUGGUAUCAAUAUAUGUUCAUCGCAAUUGUAAAGUGUGUCAAACAGCUUCAGAAUAAAGCCAUAGAAGUCACAAUGAUUUCAAUAACAUACACAACCCUCACCAUAAUACCAUUUAUUGUACAAGGGUACACACACAAUACAUAGAAAGACCGUCUAAAAUAAGCAAUACUAAGGAAUAGAACACCCAAUACAUCAUCAAUCUGAGCAAUAGAAAAAUUACGAAUUUUUUUUUCCAAGCAUUCAAUUUAAUUGAGCAAACCACGAUAUUUACUCUCUCUCUCUCUCUCUCUCUCUCUCUCUCUCUCUCUCUCUCUCUCUCUCUCUCUCUCUCUCUCUNNNNNNNNNNNNNNNNNNNNNNNNNNNNNNNNNNNNNNNNNNNNNGUUUUGCACAAAAAAAAAAAGGGAAAAAAAACAUAGAAAAUUCCCAACAGAGUCAAACAACUCUGGAAAACAUUGAAAGACCCUCAUUCUGGUAACUAAUAAUCGAAUGAUAGGGUCUUCUAUACUUUGAAAGCAGUGGAGGAUCUCAAACUUUGAAUUUGAGUGCCCUCUUCCUCGACAAGAUCUACACUCCAGUUCAAUUGAUUGACACCAAAAGUCAGUACAUUGAUACUCUCUUCUGCAUCUUUUGAUAUGUUCAAUUCUUGGUCAACCCUAGGAUAAGUCUCCAUAUGUUGCGCCAAUGUCUUUUUCACAUCUUCUUUGUACACUAAGCGAAUCCCACAUCCUCUUGGCUGAAUCCAUGCCUCUUCCGUUGUCCUAAUUGUAAGACAUCCAUCUAUUUUAGCCCAAUCAUCUGAAUGAAAUUUCGGAAAUAGAAGCUGGAAAAGAUGGAAUGAUACAUUGCCUAUCCGCACAUGAGCAGAUUCAUAGUUCUCUUCCAGCUUAGUGGCAGUUAGAGUGAUAUUAGCAGUGAACUCCACAUGAUCCUGGCUUAUCAAUUUUAACGUGACCCCAACUUUUGAUUUUGACACCAGACGCUCAAAGACAAAGGAGACUGCAACCCCAGUGACAUUCUUAUGCCAAUCUGGAGUUAAGGGGAUGGUUACUGAAUGACUCAUGCUUUGAUGGCUGAACCAUUCUGGAAGCUCCCUUCCAGGAAUGAUUAAACUAAAUCGAUUAUCAACAACAGGUUAUCCCUGUAACAGGAAAUCAUGUGAAUAAACUUCCAGAGUUUUAUAACUACAUUUAUAUAACUCGUGUUAUGUUAUUGAUAUAAAGAUGCUUAAAUAAUUCGUUCAGUGCUUAAUGAAGCCGUUACCUCAUACAAAAGACUGCUUAUAUGUUCUAUGUAUUAUUGUAAGCCUUAAAUAGCAUCUCUAUAACGUUGCAGGUUCACUUUUUUCCAGUUUUUUCUACAGAUUUCUGAUUUUAUUGAAGUGUUACUUUACUAAUUUCUUCUCUACUAAUUAGGCAUCACAAGCAUAAAAUUAAUUAGGAUCUUUCUCAUUUCAUCUUAACAAAGAAGGUGGAAACAUGCCUCCAAAGCAUUAGAGAUAGCUAUCCACCCACCACCUAACCAAUUUAAACUUAGUAAUGUGUUAAAAUCCUGCAUUUAUUCACUCUAUGUAUGAACCAUGGAGUCAGCAUUAUUUAGCAGAGAUAAUUACUGAAUAAAUCUUAGUAGUAAGAGGAACUGUACUUACACGUGUACUGAAAGGAGAGAAUUUGGAGACCAACUUGUAAAGACGAGGUUCCAAUAGAUAUUAGAGAUUACAACAAUAAAAUGUGCAGUAAUGUAAAAUCAAAUGACAAGAAACGUAGAUAUCAUUAAAAAAUUCCCUAAGGCAGUAACAGAUCGAAGAAUCGCCCAAAAAUAUAAGUGCUUCUGUGUCCGGAACAACCCACUGCCAGUUGAUCUUUAACCAAGGCUUAGAAAUCAGGGUGUUUUUGCACUCAGACUAGAAUCAUCCAAGAUCACAGAAGAUUCGAUAUUCUCACUUCGCACAAAAAAUAAAUAAAUAAAAAAAAAAUGUUCACACAAGAACACACACCACUUCUAAGUAAAAGAAUCACUCAAGAUUAUUAAAAACCGAUUUGAGAAAGUGAUGAAAUUCAAAUGAGAUCUUUGAUUUUCAGAGAGAAGGAGAAGAAUAACUCAAAUGGCUAGAGUAGAGAGAAGUCCCUAUAAAACUAGGAAAAUCACGCAUCUCAACCCUAGAGCUACCUUAUAUAUGAGUCACCAAAUGGUCAGCCAUCCAAUGGACAUGGGGUUGACACAUGGCAUCAUCAUGGGCGUCCAUUAGAAGAAACAUGGUCUUGAAAAUGAAAUUGCGUUCUUAAUAAACCAGCCAACACUUUAAAAUUAACAAGGAAAUGACAGCUGGUCAACUCACACAAUUGCAUCAUUGUGCCACACCAUUCCACAAGUAGAUAAUGGAGCAACUUAUCAGCAGCAUCAUUGUUCUCCUCAUUUUUGAACAGUUUGAAGCAAUUGAAAAAUGAGGGCUUCCAUAAGAAGGCAUUCUUUUCCGAGAGAUCAACAAAGCUCAAUGAAUGGAAAUCAUCUGCAUCUAGUACAGCUAUUCUUUUUGGUAAGUUCGGCAGUGAUUCAAGACUUGUGCAACUUUCCAGUGUUAGGAUUUUCAGUCGAGAAAGUUCAGAAAUUUUUACAAGAAACUCUACGAAGUUAUUUCUGCUCACAUCUAACACUUCCAAAGACGACAAACUGCCAAGAUCAGCUGAAAUUUCCUCAAGUAGAUCUGAGAAACUGAGAUCCAAUUUUUUUAAGGAACAUAAACCUGAUAAAGGUGGUUGGGGUGGAGGCAAAGAACCUUUUGUCUGGUUACUACUGGAGAGUCCUAAUUUUUGCAAAGGUAACAUACUAGAUAUGAUGAGGACAUCGAACGACGUUUACUUAUUUUAUUUAAGCUUUAUUUAUUUUCUUGGACUAUUAUUUAAAUUUGGACUUGUAUGGGCUCGGGCCCAAGCUCGUUAGGGUUGCUUUACUAUUUAAACCUAUUUUGCAUUGUAAUUUUCAAUUGAUGAUGAAUGAAUAAUUAUUUUGGUGGCUUAUGGCGCAUCCCUCCCCUUCUUCUAUUGAAUUCUUCUUCUAUCCCCUCCCUUAAUUCCCCAUUCUUUCUGAAUUUUUCUUCUAUUUCUAUUAAUCAUCCUAUUGGUGCUGCAUCAAAUUUGGUAUCAGGGCCUAAACUUGGGUAAUCUCUCAUCUCCAAUUCAAAAAUCUCUUUCUAUUUCUUUCCUAAGAAUUUGUGGAACAACACAAACAAAUAAACUUUUAGCAUGAGCAGCCAAGUUAUUAUUUUUCCAGCUUCUUCAUAGUUGUUCCAAAAAAAAAAAAAAAAACUGUUCACGUUACUGUUCNNNNNNNNNNNNNNNNNNNNNNNNNNNNNNNNNNNNNNNNNNNNNNNNNNNNNNNNNNNNNNNNNNNNNNNNNNNNNNNNNNNNNNNNNNNNNNNNNNNNNNNNNNNNNNNNNNUACUGUUCACGGGUACUAUUCACACCCGAAAAUAAAUUUUUUUUUUGUAUUAUCAGCUUCAAAAAAAAAAGUUACUAUUCACACCAAAAAAAAAAAAAUCUCAUUUUUUCCCUCAUGCUGCUGCUGCUGCUCAUAAAAAAAAAAAUAAUAAUAAUUGUGGUGUUGUUCCACAAAUCCCAAACCCUAGCAUUCAAGCGUACUUAGCCCUUCAACCCAUAUAUUCCAUCUCUAUAACCUACUUCAUUCAUUUUUUUAUCAAAACACUUGGGCCAUAAACUAGUGGCCCAAAUUACUCUCAAAGCCCACUAAACGCACAACCCAUCUCUCAUCAUCUAUUUAGCCAAUCCACUUGCUUUUCAGUCCAAUAAACACUAAAUCCAACCCACUUAUCACAUAUUAUCACAAUCGGCCCAAUACCAUUCAACCCAUGAUCAGUCCCAAAUAUCCUACCAAACCCGAUUAUAACCAAUCCAUUAAAAUCAAAUACCCCACAGUUUCACCCGAUUUCUCUCUCAUAACCACUCUCUUGCCAUUGCAGCCUCUAAUCACCAUCACGCCACCACUUCAUUAUCUAUUGUACCCAGACAUCCAGAGCACUACCGCUUCAUUGCCAUAGGCCACCACUACCUAUGCAAGAUCAUACAUUUCCACCACAAUUACCAUACUCAUAUAUUUUCUCGUCCAUCUCAAGAAUCUAAAAGCCACAGUCACUACACACAUUUUUACGUCCACACCAGAACCAGCACAAGUUACAAUCUACAAGGGCUAAAACCAUUGGAUACGAAGGGAGAACAAAAGCAUAGUUGGGGCUUAUAAGUCGGCAAUUCGGAUCAAGCAGCAUACAAAUAAUCAAAACUAAACAACAGGGAGUCCUUGAUUUCUAUUUAGUAUUGGUUUAUACUACUGCUUCAUUUUUAAAAUUGCAUCAAUUAAAAUCUUGUGCUGCUGUUAUUGUGAUAAUUUUAGCCUUAAACCUCACUUGAUCAAAAUCAUUAAUCGAAUUGACACCAGUGACCGAAUUGACUUCCAUUGUUCUCCACUUAAAUUGAUUGGAGAAUUUGACUAGUGUUGACCCUUGCUUUGCCAUUUUACAUGUACUAGCAGUAUUAGCUUGUUUUGGAUUUAAUUAAUCCCAAUAUUUAAAAUUAAAUUAAAAAAAGGGUACAAAUUAUUUUUCAUUGCUUGCACGUAUUGUUCACUGAUCUCAUCAUAGCACACCAUUUAGCUGGUAUUACAUUGCAUGUAGUUGCAUAGUGGUCGUCUUGUCAUCUCUAUUUCCAAUACAUUGACCAUGGAUCCAUCCCAAUUUGAUGCACUCACUAGACAAUUAGCGCAACUUGCCACUAGCCUAUCGACUGUCCAAUCGGAUAUAACUGCUACUCGUGAGGAGAGAAAGAACCUAGCUGCUAAGUUGAGCAAUUUUAAGCGAACCCCUCGUUUAACUGACACUAAUUCUAAGCGUCUCAUAAUAGACAAUAUCAUCGUGGACAAAGUGAUCAAAAAUAUUUUCGACGCGAUCGUAGGAAUAGGGAUCAGAUUCGUAAGCGAGAACGAGAUAAUUUUGAAAUUCUUACUCAAUGGAAUGCCCUUAAACAAGAAAAUCAAUUAGUGACUGAGUAUAUCGCGCAAUUUGAGGAAUUUCGAACCAAAUGUCAUUUAAUUGAGGAUGAAAGCAUGACUUUGAGUAGGUUUAGCCAAGGUCUGAGAGAUGAUCUUAAGCGCGAGCUUUUCCUUCGAGGUGUCACUAUUCUUGAUCACGCUUAUUCUUUAGCUCGAGAUUAUGAGUUGAAUAUUAGUACUCCAUAUGAAAAGCGUGGUCAUCGUCGUUCACCCAUCUCAUUAGCGUCGCGUCAUCAUAAGUCUAUCAUAAAACCUUCUCCAUCUAAUGUUCCUCCUAUUUGGAAAAAAUAAUUGUAAAGGUCGUGAUAGUUCUUCUUCAUGUAGAAAGCGUAAUGGCAAUCAUCUUUCGGUUUCUUUAGCUCCACUUCCUCCUAUUAUGUCCCUUCUAGGACCUCCCCCGUCUAAUGUGGCUCCACUUCCUCCUGUUAAGUCCCUUCUAGGACCUCCCCUGUCUAAUGUUCCUCCAAUUUUGGAAAAUAAGGGUAUAAUUUGUGAAACUCCAAAGACUUCUCACUUGCUAUGCAUUAGCUGUAAGGAUUUUGGCCACAUCUCUUCCAAAUGUCCUAACCGAGCCUUAGUCAUAGAAGAACGAAAGAAUGCAAUAGAAGAGUCGUUAGAAGAUCUAGCAUAUGGCCCUAAACUUGAAGAUUUUGAUGAUUAUAGUGAGGACACUUCUUUAAGUGGAAUCCCGACCCUUCCCGAGACUUUAGAAACUAUACCCCUUGUUUCCAACAACUCUCGAUCACAUGUUAUAUGUCAUACCCUUACCCAACUCAAAGAGUUUGAAGAUUUCACUAGUCACCCUUGUAGAAUCCAGUCGGUUCUUAGCACUAAAUUGAAAUUCUCCACUACUAACCAACCUCAAACUGAUGGUCAAAUCGAAAUUGCUAACCGAAGUCUUGGCAAUUUAUUACAAUCUCUAGUAAAGAAAAAUCUUGAGAAUUGGAACUUGAUCCCCCCAACUGUCCACAUCGUAUAUAAUAAUUCUAUUAACCGGUCUCUAGGUCUAAAUCCAUUUGAAGUUGUUCAUAGUUAUAAGUCUAGACGACCGUUAGAACUUAUUCUCAUGUCCCCGCAUGCUAGUGUGUUGUUGUCAGCUGAAGUAUUUGUAUAUCAUCUUCAUGACUUGUAUAUUGAGAUCAAUAAACAACAUGACGCAAGUAAUGCAUUAUAUAAACUUCAAGCUGAUUCGCAUAAACGAUAUUUUGAAUUUAAUAUUGGGGAUUAUGUCAUAUUGCAAGCUUGUAGUGCUGGUCCUUUAAAAAAUUUAAAGCAUAUUGGUUCAAAUGCACUUGUCAUUGCCCUUUCAUCACAUUUUAGCCACCACUUUGCUUUAAAUAUUGAGGACUUCAUUACUUACAAAUACCGUAUUACUUCUUUUGAUGAUCUAUUUCUACCUAACUUUGUGGACCCUCAAUUUGACUAUAUUGAUAUUUCUACUUUAAUACCAUCUAUCACAGCACACAAAGAUAAAAUUGAUGUUAUUUUAGAUGAACGUGUUGUAUUGACCAAUGACGGCAAAAUUCAGUACUUCCUUGUUUGUUGGGUAGAUCGACGUACUUCUUAUACUCCUCAUUAUGUACAAUCAUGUGAAAAUAUUGAAGAUGAGGUGCAUGAGUAUUGGUUAUUUGAAGUCCAGUAUCAAUACUUGGUUAGAAGGAAAGAUCAGCCCCCUUGGUCAGAUCAUAUUCUUGGGAAUAAGCUACAAUUUUCAGUACUAUCAAUUAUGGAAUUUCGUUACUUGGUUCGUCAGAAAGAUCGUCCCCCGUGGCUCGACAUGAAGCAUUUGGAGUAUCUGAUUGACUACAGCCUAUACUAUCUAUCAACUCGACAGGGUCGAGUUUUUCUCCCAUCCCGGGAGAGUUGAUGAGGACAUCGGACGACGUUUACUUAUUUUAUUUAAGCUUUAUUUAUUUUAUUGGACUAUUAUUUAAAUUUGGACUUGUAUGGGCUCGGACCCAAGCUCGUUAGGGUUGCUUUACUAUUUAAACCUAUUUUGCAUUGUAAUUUUCAGUUGAUGAUAAAUGAAUAAUUAUUUUGGUAGCUUAUGGCGCAUCCCUCCCCUUCUUCUAUUGAAUUCUUCUUCUAUCCCCUCCCUUAAUUCCCCAUUCCUUCUGAAUUUUUCUUCCAUUUCUAUUAAUCAUCCUAUUGGUGCUGCAUCAAGAUAUAGAAGAGACAGAUGACUCCAAAUUAUCAAAAAUUAGAGAACUCCGAGAUUUUGGCCGCUUGCAUCUACUGAAUGAUAAGACAUUCAAUUUCGUCAAACACAUAAUGGACGGCGGUGAUUGUGUAAUAUUAGUUCCAUCUACAAGAGGUUCUUCUUAGGAUAUCACUUGUCCAAGGUUUUCUGGCAAUGUCUCAUCAAGCUUAGAGCAGUCAGAGAGAUUGAGAGUUCACAAAGCUUUCAAAUCACAACUACUAUUUGGAAGAUUUUUUAGGUUUUUGCACUUGCUGAGAUUUAUCAAAAUAAGGCCAGUAAUUUUGCUGACUGAUGUGGGUAGCUCUUUUAUUGCAGUCCCCUCCAAAUGAAGCUCUGACAAGGAUUUUAUUUCCACUUUCACUUCUGGAAAUUUUUCCAACAUCACACAGCCCCAGAGAACAAGUGUUUUUAGAAGUACUAAAUGGAUAUCACUUGGUAGUGUCUUUAGUUUGACGCAGUGGGCCAAAUUUAAGUAUUCAAACUUCUUAAGAUUCCGAAGGGAAUCAUCAGUCUUUUCCAAGUUCUUACAAUUGCUGAGAUCCAAUCUGAUGCAGUGGAAAGAACAGAAGCAGAAUAUGUGUACAACAAAAUCCCCACAACUCUUCCACAAACCUAGAAAUCUGGACUAGGAAUUGAAGGAACAAAGAAAAACUCUUGCAGAGAAUUCUUAAAGAUAUUAAAAUUCAGUCUGAAAAAUGUCCCCCUAUAGAAUGUGUCCAUAUUGAUGAAAAAACCAAGGAAAAUUCUAGACAGGAAACUUAUCAAAAAUGACAAACAUAAUAAUUAACUUAUGGAAACUUUCCUUAAACUCGACCAACAUAAUAAUGGAAAUAAUGGAAAGAAAAGCUAAUAAAAUAACUUGGUAAAAUAAUGGAAAGAAAAGCUAAUAAAAUAACUUGGUAAAAUAAAUAACAGCCACACGAUCUGAUCCCCCCAGCAGCACACGAUCUGAUCAUCUGUAAGGGCUGAACUGCUUCAAUCUUCAAAGGUCACGUCUGCAUCAUCUUCCCCGGGUUGGAGAGAAUUUGCCCUCGAAUUCGAGUCCUUCAUUGAUGAAUUACCAACAUAUGGAACCAGGUGCCUGACGUUAAAUACAUCACUGGUCGCAACUUUGCUUGGAAGCUUCAACCUGUAUGCAUUAGGAUUGAUCUUUUCAAUCACUUCCAACGGUCCAACUUUUCGAGCAGCAAGCUUAUUAUAAUCUCCAGCAGAAAAUUGAACUUUUGUCAGGAUAGCCCACACAAAAUCCCCUACUUCAAACUCCACAGAACGCCUUUUCAUAUCAGCAGCAGCUUUGUAUUUGAUAGUAGAAUCUUAUAAGUUCCUGACCAUUGCUUCAUGAAUUUUCUGAAUCUAACUUAUGAAAUCUUCAACCUUGACAUGAACUCUUCUGAUAAUAGGAAGAGGAGCUAAAUCAAAUGGUGCGCGAGGAUUAUAACCAUAAACCACGUGAAAAGGAGUAAACCCCGUACUGCUAUUGGUAGACCGAUUGUAAGCAAACACAGCCUGAAAUAAUUUUUGAUCCCAAGACUGCAAGUGAUCACCUACCAGACAUCGUAACAAGUCUCCCAAAGAACGGUUUACAACUUCGGUUUGCCCACCGGUUUGAGGAUGAUAGGCACUACUAAAGUCGAGCUUGGUGUUAGACAAACGCCAUAAAUAUCUCCAGAAAUGGCUGAGAAAACGGGUGUCCGUGUCAGACACAAUGGACGACGACAAUCCAUGUAAUCGAUAUAUCUCACGAAAAUAAAGGAGUGCCACAUUAACAACAUCUAACGUCUUCUUGCAAGCCACGAAGUGUACUAUCUUGGAAAAUCGGUCCACCACCACAAAAAUAGAAUCAUGCCCACGCUGUGUUCUAGGCAACCCCAACACAAAAUCCAAGCUAACACUAGUCCAAGGUCCUUUCGAAAUAGUCAAGGGUAAGUAAAGUCCUGCAUUAGUUGCUUUCCCCUUCGAGACCUAGCAGAUCCGACAUCCUUCCACAAAUUUUGCGAUUUCUCUCCACACAUGAGGCCAGAAAAUUGUUCUGUGAUAAGCUUCAAAGUUUUGUCAUGCCCUACAUGACCUUCAUUGUGUAAUUCCUGAAUAAUCUUCAGGCGUAAACUUCCCUCGGGAACGCACAAUUGAUUUCCUUUGAACAGAAACCCAUAAUGCAUAGUGUAGUCAUCUCGAGGUCGGGAUCCUAAAUCACUCAAAAUAGGACCAAAAAAAGGAUCAACUGAUAAGCAUUCUUUAAACUGAUCAAAGCCUAUUACCUUGGUGCGCAUUUGCACCAGUAAUGACACCUUCCUGCUUAAAGCAUCUGCCACCCUGUUCACAUUCCUUGAUUUAUGUUUAAUGGUGAAAGAAAAUUGUUGAGUGUAAACAGCCCAACGAGCAUGUCUAGCUGAAAGUUUAUCCUGAUUAUGGAGGUGCUUCAAUGCCUCAUGAUCUGAAUAAAGGAUGAACUCAUUAUAUGCCAGAUAAGAACUCCAAUGCUUCAAGGCCCGAACUACAGAAUAAAAUUCCACAUCAUAAGUACUAUAAUUAAGUUUAAACCCAUUCAAUUUCUGGCUGAAAUAAGCCACGGGUCUACUCCUUUGACUUAGAAUGGCCCCAAUGCCAACUCCAGAAGCAUCGCAAUGCAACUCAAAAGGUUGAGAAAAAUCUGGCAUCACAAGUACAGGGGCGCUCGUCAACUUUUCCUUAAUUUGUUCAAAUGCCUCGGUUGCUUCGUUCAUCCACAUGAAUUUUCCACCCUUUAUACAAUCCAUGAGUUGUGCCGUAAUAGUACUAAAAUUUGGGAUAAAACUCCUGUAAAAAGAUACCAACCCAUGAAAGCUACGUACCUCCUGAAUGGUAGUAAGAAUUGGCCAAUUCUGAAUAGUUACGACUUUAGAUUCAUCGACAUAUAGACCAUCUUUGGAAACCACAUAGCCCAAAAAUAAGACUGAGUCCGUCAUGAAAGAACAUUUGGCCAAGGCUACAAAAAACUUCUCCCUGCGAAGUACUUCCAAAACCUCCCUCAACUGCUGAAGGUACAACUCACAGUAGCACUAUAUAUCAAUAUAUCAUCAAAAUUACAAGGCACCGACCAAUGAACGGCCUAAAAACCUAGUUCAUCACCCGCAUAAAGGUACUAGGGGUGUUAGAUAACCCAAAAGGCAUCACCAACCACUCAUACAAUCCUUCCCUAGUUUUGAAAGAAGUUUUCCACUCAUCUCCUGGACGUAUACGUAUCUGAUGAUAACCACUCUUCAAAUCUAACAUGGUAAACACAAUAGCACCACUUAAUUGAUUCAAGCCGAGGAAUAGGAAAUUUGUACCUGAUUGUAAUUUUGUUGAUAGCCCUACUGUCAACGCACAUCCUCCAGGACCCGUCUUUCUUUGGAGUAAAUAAUGCUGGCAUGGUACAUGGACUAAGGCUUUUUCUGAUAUGACCUUUUGACAACAAGGUCUCCACUUGACGCCUAAGCUCUUCAUGCUCUUAGGGGCUCAUGGGGUAAUGUGGUUGGUUCGGUAGAUUAGAACUUGGAACUAGGUCAAUUUGAUGUUGUAUUUCUCUCAAUGGUGGCAAACCUUCAGGUAACUCAUCUGGAAAUACAUCAAAAAAUUCCUCCAACAAAUUUUUCACGAGAAGUGGUACUUUUCUCCCCGUAUAACCGUCUUUUCCUAGCAACACAAACAUCACCCCAGACUCCUGAAACUCAUUCAUAAACUCCCCUUUAGCUAACAAAAUUUGUCCUUCCCCCGAAGGGUAUCGGGGCUCAUCCCUUUUGUUAGGCAGUAAGACAAUCUUUACUUUGUCAAACACAAAACUAUACGUAUUUCGCUUUCUAUCAUGUGUAACAUUCCUGUCAAAUUGCCACGGCCGACCCAAUAAAAGAUGACAUGCAUCCAUGGUUAUCACGUCACACCAAAUUUUAUCCUUAUACUUCGCAUCGAUAGAAAAUGAUACCAAGCAACGCUUAGAAAUAGUUACCUCACUUCCCUUCUUGAGCCAAGCCAAUUUGUAAGGACUAGGAUGCUUCUCCGUCUUCAUUCCCAACUUCUUAACAACCUCUUCAGAAAUCACAUUCUCACAACUACCUGAAGGAAUGAUAAGUUUGCAAACCUUGCUACCAAUGGUACAAGUUGACUGGAAAAUAUUGUGACGUAACCAGUCAUCUCCUUCAUCCUUACGAGGUGUCAAACAUGCCCUCCUCACUACUAACAAAGGGCCUUCAUCACCUGUGACUUGCUCCUCUUCGUAUUCCUCCUCCUCAACAUCGUAAAUAGGUUCUUGAACGCCAUCAACAGCUGAGUCUCUAGAAUUAAUGAAUAGCCCCUUACCGUAUCUACCACUUUUUUUGCAAUCUGCCAUGCGAUGACCUUGCUCACCACUUAUGAAACAUUGUGCUUGGGAGCUUGAUGCUAUCCCCCUGUUUGGCUGGGAAUUACAAUCCCCUUUAUUCUAGGAAGACGGACCACCUACAGUUCACGGCUGGGUUGUCUGAUUUCUUCCAGUACUACCGUUAUUGUUCAUCCCACCAGCACUCCAAGUCCUCCUAGAUAAGGUCUUCUCCAAGUGCAAAGCUCACUGAUGGGCUUCAGAAACAUUCACCAGGUCAAAAAAAUUCAACGAAUCCUGAAAUUACUGUCUCAUCCCUCCAAUAUACCGUGAAACCAACUGAUCAUCAGAUUCAGCCAAGUCUAUACGUGCUACCAGUUUAUAAAAUUCCAUAGUUUAUUCAUCUACAGAUCUUGUUCCUUGCCCUGUUUUGAAGUUGUUGGUACAUAAUUCUCACAUAAUUAUGGGGUAAAAAUGCUGCCCUCAUAUGUUUUAAAAAUUUCUCCCAACUACAGAUUUUUGGCUUACCUUGGCGCACUUGGGUAUGUUUAGUUUGCUGCCACCAAGCAGCAGCUCGUCUCCUAAAUCUUGUGGCUACUAAGGAAGCUCUUCAAUCAUCUGGUACUCCCUUGAACUCCAAUAUUUCCUCCACAACAGCAACCCAAUCCAGGAACUCCUCAGGUUGAAGGCAGCCAUGGAAUUCUGGAAUGUCCAGUUUGAAGCCUGACUCGCACGUGCUAGUAUUUUGUUGAACCACAGGACGUGCUCUCCUUUCUCUCAAUUCAGCAAACGGGUUUUGAGCCGCUUCUUCAUUACUCGCAGCAUCACUUUCUCCUGCAAAGUGAUCAUCAUCUCGCACUUGACGUCGACGAUAUUCAGUAUUAAGAGCCGCCAGUUGUUCAGUCAGGGCAUCAAAUCGGUGACCCAUCUGAACAAAUCGCUCAUCCACCUGUUGUAGUAUUCGUGCCUCCAGUUGUGGCUCACGUGUCACCUCAUUGCGUUCGUUCACCUCGCCCAAUGGUACAUGCCCUCCACCACGAAUUCCUCUACGCGCCAUGGAAGAAAAAAAAAUCAGCAAGGCUCUAAUACCAGCUGAUGCAGCAGAAAGAACAGAAGCAGAAUAUGUGUACACGAAAAUCCCACAACCCUUCCACAAACCUAGAAAUCUGGACUAGGAAUUGCAGGAACAAAGAAAAACUCUUGCAGAAAAUUCUUAAAGAUAUUAAAAUUCAGUCUGAAAAACGCCCCCCUACAGAAUGUGUCCAUAUUGAUGAAAAAACUAAGGAAAAUUCUAGAUAGAAAACUUACCAAAAAUCACAAACAUAAUAAUUAACUUAUGGAAACUUUCCUUAAACCCGACCAACAUAUUAAUGAAAAUAAUGGAAAGAAAAGCUAAUAAAAUAACUUGGUAAAAUAAUGGAAAGAAAAGCUAAUAAAAUAACUUGCUAAAAUAAAUAAUAGCCACACGAUCUGAUCCCCCAGCAGCACAUGAUCUGAUCAUCUGUAAGGGCUGAACUGCUUCAAUCUUCAAGGGCCACGUCUACAUCACAAUCUUUCAAGAUUGGGAAUUUUUCUGAAAUCUGUAGUUUUCACCAAAUAUUUAGAGUAACUGAGUUUGAUGAACUUCAAGUUAUUCUGCUUAAUUGAGAAACAGAAAGGUGGGACAAGGGAAGGGGGAGAUCAUGUUAGCUCUUCAUAUCCAAAUGAAGCAUUCAUUAUGUGGCAAUGAAACUAUGAUUAAAAAGAGAAAAAUUCAUAACAUACCAAUUGUGCCUUUUCUAGUCCUCUAAGGUGUUCAAUAUGGCUAUGGCACAGUUUCAGUCCAACGAGUUUUUCCCCUUGAAAACUUGGAGGCAGAAUCCUCAUUUAGCACUUAUGCAAAUCAAGCCAUUGCAAGUCACUUGGAAUAGAAGCUGGCAUUUGCUCAAUGCAUGCAUUGUGGAUUUUGAGUAGCCUCAGGUUUUUCAUAUCUGUAAAGGCUUUCGAGCCAAUUUCCACGCUCUCUGGUUUUGAGAAGUCCACAUGUAUGCCCUCAAUAUCUUCUAUUCCCUAUAUAUUAUCACAAUAUAAUAAAACAGGGAGGUAAGUUUCAACGUUAUAUCACUUGCUUAAAACGUUACAUAAACUUAGUAAAAGCUUCUUCAGUAUCGAAUAAGUAUUGAGUUCAGAUCUUACCACAUUUUUGGUUAGGACAUGGAUUGUUUCCUUGGGUGACCAGGCUCUUUAGGAUGUUCACGCUGCACAAUGUACCAACCCAUCUCUUGUAAAUUGUAAUAAGUUAUUCAUCUGAAGUCUGUUAUCAGUGGUCACGGUUAAAAGUGAUUUUUUAAUCAGAUCCAUUACUCCAAUCUCAGCUCACCGACCCAAGCCAUCGAGUUUUCUCAUCACAUUUUCUUUGUUCUUCCCCUUAAAAAAACAAUCAAUAUCCAGAAAUAUCUUCUUCUCCAUGUCAUUCAACGCAUCAAUACUCACUUUAAGUUUCUCCAAGAUUUUAUCUUCCGGAAUUUCUUUCCAACCAUCCAAUGUAAUUUUCCAGUCUUCAAUAUCUCUACCAUAUAGAGAAGAGCCCAACACCUUAAGAGCUACAGGAAGACUGCGAGCAUAUCUAACUGCCUCAUGUGCAAGCUUUUUAUCUUUGGAGAAACCUUCCUUAAAAGGCAAAUUUGCUAAACAGCUUCAGUGCUUCAUCAGUCCCUAAGACACUGACCUCAAUUUGAUGUGACGAAAGUAACUGUCUGUCUCUUGUUGUUAUGAUGAUUCUGCUUCCAGCACCAAACCAAUCAUGCCCUCCAGCCAGUUGGUCUAAAUGCUCAAGUUCAUUGACAUCAUCAAGAACAACAAGCAACCUUUUGUGAAGUAACCUUGUGAAUAGCAUAGACGUAUUAUUGUGGAGAUUUGCACUUUUUUCCAUCAGAGUGUCAGAGAGUAAUUUUUAUUCUAAUGAAUUCAGUCCUAAAGUUUUGGAAACUUCUCUUAUAUCUCAAGAUAGCAACUGCUUCAAAUUUGCUAAAUAUUUGAUCGAAAACUAUCCUGGCAAUAGCUGUUUUUCCGAUGCCACCCUACUCGAUAUACCUAUCAUGCGAACAUCUUGAGUUGACUCUAGAUUCAACAGUGACAUCACAUUCUGAACAUGUGCAUCUGUUCCAACCAGGUUUUCUUUAAACGGAGAGAUUGUAUGACUCAAAUUGUCACUAAUGACUUUGGACUCUGCCUAAAGAUCAGAAAGAAGGAAAAUAUUAGUUUACAGUGGCAGACUUGAGUUACAGAUGAAGAAAAAUCUUAAUAAUGAAAAAUAGUUGAAAUCGUUCUCAAUUUUAAAUAUACUGAAUAUGAAUGCAUAUUAUCAAAAAAUAAUGAAAUACAAAUGUGUGCUCAAUAUCUUUUCCAUUUGCAUAUAUUCACUAGUAAGUAGUUACAUAUGAACAUGUUAACUAUUAUAUGUUACCAACAUAUCUAAAAUCCUAAAAUCUCAAAUUCAACACGAACCCUAAUCGAGUUUGUAAAUUAGAAAUGAGGAUAAGUUCGAAAAUCCCAUUCAUUACAUAUCACAUACUUAAAUAAGUACAAACAUUUUAGCAUGAAAUUUUGUUUAUAUACAGUAUUGUGAUGAUAUUUCCUUUCCAAUUUCUUUCUUAGGAAAAUACUGAAGUCGCUGUUUCCACAAGUACAAACAUAAAAAAUGAUGCAACGUGGACAUAGCCAGUACGGAUCAGGCCUCUAUUUAUUUAUUUUUUGCUUCUUAUAUUUUUCAAAAUAAAACAAAAAAUCAUAUGUUCUUUCCAGUGCAAUUUCUUUUCAAUGUUACAUUGUGAAAGAUAUUGAAAGAUAAUGGCUUAGUUUUCAUUGAAUAAUGGUGAGGUAUAUAUACACGGCAAUAUGUGAUUGAAUUGUUGACCAAAACUCAAUUAAUAGCCAAUCAAAUAUUCUAAGCUUAGCUAAUGACCUGAUCUAUGAGAUUUGUUGGCAAGUGGAGUGGUGAUAGAUUUGGCCCCUGUCAUAUUUGUGCGAGCAAGAAGAUCCAUGAUAUAUUUUCAUUGAGAGAGAAGUAAACCAGAGAAAGUAGUGGCAACUUCAAUACGAAGAAAGUAAGUCAAGUCACCAAGAUCCUUGAUGGAAAAUCUUUUACCAAGAAGAUCAAUAAAUUGUUGAACUGUAGUGGCAUUAUUUCUAGUAAUAAUUAUAUCAUCAGCAUACACAAGGAGAUAGACUAGAUUAUCGUUGGUGUUGAAGAUAAAGAGUGAUGUUUCCGCAUGAGAGUUUGUAAACCCAGAGGUUAUAAGAAAUUGUCUGAGCUCAUUGUACAGGCUCGUGGUGCUUGUUUGAGAUCGUAUAUAGCCUUGCGUAACCUGCAGACAUAUGUGGGAUUAUCACGAUCAAGAAAACCUGGUGGCUAUGCCAUAAAAAAUCUUCAAAGAGAUGACCUUAUAGAAAGGCAUUGUUGAUGUCAAGUUGAUGAAGAGACCACCCUCGACUAACAGCAAGACUAAGAACCACGCAAACAGUAGUGGGUUUGACAACCAGAUUGAAUGUAUCAUGAUAAUCAACACCGGGACACCGAUGGAAACCGUUAGUGACUAGUCGUGCUUUGUACUUGUCAAUUGAGCCAUCAGGUAGACGUUUUAUUGUAAAAAUCCAUUUGCAACCGACGAAAUUUUGUGUUGAAUCGGGGAGGUCAAGUUCCCAUGUCCCAUUCCGCACAAGAACAUCAUACUCCUUGGAUUUAACCUGCUGCCAUUUACGAUUUUUGAGGGCUUGGGUCAACGUGUGUGGUUCAAGUUGAUGAGACGAGGUGAUGGUAGCAGUAAGAUUAAGUUUUUGGAUGGGUUUAUGGAUGUUGUUUUUAGCAUGAGUGGUCUUGGCAUGGAUGUUGGUGGGUGCGUUUGGAGGAGAGGAGUUUGGAGAGAGUAGUGAGGAAGUAGAGGGUGGAUCGUGUGGGUUAUUGUUUGUGUUGGUAAAAUGUGCUGGGCUAUUAGAUGGUGGGGCUCGGUCUACUAAAGUUUGUCUGAGAGGAGGUGGGAUUUUGGUUACGGCACGUGGAGUUUCGAAGUAUGUGCGGUGGAUAGAGGAUGUAGAGUGGUCAACCAUAGUGGGAAGAAAUGACGAUGACGGAAACCAAAUUGGGAGUAUUUCUGGACUUGGUUGACUAAGAUGACUUUGAAUGGAUUUGAAUGGAAAGAUAGAUUCCACAAAUUUGACAUGACGGGAUGUGUAGAUUUUGGAAGUGGAAGGAUCAAGACAAAGCUAGGCACUUUAGGUGAAGGAGUACUCAACAAACACACAAGGGAUGGACUGAGACUCAAGUUUAUAACUAGAAUAGGGGCAAAGCCAUGGAUAACAUAAACAACCAAAGAUACAAAGUUUUGUGUAAUUUGGUGGUGAAAGAAAAAGGGACUCAUAAGGAGAGGAAAGGGAAAGUGUGGGUAUGGGCAUGCGAUUAAUGAGAUACACAGGGUUGCAAAGGCAUAGUUCCAGUAUAUGAGUGGAAGUGAGGCAUGAGUGAGUAGAGUCAGACAGGUUUCAACAAUAUGUCGAUAUCGGCGUUCGGAGAGACCAUUUUGUUUAGAUGUAUGUGGGGGAGUUGUGGGAUGAGAAAUUCCAUGAAUAGAUAGAAAUUGAUCUAAUGCUUGAUAUUCCCCACCAUUGUCGGUGUAAAGAGUGACAGUGGAGCAUUUGAAGUGAUUUUCUACUAGUGCCUUGAAACGAAGAAAGACAUCACAGACAUGAGAUUUCUUCUUUAAGGGGUUAAUACCAAACAUAUCGUGUAAAGUGAUCAACAAAAAUAACAUAAUACUUGAAAUCAUCAACAGAAUAAACGGGGGAGGUCCAAACAUCUGAAAAUAUGAUUUGUAAGGGAUGAGAUGAAACAAUCGUAGAUGUAGAAUAAGGAAGCUUGUGACUUUUAUUGCAUAAACACGCAUUACAAUGAGAGUGUUGUGACUUAGAAUAAGGUAAAGAAAAUGUUGACAUAAUAUGCUGAAGAAUAGGCGAUGAUGCAUGACCUAAUCUGGAUUGCCACUCGGAGAAAGUGGUCUUCAUGCUGGAAAAGACAAUGAGCGAAGAAGACAAUGUUGGAGAGGAGGUUGGCCACUUAUAGACGCCAUUUUUAGUGUUUCCCAUCAAAAGGAUUAUCCCCCCUCGCUCAGAUCCUUUACAUGAAAGACAGUGGGUAAGAAUUCAAUAGAAAUAUGAUUAGUAUUGCGAAAUUGAUAGAUAGAAAUAAGAUUCUUUUUCAUGUUAGAUAUGCAAAGAAUAUUACGUAAAUUAAAGGUGUGAGCAAGGGUAGGAAGGGUGGUGGAAUCGGUAUGGGUAAUGUAAAAACCCGAGCCAUCGCCGAUCAUAACGUCAUCAGACCCUGCAUAAGGAGUGUGAAGUGAAAGAUUAUUCAAAUCCGUGGUGACAUGGUGUGACGUCCCACUAUCAAGUAGCCAUGUGGGGGUGUCAGUGGUGUCAAGAGAUGCUAAGUGUGAACCCGGUUGCCAAGGAGAAGUGGGACGUGGAGCCUGUGGACGUGUUGCUGACGGAGCUAAUGAGGAUUGGGUGUUGACAAGUCGAUAAAUAGGGCAUCAUUUGAUAGUUUAUCCUUGAGCACCACAACCUUGGCAAUACCCAAGAUAUGAACAUAGUGGAGGACGAGCAUUAUGAGGAGCAUUGGAUUGUUGAUUAUGAAUGGUGGUUGUGGAAGGACACCAAGAUUGAUCGUUGUGUGUUAUUAAUAGGAUUGGCGGUGGCUGGAAAGGUUGAUGGUGGUACGUGUGAUUGUUGGAGAGACGCUUCAUUGCUGAUGAGUUUUUCAUGAAUUUCAUCAAAGGAGAUUGACAUUUCAUGAGCAUUAACCACGUUGACAAUUCCCUUGUAUUCCUCGCUAAGACCGUCAAGAGUUUUAUCGAUGAGAUCUUCUUCAUUAAUAGGUUUUCCAAGAAGAGCAAGUUCAUCAGCUUAAUUCUUGAUAAAUUGUAAAUACUCGGAGAUUGUCUUGGAGCCCUUGACACAGUUUUUCAAUUGGUCCUUGAUCUGUUUGAUGUGACCACGGAGUGGUUUGGCAUAGGUAUUAGCCAAGGUGAUUGGCCAGUAAAGGUUGGAUAGGUAGAGAGACUGCACCAAGGAGUACACUGAAGAGGAGAGGAUCCUGGCGCUUCCAUGUUAUGUAGGCUGGAUUUGGAGUUGAUUUACCAUUAGUGGUGAUUGUCCUGGCGCUUCCAUGUUAUGUAGGCUGGAUUUGGAGCUGACUUACCAUUAGUGGUGAUUGUUGGUUUGGGUUUGGAGUGGGAAACAUUGAGAAAGCCAUAGAGAUCAUAUCCUUCUAAUUGACUUCUGAUUUGGAGGCUCCAUGUGAUGUAGUUGGUGGAGGUCAGUUUUGUGAUUUUGUAGUGUUGAUGGUAACAAGAGGAUUAUUUGGGUCUUGGGUAAUUUGAAUGGUGGUAUGAGCAUUGGAAGAUGUAGAGGUGUCUUCGGAAGCCAUUUGAAGAAGGAAGUGGAGAAUUGUUGGAAAAAAAAAAAAAAAAAAAAGAAACAGAAGAGAGAAGAGGGAGAAGAUAGGUCAGAAACCUGACUGCUCUGAUGCCAUGAAAGAUAUUGAUAGAUAAUGGCUUAGUUUUCAUUGAAUAAUGAUGAGGUAUGUAUGCACGUACAAGAUUUGAUUGAGUUGACCAAGUCUCAAUUAAAAGCCAAUCAAAUAUUCUAAGCUUAGCUAAUGACCUGAUCUAUGGGAUUUGUUGUCAAUUAAUAUAUUUACAACAUCUAAUGAGAUAAUUACAGAGAUACACAAUUAAUUCUGCAAAUACACUGGUGACUGCUCUCUGCUUUCAAGAUGAGAUGAUAGUAUAUUUAGGCAUGAACAUAAAAGCUACGUAUGAGAUUAUCAAGUAUCAAUAAACAGGUUUUAUGAUAAUUAAUCAGUAAUUAAGAAAAUCUUAUAUAAGAUCUGUAAAGCAUGGUAUGGAUAUCAUCAUUACGUUGUGCACCAACAUCCCAAGUCUCAUAUCAGCUAUAGAAAAUUUUAACCUUUUUUUGGGAUCCUUCUCGUCUAGAACUAUAAAUUAUUUUUCAUAAUUAUUGUGUUAAAAAUUGUGAUACUUCUUAUAUCUCUAUCCCUUCAUAUUUUAGCAAUAGAGUAUUGAUACUUUUAAAAUAGAAAUGAUAAGAAUUAUGAUAGACUUGAUUCAUCAUGUGUGAUAAGUUUAAAGUAUUGUGAUUAAGAAGUAUCAAGCAUUACGGGGGUGUUCCCAUUUCAGAGUUUAAUAGAUUUCUUAAGAUUUAUAAAUUCUCAUGGAUUGUGUGAAAUUUGAUAGAAUUAAAUAGAUUUCAUAAGAUUUGAAUGGAUUUCUAUUUUGUAGAUUUUAAAAAAAAUUCAUGGAUUUUAUAGAUUUCAAUGGAUUUUAUAGAUUCUGGGUAAAAUUUAUAAAUAUGCUUAACAAAAGCCACAAAUUUUUGCUUCUUCUUUAACGACUCAUUCUUACACAUAUGCACGUUAAUAAAUCACAAAAAAUGAUCGAAUCCUUGUUCAAUUGUUUGUUAAACAUUGAAUAUUAUAACAGAGCUUCAAUAAAAAAUACACCCAAUAUUCAACAAAAUGCGUGAGUGGGAGAGGUCAAAAAUAUGGAGUUUUAAAUAAUCGAAGUCGUAAUCAAUAUGAAUUAGUUCAAAAGGCCACAACCUUGUGAGAUACAAACACACAGAUGUACAAAUACAUGACCACAAGGCAAUUAAUUCCAUAACCCCAGAAUUCUCAUUGACCAUGCAGACACAAAAGAAAAAAUUGUGGGAUACCAUCCUCACAUGUCUUGGCUAGGAUUUGUAAGUAUAUAUAGAAAACACACAGCUCUUCCCACUAAAAAGGAAUAGGGUACAGAACUUGAAAAAUGAAGUUGUUCCAAUAUGCAUACUAGAAAUCGUAAAUUACCAUGAUAAUUUCCAACACAUCUAUAAAAUAGUAAACAAUAUAUAGCUUAAAUAAGAAAAAAUAAGUUCAAUAAAAAAUCACACCCAAUAUUCAACAAAAAAUAGUAAUCUUUCAUAAAUUAUCAUCAAUUGAAAAGUUCUCAUACACGAUCUUUUCACAGUAGAGAAAUGUGAGAUAGAAAGAAGAAAAUCUUGUUCAAGAUUGGGGGGGGGGGGGGGGGGGGGGGGGGGGGGGGGGAGAGAGAGAGAGGGUAGCAAAUAUGGAAAAAGGUGAGAAAUGUUGUGAAAUUUUUAGGUUUGGGUUAAAAUUAUUACUGAUUCUUUGUACUUAUAUUUUUACCUUGAAAUUCUUCAAAAUCUAUCUACUUAAUGAAAUCUUUUAAAAUCAACUAGUUAUUGAGGAUAUCUAAAUUUCAAAACUACCUAUUAAAAUCUAUGUUGAGGACACCUAAAUUUAUAAGUAUUUUUAAAAAUUUAGAUUGUGAACACCUAUAAUUUAAUGAAUUAUAUUUAAAUCUAAAUUGAGGAUACUUCAAUUUAUAUAGAGUUUUAAAAUCCAUCAAACUCUAGAUUGAGGACACCCUCCUUAGUAUUAGCGUAUGGUAGAACUCACCUUGAACCCAACUUGUAAGGGGUCCAGAAUGUCUAAACUGCUUAAUCUACAAGGUGACGUGAGAUUUAGAACUGAUGGUUGCAAAAUAACGUAGAUUUGUCUUAAAAUUAUAUGCAUAAAGAAAGUAUUACAAGCUAAUCAAACACUAUUUUUAUUUACAUAUUUUGUAGAAUUCACAACUUUUACCCAUUACAUAUUACCACACUUUGCGUAUGAAUCACAACUUAAAAGCAAGUUAGCACACAUUAUAAGGAAGAGUGAAGUGUUGAAAUUUUACCCAUCAUAUGUAUGUUUGGGAUCCCAUCCGGUAUCAAUUGCAGCUAUCUGCAAAGCAUUCCUCCAGCUCUCAAUCUUCUUCAUAUCCACCUUAGGAUCGUUUUCAUAAGACAAAAGCUUCUCCAAAACUCCCAUUUUGCUUCCUAACAUCAGAAGGAUCCACAUCGUAGAAUACAGGAUAAAUCUUUUGGCCUAAUUUCUGUUUACAUUUGACGAUCUUAACAAUCUCAUCUAAACACCAAGAGGAAUUGGCAUAGUUUUUCGAGAAGAUAACAAGAGCGACUUCAGAUCUUUCAAUGGCUUUUUCGAGUGUUGGAUAAAUGGAACUCCCUUUCUUGAGUUCAUUGUCGUCUUUGAAAGUGCGGAUUCCCUUUUCGUGUAAGGUUUUGUAGAUGUGGUCGACGAAACCUUCACGGGUGUCUUCACCUCUGAAACUCAAGAAAACGUCGUAACUCCAUAUAGGGGUGAUGGCAGUGGAAGAGGAAUUAGAGGCAUUUGCAGAAGACAUUUUUGAGUGUUGCUAGUAUUUUUGCUGGCCGAGUUAUAUAGAGCUUCCCAGUGUUGCUGGUAUUUCUGCUGGUUCACCGAUAUAUACAGCUUGCUGGUCACACAUGAGGGCUCGUUCGAGGCGCUUUUAAAAACUUAAAAGGUGCUUAUUUUUAAAUUUAUUUGGAUAAUUUUCAAGAGAUACUUUAUCUAAUUAGAAGAGAGCUUCUAAAAGAAAUUGGUUUAAGGUAACUUUUUUGAGAAACUAUUUUGAGUAAUGCAAUUUAACACUAAUAUUGCAUCAGUAUAAGUGUCAUUAAAUAAAAGAUACAAUUAAAUAAAUUAUAUAAUUUCAUAUUUAAGUGAACCUAUCACAGCAACAUAGAUUGAUGCUAGAUUGUAUUGCUCUAAAUGUAGCCCCUAUUUAGUGGAAAUUAAAAUCAAAUUUUUAAUAAAUUUUGAUAAAAGUUGCUAAAAUAUGUUAUUGAAAAGUUGUAAAUCACAUGAAACAUAUUAUUAAAAUUAAUUAUUGACACUGACUUAAAUGAAAUCAAUAUUUUAAUUCCCACCAAAUAGGGCAUAUUGUGUUAUAGAAAUUAAUUUUGAAAAAAAUAAUUUUCGAAAAAAAAAACUCCUAACCAUCUCUACAUGAGAGGAGAGAGUGAUGUUUGACUAAGCGGAGACCUUGGGGAAAUUUUGAACAAAUAAGUUAUUUGUACAAUCCUUGUUGACAAUCUUGGUGUUGUUAAAAUUCGGGCUAUUGAUUUAAAAUACAAUUUUAACAACUUUUAAAAUUCAUGAAUGUGAUCCUACUAAGUGUGAAUUUGUCAACCAAUGUUGUACAAGUAGUAUGAUUCAAUUUUUAGUAGGGUAAACAUAUUUUACAGACUAACUAAUUUAACAUUUGGUCACUAAACUUUCAGAGAAAUUACAAAUUGAGUUAAUAAAAACACACACACACAAAUUGUUAAAUACUAGUGAUACUACAUAGGUCUGAGCAUGGUUCAGGUUGGAUUGGUUUUGAUUUGGGUCAAUUUUAUGGGAAAUUUGCUUACUCCUAAAUACUAUUUAAGAUUUGAAGCUCCGUCUAUAAAGAUAAACUUUAUUAAAAGGACUAAUGCAAACCCUUAUAUGUUAAUUAUAAUUUUGAUAUUUAUUCGAUUUAACAUACAAGUCUUCAUAAAUUUAUAAUUCCCUUGAAUAAUUAAUAACAAGGCAAUUAGACGAAAACCCUAAACCUAUGUCCUAAAAUGGUUCAUGGGCGCCGAAAAAGCAGAAAAUAAUGACCAUAAUUUAACCUUAGAAAUCUAUACUGUAUUAUUAUUGAUCAUAGAGAGAGAGAGAGAGAGAGAGAUGUCAUAUGUCAUUAAGGGGGAGAAGCUUUUAAUAUAGAAAACAAUAUUCCGUACAUUAAAUUUUAUACAAUUACUUGGAUUUUGAAGAAGGAAGAAGAUUCAUGAAGAUUAUUCGACAGUUGUUGAAGAGAAUCUAGAGUUCAAGAUGAUUUUUUGUUUUCCUUUUACACUUGAAUUGUGGAUGAUGUAUUAACAAUCCAAUUUGUGCUUUAUAAUUCCAUGAUACUCGAUCGGUAAAUUGUAUAGAUUCUAGUAUAACGAGGUAACCUAUAAUUUGAUUUUUAAUGUUAAUUUCCUAAAUUUGAUUUUAAAUAUUUGUUUGAUUUGAAUGAUUGAUAAGAUUUCAAUGCUUCAGAAAUACGUGACAAAAAUUAAAUUGAUUUGUGAUUUCUAUUUUGUUCGAGAAAAAGAAUACAAAUUAAAGCACAAAAUAACAACCAUCAUAAAGCCCAACAAGGGAUAUAGAUAUACCGUUAUGCUUUCUACGUUCUUAUUGAAUGUUCUAAUCGUUUAAUGUAUAUUCAUAUGUUCACAUCUUUCAGAACAAUAUAUUAGGGUCAUGUGUAAGGAUAGUUUUUUUUAUUUCUCAAGAUUGAUUAUUAAAAAAAAUACAAAUAUUGAUCACCAAGUACAAAAAAGCAUUGUAAAAUUAUAAGAUUGAUAUUAAAAUGGAAGAAUAUAGGAGAUUCGAAGUUCCAGUGAUCUUCAUUAAUUGAGUUUCAUAAACAACUUUUAGUCAGUUUAAAAGUUUUAUAGAUUAUUAGUAUAAAUCUUUGACUUGCCAUCAUCAAUCUUUACAAAUUAUGCUAUUCGAUUAAAGUUAUUAUUAUUAGGAAUUAAAUUGAAUACGCAUUCUUCGUGCGAACAAUGCUUUACGCAUAUUUUAUUACUUACUAUGAUAUCGUACACUUAGAAAAUUUUAGACCACUUAAUCAACUCCGCUCUUUUAUAAAUUUUCUUUCCCUAAAUAAGUAGAUUAUCUUUCUUCAAAUUUGUGAAAAUAUCUGCUAAAUAACUAUACUCCUCCACUUCACUCUACCAAAGUAGAUAAUCAUUUUUUUAUUGAGUAUCAAAUCUUCCCCCACUAAAGCACCUUUUUGGCUCCAUCCCUAUUGAGUCUCUUACAUAUCCACGCUUUGAUACAAUAAGUUCGUCAUCUAUUAAUUAUAAUCUUAUUAUAAUUUAAAGAUUAAUGUGAAAUUUUGAAAUCAUAUUUCGUUCAAUCCACGACUACAAUUUACUUAGUUAUCAUUUAUUUUUGUCACAUUAACAAUAUUAAAAAUUAAUUUUCUAACAAAGAUGCAUUUUCAACAUUCGAGAGCUACGAAAGAUGAGAAAAUGUCGGGUUAUUUCCGUACAUUCAGUUUUCACACUUCUCCUUUUUGGCCCUUUAUAAUCAUGUAGAAUAAAGGGGGAUUUAUUUAAAAAGCCUAGUCAGCAAUAAUAUUUGGUAAAAUAUGCUAUGUCAAUACUUUUUGAUUAAUUAGUCUUUAGUCUACUUUAUAAUGUGUUAAAAGUCUUAAACACCCUUCAUUUGAAAUAUCUAAAAUAUCCAAUCUGAAACAAAAAUUUACCAAAGUUUCCAAACUUAAAUGCCCAUUUUUAUUUUGACAUUUCGUACACAACUUAAACCAACAAGUAAAAUAGCAUACUGCCUUUUAAAUGAUUGAAUGUCAUUUUAACUAAUAUCAUGUUUUUUUCACUUUAUAUUUCUUCGUUUCCACAUAAAAAUUAAUUAAAACAAGUUUUAACUAUAUUUCGAAUGCUAUUGAGUGUCCGUGAUCCAAAACGACAUGAUGCCAUUAUAAACUACUUGAUGACGUUUUAUCUAAAGUAAACAAUUUUUCACUAAUUUAUAGUGAAAUCGAGAUCCCAUAAUCCAAAAUGGCAUACUACUGUUUUAAAUGAUUGGGUAUCGUUUUAACUAAUUUCGUAUCUAACUCACUUUAUUUUCACUCGUAUGCACAUGACAAUGAAUGAGUGGAAGUUUUCAUUACAUUUGGACACGAGUAACGAUACAAAGUUCAUAGGAUAAUGAUCAAUACUAUUGUUCCGUGGAUAAAGUAAAUUAGAUAUAACUACGAACGAAAGUAAGUAAGUUAAUUUCGAUUAUAUUCUAAUUAUGAGAUAAGAUAUUUAAUAAAUUGCCUCGUUUAACUUGUACAAGUCUUUAAGAUGUUCUAAGUCUAAUCAACUCGUUUUGAAGUGAAAUCAAGGCCUCGUCAUCCAAAAUAACAUGAUAUAUUUAAAAGGCUAAAUAAUUUAAAUUCCAAUUAAGAGAUAAAAUACUCCACAAAAUAGCUCGUUUAAAUUGUUUAAGUCUUAUAUGAUGUUCCAAGACAUGAUUGAUUUGUUUUGGAGUGAAAUCGAGACCCUAUAAUCCAAAAUGUAAUGAUCUCGUUUUAAAUGAUUGGGUGUUGUUUCUAUUAAUUUCGUAUCCGUUUCACUUUAUUUUCACUUCUAUGUACAUGAAAAUAAACGAAUGGAAGUUUUCAUUAUAUUUAUCCCGAGUAUCGACAUAAAGUUCACGCGAUAAUGACCAAAGCUAUUGUUUCAUGAGUAAACUGUAUUAGAUUUAACUAUGAACGAAAGUAAGUAAAUUUCAUUAUAUUCUAAUCAUGAGAUAAGAUAUUCAACAAGUUGACUCAUUUAACUUGUAUAAGUCGUCCAAAAUGUUCCUAGUCUUGCCAACUCGUUUUAGAGUGAAAUCAAGGCACGUGACUCAAAACGACAUGAUAUCAAUGAAAAGUUAAGGUGUCGUUUCAACUAUUUUUGUAUUCAUUUCACUUUAUGUUCACUCGUAUCCUUAUAAAAUGAAUGAAUGCAACUGUUUACUACAUUUGGAUAUCGAGAACCCUAAUUUAAAACGCUAUUGUUUUAAAUGAUUGGGUGUUAUUUCAACUAAUUUCAUAUCCAUUUCACUUUAUUUUCACUCGUAUGCAUAUGAUGAUAAGCGAAUGGGAGUUUUCAUUACAUUUGGACAUGAGUAUCGAUAUAAAGUUCACAUGUUAGUGACCAACAAUAUUAUUUCAUAAGAAAAUUACAAUAGACUUUACUGCGAAUGAAGUAAGGAACUCCAAUUCUGUUAUAUUUAUUACGAGUUAAAAUACUCAAUAAAUUAGUUUGUUUAACUUGUAAAAGUCUUUGUUUUGAAUUAUUUACGUUCAUAACCACUUCAAAGUUUAAAGAUGAAAGUUUCAACUACAUUUCAACGUUAUCGUCGACACACUGAUUCAAAUUAUAGUAAGUCACUCUGUAAUCCGAUUAAACUGCACUACACUACACCUGACAAUAAAGAAAAGGUAAGUAACAAGUGUGGUAUGCAACACAUAGCACGUACGGUCAUUUAAUGUGUACAAGUCAUGUACGAUAUUUCAAACACUAUUUUACUAGUUUCAAAGUGAAAUCGAUACCUUAUGGCUCAAAAAGGCAUCUGAUCAUUUUAAACGUAUGAGUGACAUUUCUACUCAUUUCGUGUUCGUUUUGAUUUAUUCAUGCUCGUAACCAUUUGAAAGUUUAAGGAUGAAAGUUUUAACUACAUUUCAUCAACACAUUUGUUCAAACUAUAGCGAGUCACUCUAUAAUCGGUUAGAAACUAUACUACACUAUACUUGACAAUAAAGAAAAACGUAAGUCGCAAAUAUGGUAUGCAAAACAUAGCAUGUAUAGUUGUUCAAUGUGUACAAGAUAUGUAUGAUGUUUAAAAUACUAUUUUACUAGUUUCAGAGUGAAAUCGAUACCUUGUGACCCAAUAAGGCAUUUGGUCAUUUUAAAUGUAUGAGUGAUGUUUCUACUCAUUUCGUGUUCAUUUCGAUUUAUUCAUGCAUGUAACCACUUGAAAAAUUUAAGGAUAAAAGUUUUAACUAUAUUUUAUCGACACAUUGAUUCAAACUAAAGCGAGUCCCACUAUAAUUCGGAUGAAAACUACACUAUACUAUACUUGAGAACAAAGAAAAAUGCAAGUAAAAAGUGUGGUAUUUACGUGUAGUCGUUCAAUGUGUACAAGUCAUGUAUGAUAUUUCAAAUACUGUUUUACUAAUUUCGAACUGAAAUUGAUAACUUGUGACCCAAAACGGCAUCUGGUCGUUUUAAACAUAUGGUUGUCGUUUAGGGUUUAGGGUUUCGAGCCUAGGGUAUAGGGUUUUGGGUAUAUUGUUUAAAUGUAUGGUUACAUUCUGAACAUUAAUUUACUAAUUUUAUAGUGAAAUCGAGACUUUUUGACUCAAAACGGCAUAUUGUCAUUUUAUUCGUAGGGGUGCCAUUUAGGGUAUAGGAUAUAAAAAAAAUAAUGAAUAUGUAAUCAUUCAACAUGUAUAAGUGAAAUUCGAACCCUACAACUCAGAACGACAUGUGAUCAUUUUACAAGUAUGAUUGCCAUUUAGGUUAUAUAGAAACCGUUUAGGGUAUAUAAAACAUAGAACAUUUCGAACUGAAAUCAAUCCGCUACCUAAAAUGACACGUGAAAAUUUAUUUUCAUUCGUAUGCAUAUAAAAAUGAAUGAAUUGAAACUUUCAUUACAUUUGUUCAAAUUACAAUGAGUCACUCUAUAAUUCGGGGGAAAUUACAUUACACUUGAUAACAAAGAAAAACAUAAGUAGCAAGUAUGGUAUCCAAAACAUAGCAUGUGUCGUCCCUCAAUGUGUACGAGUCAUGUAUGAUGUUUCAAAACAUGUUUUACUAGUUUCGAAGUAAAAUUAAUAUCCCAUGACCCAAAGCGACAUCUGGUCAUUUUAAACGUAUGACUAAUGUUUUAACUCAUUUAGUGCUCUUUUCGGUUCAUUUAUGUCUGUAACCACAUGAAAGUUUUAGAGAUGAAAGGUUCUACUACAUUUUGACAUUGCUAUCGACAUAUUUAUUCAAACUAUAUUGAGUCACAUCAUACAUUCAAUUGGAAAGUACAUUACAUUUGACUACAAAGGAAAAUGUAACAAAUAUGGUACACAAAACAUAGCAUGUACAAUAAUACAACUUGUACAUCUUAUCUAUAAUGUUUCAAACAUUAUUUUUACAAGUUUCGGAUGGAAAUUGAUACCACAUGAUCCAAAAUGAUAUCUAAUCAUUUUAAAAGUAUAACUAACGUUUCUACUCAUUUAGUGUUCGUUUCGGUUCAUUGAUGCCCGUAAUCACGUGAAAGUAUAGGGGUGAAAGUUUUAACUACAUUUUGACGUUGUGGUCGACACAUUUGUUCAAACUAUAGUGAGUCACUCCAUAAUUCGAUAGGAAAUUACACUACACUUAACAAUAAGUAUGCUCUACAAAACAUAGCAUGUACAAUCAUUUAACUUGUAUGUUUUAUCCAUGAUGUUCCAAGCAUUAUUUUUACUCAUUUUAGAGUAAAAUUGAUACCACAUGACUCAACACGAAAUCUGAUUAUUUUAAAUGUAUAGCCAACAUUUCUAUUCGUUUAGUGUUCGUUUUGGAUCAUUCACGUCUGUAACCACGUGAAAAUUUAUGGAUGAAAGUUUUUAUUACAUUUCGACGUUGCGAUCGACACAUUUGUUCAAUCUAUAGUCAGUCAAUUCAUAAUCCAUUAGGAACCCACACUUCACUUGACAAAAAGGAAAAGCGUAAGUAAUAAGUAUAGUAUCCAAAAUAUACCACGUGUAGUUGUUUAAUCUAUAUGACUCAUGUAUGAUGUUUCAAAACAUGUUUCACUAGUUUCAGAAUGAAUUCGACACCCCAUGACCCAAAACGACAUCUAGUCGUUUUAAACACAGGGUUGCUGUUUAGGGUUUAUGUUUUAGGAUAUAGGGUUUAUGUUUUAAGAUAUAUGGUUUACAAAAUAGAAAAACAUGUAAUUAUUCAACAUGUAAAAGUAUGUAUGAUGUUCGAAACACUAUUUUAUUAGAUUUGGAGUGAAAUUCAUACCCCGUGAGGCCAAAUGGCACUGAUCAUUGUAAAUGGAGGGUUGCCAUUUGACGUUUAGGGUAUAGGGUUUACGUUUUAGGGCAUAGGGUUUAGAAAACAGAAAAAUAUGUAAUUGUUCAACAUGUACAAGUUUAUAUAAUGUUCAAAACACUAUUUUACUAGUUUUGGAGUGAAUUUGAGAUCCCCUGACCAAAACGACAUGUUAUCAUUUUACUUGUAAGGGUGCCAUUUAAGGGGUAGUGUGUACAAAAAUAUAGCUCGUGUAAUCGUUCAAUAUGAUCAAGUGAAAUUGAGAUCCUGUUACCCAAUACCACAUGUCAUUCCAAUACUUGUUUCUUAGUGAGAUCGAGGCCUCGUGACCCAAAAUAGCAUGUUGUCAUUUUAAAUGUAUAACUGUCGUUUUCCAGACUGGAUAAAUUUGCAUAGUUAAUAAGAUAAUCUAUUUUUCCAUUGCAUAAAUAUAUAAGCUAUCAUAAAAACUGCAGUUCUAUUUCAACUCUACUACUUAAUGUUUGAAUAAAACAUUAAUUCAAUGGAAAACAUUGCCAAAUUUCAUAGCUACACUAAUCAACAUCCAUACACCUGUUCCGUAAUCAAUCAUAAAAAUCAAUACUAACUAAACAAAUCAGCAUUCAUGCACUUGUUUUCCGACUAAAUCAUAUAAAAUGUUCCUAUCUAGACAAAAUUAGCAUCUAAGUCCUAUAUCUUUUGACUACAUAAAUUUGAAAAAUAUAUAACGAAAACAAUUAUGUUAACUCAGCCAUAGAAGGCAAAAUAUAUUCCACCAAAAUAUAUUAUCAUAGAUAUGCUAGUCAAACUGUAAAUAUAAAUGAAAAUUCCCACUAAUAUGCUUAUUGUUUCCAUCACUUCUGCAUUCCCAAGACUAAAAUUUAAGGUGACAAGAUACUCUUAAAAAUAGCAACUUUAGCACAGAUAAGAUAAGAUGAAGCAAAAUAGUUCUAAAACAACACCUACAAGUUAUUCCCGUUUAAACUUUGCAGGAGCUACUACUAAAGCACCAAAUACAUCUAGUCAUUAGAAUAUACCAAUUGCAAGAGAUAACUACCAACUACCUACUGACUAAAUGCAUAUUCUUGCAGAAGUAAAUUCUCAAAUAAGGACGAAAAAGAGAAAAAUGACCAUGUAAAUGUUCUCAAAUCAAAUGCCAAAAUUAGCAUGGACCUUUUUUGGGGAAAUUAAGCUAAUGCUUGUGCCAUCAAAUAAGAACCAUUAAAAGGGUUUAGUAAAUGAAUGAAUCAAAAUUUCAAAAUGCUCUUAUUUCAUUAUAGCAAAAGUAAACAAAUGUAAACAACUAAUCAAAACACUACCAUCUAACAAAAUUAGCGUCUAAGUCCCUAUCAUCUAAUCACGUAAAAUUGAAAAAUAGACAAAGAAAACAAUUAUUCAAUCUUAUUAUCGGAUAUAAGUUUUACGUCUAAUCCGGCCGACAAAAGUUUUAUAAGGUUGACAGUGUAUAUUCCGUAAUCUCAUUGAUCGACAAGAGAUAACUGCCAGCUACCUAUUGACGUGUCCGUUGCUUAUUUCUGCUCAUCAUUCAAUUGUGCGGCCAAAAGCUUUUCUCCCCUAAAUAUCAUCUAACAUUACUUAAAUAUAGUAAGUCUAUGAAGGGAGUGCAUUUUUGAAGGUCUACCUUUAAUUUUAUCUUCAGCGGGAAUCACAAACUCAAAUAAGUGUUCCAUUUCUACAAUAAAGAAAUCACAUACGAAAAUGAGUGUUCCAUUUCUAUAAUAAAAGACACAAAAUGAUCAUAUUAAUUAAUCAAUGAACAAAUAUAAAAUUUUUACAGUAAUGUUAAAUGAUAUGCAGUACAAUUCAUUUUCAAAAAUAGAAAAAAGAUAGGUGACAUUUUCAAAAUUACAUAAACAGCAGGAUGCAAUUUUCAGAACUAUAUAAACUUCGUGGUGCCAUGCUAGAAAACUCAACAACUGACAUAUCAAAUAUCACAAUCUCAACCAAGUAAAUGUGGUAAUUGGGUCAAAUAGCCUAUGUUAUAAUACACUUUGGAAUUUUAGCCUUUGACUAGAAUAAUGUUUUUAAAAUAAAUAUAUUAAAGGGGGAUUUAUAAACUACCUAAAACACCCUUAUUCAGCAUCACUAGAAAACUUAAUUCCCCAUUUUCUUUUCUCAAAUUAAUUGAAUUCCAGAAUCCUAAACCUAUCAUCUUUGUUCCCUCUUCACAAUCCCCAACCCCCCUAAUUUUUCUUCUUGGCUUCUUCAUCUCUAGAUCCUUCUACCAUUCAAAAUCAUUGUCCUUCAUCUUCUUGAGUAAAAUGAGGAAUUUGGAAUGAAGGUUUCAUCAGUUUUUCCAAGAUCGAAACUCGCCAUAAAAGUAUCCAUACGUGAAUAACCACUUCUAAGAACCAAUUUCACAGUGGGCUAUUCUCAGGUAUGAAUAAUUCCUCGAUUUUUCAUUUUUAAUACGAUUUUAUGCCAAAAAAAAUUAGAGAAAUUUGUGCCAGGAAGAAUUAUACCAAUAGGGUGGGCUUUUUUAGACCUUUAAAUUUAUUCAUUUUUUUGUAUGUUGUGAUUAACUUUUGGAACUCAAUUUUCUCUUCAUAUUUUUCAUUAUUGCUUUGAAUUACACCAAAAAUACUUAACAAUUCAACUUCUUCCUGUAACUGCAAAUUUGAAAAAAUGUUAUUUCUCUGCUUAUUCUUCAUGAUGUAGAUAUAUAAGCAAAUUGAUAAUAAAAUAUGUAGUAGAGUGUUCUGAGUAUGAGAUAUUGAACAUAUACAUAUGGGCUUAUAAGUAAAUAACGUAGGUGAUUUUGAAAAUUGCAACAUAUGAUUCUUUUUUAUUCUAAUUAGUGUUGAGCUGAUAAGUGGAAACAAAGAUGGCAAUUUAAUAGAAAGUGCUAUAAAAAAAUUAGAUAUUUAAGUAUUUUCUUGUUGAAAAUAUUUAAAUGUCAUGUUAGUUACAAUAUUAGUGUAAUGAAAUAGAUAUUCUGUGAUAUCAUUGAAGUCUUAGCAAAUUGGUACUAUUUAUCAAUUUGCAUUAAAUGGAAAAUAUCGUGAUUUUUUACUGUAACUAAUACAUGGUAAUGUUUUGCAUGCUUUUCCAUGAUGUAAAUUGCAUUUACUUGGUUGAGAUUGUGAUAUUUUAUAUGUUAGUUGUUGAAUUUUCCAGCAUGGCACCAUGAAGUUUAUAUAGUUCUGAAAACUGCAUCCCUGCCACUUAUGUAAUUUUGAAAAUGUCACCUAUCUUUUUUCUAUUUUUGAAAAUGAAUUGUACUACAUAUCAUUUAACAUUACUGUAAAAUUUUUAUAUUUGUUCAUUUAUUAAUUAACAUGAUCAUUUUGUGUCUUUUAUUGUAGAAAUGGAACACUCAUUUUAGUAUGUGAUUUCUUUAUUUUAGAAUUGGAACACUCAUUUGAGUUUGUGAUUCCUGUUGAAGAUAAAAUUAAAGGUAGACCUUCAAAAAUGUGCUCCCUUCAUAGACUUACUAUAUUUAAGCAAUGUUAUAUGAUAUUUGGGGGAGAAAAGCUUUUGGCCGCACAAUUGAAUGAUGAGCAGAAAUAAGCAACGGACACGUCAGUAGGUAGCUGGCAGUUAUCUCUUGUCGAUCAAUGAGAUUACGGAAUAUACACUAUCAAUUUUAUAGAACUUUUGUCGGUCGGAUUAGACGUAAAAUUUAUAUACGAUAAUAAGAUUGAAUAAUUGUUUUCUUUGUAUAUUUUUCAAUUUUAUGUGAUUAGAUGAUAUAGGACUUAGACGCUAAUUUUGUUAGAUGGUAGUGUUUAGAUUAGUUGUUUACUUUUGUUUACUUUUGCUGUAAUGAAAUAAGAGCAUUUUGAAAUUUUGAUUCAUUCAUUUACUAGACCCUUUUAACGGUUCGUAUGUGAUGGCACAAGCAUUAGCUUAAUUUCCUAAAAAAGGUCCAUGCUAAUUUUGGCAUUUGAUUUGAGAACAUCUACAUGGUCAUUUUUCUCUCUUUUGUCCUUAUUUGAGAAUUUACUUCUGUAGGAGUAUGCAUUUAGUCAGUAGGUAGUUGGCAGUUAUCUCUUGCAAUUGGUAUAUUCUGAUGACUAGAUGUAUUUGGCGCUUUAGUAGUAGCUCGUGCAAAGUUUAAACGGGAAUAACAUAUAGGUGUUGUUUUAGAACUAUUUUUCAUCUUAUCUUAUCUAUGCUAAAGUAGCUAUUUUUAAGAGUAUUUUAUCACCUCAAAUUUUAGUCUUAGGAAUGCAGAAGUGAUGGAAACAAUAAGCAUAUUAGUGAGAAUUUUCAUUUAUAUUUACAGUUUGACCAGCAUAUCUAUGAUAAUAUAUUUUGGUGGAAUAUAUUUCGCCUUCGAUGGCUGAGUUAACAUAAUUGUUUUCGUUAUAUAUUUUUCAAAUUUAUGUAGUCAAAAGAUAUAGGACAUAGAUGCUAAUUUUGUCUAGAUAGGAAUGUUUUAUAUGAUUUAGUUGGAAAACAAGUGCAAGAAUGUUGAUUUUGUUUAGUUAGUAUUGAUUUUUAUGAUUGAUUAUGGAACAGGUGCAUAGAUGUUGACUAGUGUAGCUAUGAAAUUUUGCAAUGUUUUCCAUUGAAUGAAUGUUUUAUUCAAACAUUAAGUAGUAGAGUUGAAACAGAACUGCAGUUUUUAUGAUAGCUUAUAUAUUUAUGCAAUAGAAAAAUAGAUUAUAUUAUUAACUAUGCAAAUUUAUCGAGUUUGGAAAACGACAGUUAUACAGUUAAAAUGACAACAUGCUAUUUUGGGUCACGAGGCCUCGAUAUCACUAAGAAACAAGUAUUGGAAUGACAUGUGGUAUUGGGUAACAAGAUCUCAAUUUCACUUGAUCGUAUUGAACGAUUACACGAGCUAUAUUUUUGUAUACUCUACCCCUUAAAUGAUACCCUCACAUGUAAAAUGAUAACAUGUUGUUUUGGUCAAGGGAUCUCAAAUUCACUCCAAAACUAGUAAAAUAGUGUUUUGAAUAUCAUAUAAACUUGUACAUGUUGAACAAUUACAUGUUUUUUUGUUUUCUAAACCCUAUACCCUAAAACGUAAACCCUAUACCCUAAACCCCAAAUGGCAACCCUCCAUUUAAAAUGAUCAGAUGCCAUUUGGCCUCACGGGGUAUGAAUUUCACUCCAAAACUAAUAAAAUAGUGUUUCGAACAUCAUGCAUGACUUUUAGAUGUUGAAUAAUUACAUGUUUUUUUAUUUUGUAAACCAUAUAUCUUAAAACAUAAACCCUGUAUCCUAAAACAUAAACCCUAAAUAGCAACCCUGUAUUUAAAAUGACUAGAUGUCGUUUCAGGUCAUGGGGUGUCGAUUUCAUUCCGAAACUAAUGAAACAUCAUACAUGAGUCGUAUAAAUUAAACAACUACGCGUGCUAUAUUUUGGAUACUAUAAUUAUUACUUACGUUUUUCUUUUUUGUCAAGUGAAGUGUGGCUUCCUAACGGAUUAUGAAUUAACUGACUAUGGAUUGAACAAAUGUGCCAAUCGCAACGUCGAAAUGUAAUAAAAACUUUCAUCCAUAAAUUUUCACGUGGUUACGGACGUGAAUGAUCCGAAACGAAAACUAAACGAAUAGAAAUGUUGGCUAUACGUUUAAAAUAAUCAGAUGUCGUGUUGAGUCAUGUGGUAUCAAUUUUACUCUGAAACGAGUAAAAAUAAUGUUUGGAACAUCAUAGAUAAGACAUACAAGUUAAAUGAUUGUACAUGCUAUGUUUUGUAUAGCAUACUUAUUGUUUAGUGUAAUUUCCUAUCGAAUUAUGGAGUGACUCACUAUAGUUUGAACAAAUGUGUCGACCACAAUGUCGAAAUGUAGUUAAAACUUUCACCCCUAUACUUUCACGUGGUUACGGGCAUGAAUGAACCGAAACAAACACUAAAUGAGUAGAAAUGUCAGUUAUACGUUUAAAAUGAUUAGAUAUCAUUUUGGAUCAUGUGGUAUCAAUUUCCAUCCGAAACUUGUAAAAGCAAUGUUUGGAACAUUAUAGAUAAGAUGUACAAGUUGUAUUAUUGUACAUGCCAUGUUUUGUGUACCAUAUUUGUUACAUUUUCCUUUGUAGUCAAAUGUAAUGUACUUUCCAAUCGAAUGUAUGAUGUGACUCAAUAUAGUUUGAAUAAAUGUGUCGAUAGUAACGUCAAAUGUAGUAGAACCUUUCAUCCCUAAACUUUCACGUUGUUACAGACAUAAAUGAACCGAAACGAGCACUAAAUGAGUUGAAAUAUUAGUCAUACGUUUAAAAUGACCAGAUGCCGCUUUGGGUCAUGGGAUAUUAAUUUUAAUCCGAAACUAGUAAAACAUGUUUUGAAACAUCAUACAUGACUCGUACACAUUGAACGACGACACGUGCUAUGUUUGGAUACCAUACUUGCUACUUAUGUUUUUCUUUGUUAUCAAGUGUAGUGUAAUUUCCCCCGAAUUAUAGAGUGACUCAUUGUAAUUUGAACAAAUGUAAUGAAAGUUUCAAUUCAUUCAUUUUUAUAUGCAUAAGAACGAAAAUAAAUUUUCACGCGUCAUUUUAGGUAGCGGAUUGGUUUCAGUUUGAAAUGUUCUAUGUUUUAUAUACCCUAAACUCCAGUCAUACUUGUAAAAUGAUCACAUGUCGUUCUGAGUUGUAGGGUUCGAAUUUCACUUAUACAUGUUGAAUGAUUACAUAUUCGUUAUUUUUUUAUAUCCUAUACCCUAAAUGGCACCCCUACGAAUAAAACGACAAUAUGCUGUUUUGAGUCAAAAAUUCUCGAUUUCACUAUAAAAUUAGUAAAUUAAUGUUCGAAAUAUCAUCCAAUACUAUAAAUGUAACCAUACGUUUAAACAAUAUACCCAAAACCCUAUACCCUAAGCCCAAAAUCCUAAACCCAAAACGACAACCAUACGUUCAAAAUGACCAGAUGCCAUCUUGGGUCACAAGUUAUCAAUUUUAGUUCUAAAUUAAUAAAACAGUAUUUGAAACAUCAUACAUGACUUGUACAUAUUGAAUGACUACACAUACUAUGCUUUGCAUACCACACUUUCUACUUACAUUUUUCUUUAUUGUCAAGUAUAGUGUAGUGUAGUUUUCAUCCGAAUUAUAGUGGGGCUCGCUAUAGUUUGAAUCAAUGUGUCGAUAAAAUAUAGUUAAAACUUUUAUCCUUAAAUUUUCAAGUGGUUACAUGCAUAAAUAAAUCGAAAUGAACACGAUAUGAGUAGAAACAUCACUCAUACAUUUAAAAUGACCAAAUGUCUUAUUGGGUCGCGAGGUAUCGAUUUCACUGCGAAGCUAGUAAAAUAGUAUUUUAAACAUCAUACAUAUCUUGUACACAUUGAACAACUACACAUGCUAUAUUUUGCAUACCAUAUUUGCGAUUUACGUUUUUCUUUAUUGUCAAGUGUAGUGUAGUAUAGUUUCUAACCGAUUAUAGAGUGACUCGCUAUAGUUUGAAUCAAUGUGUCGAUGAAAUGUUGUUAAAACUUUCAUCCUUAAACUUUCAAAUGGUUAUGAGCAUGAAUAAACCAAAAUGAACACGAAAUGAGUAGAAAUGUCACUCAUACAUUUAAAAUGAUCAGAUGCCUUUUUGAGUCAUAAGGUAUCGAUUUCACUUUGAAACUAGUAAAACAGUGUUUGAAAUAUCAUACAUGACUUGUACACAUUAAAUGACCGUACGUGCUAUGUGUUGCAUACCACACUUGUUACUUAUGUUUUUCUUUAUUGUCAGGUGUAGUGUAGUGCAGUUUAAUCGAAUUACAGAGUGACUUGAUAUAAUUUGAAUCAGUGUGUCGACGAUAACAUUGAAAUGUAGUUGAAACUUUCAUCCUUAAACUUUGAAGUGGUUAUGAACGUAAAUAAUUCAAAACAAAGACUUUUGCAAGCUAAACAAACUAAUUUAUUGAGUAUUUUAACUCAUAAUAAAUAUAAUGGAAUUGGAGUUCCUUACUUCAUUCGCAGUAAAGUCUAUUGUAAUUUUCGUAUGAAAUAAUAUUGUUGGUCACUAUUAUGUGAACUUUAUAUCGAUACUCAUGUCCAAAUGUAAUGAAAACUUCAAUUCUCUUUUUGUUAUAUGCAUACGAGUGAAAAUAAAGUGAAAUGGAUAAGAAAUUAGUUGAAGUAACACCGAAUCAUUUAAAACAAUAGCGUUUUAGAUUAGGGUUCUCGCAUUCAUUCAUUUUAUAAGGAUACGAGUGAACAUAAAGUGGAAUGAAUACAAAAAUAGUUGAAACGACACCUAACUUUUCAUUGAUAUUAUGUCGUUUUGAGUCAUGUGCCUUGAUUUCACUCUAAUCCGAGUUGGUAAGACUUGGAACAUUUUAGACGACUUAUACAAGUUAAAUGAGUCAACUUGUUGAAUAUCUUAUCUCAUGAUUAGAAUAUAAUGAAAUUUAGUUACUUUCGUUCAUAGUUAAAUCUAACACAGUUUACUCAUGGAACAAUAGCAUUGGUCAUUAUCGCGUGAGCUUUAUGUCAAUACUUGGGGCAAAUAUAAUGAAAACUUCCAUUCGUUUAUUUUCAUGUACAUAGAAGUGAAAAUAAAGUGAAGCGGAUACGAAAAUAGUUGAAACAACACCCAAUCAUUUAAAACGACAUCAUUACAUUUUGGAUUAUAGGGUCUCGAUUUCACUCCAAAAUGAAUCAAUCAUGUCUUGGAACAUCACAUAAGACUUAAGCAAUUUAAACGAGCUAUUUUGUGGAGUAUUUUAUCUCUUAAUUGGAAUUUAAAUUAUUUAGCCUUUUAAAUAUAUCAUGUUAUUUUGGAUGACGAGGCCUUGAUUUCACUACAAAACGAGUCGAUAGACUUAGAACAUCUUAAAAGACUUGUACAAGUUAAACGAGGCAAUUUAUUGAAUAUCUUAUCUCAUAAUUAGAAUAUAAUCGAAAUUAAAUUACUUACUUUCUUUCGUAGUUAUAUCUAAUUCACUUUAUCUAUGGAACAAUAGUAUUGAUCAUUAUCCUAUGAACUUUGUAUCGUUACUCGUGUCCAAAUGUAAUGAAAACUUCUACUCAUUCAUUAUCAUGUGCAUACGAGUGAAAAUAAAGUGAGGCAGAUACAAAAUUAGUUGAAACGAUACCCAAUCAUUUAAAACAUCAUGCCAUUUUGGAUUAUGGGUCUCGAUUUCACUAUAAAUUAGUGAUAAAUUGUUUACUUUAGAUAAAACGCCAUCAAGUAGUUUAUAUUGACAGCGUGUCGUUUUGGAUCACGGACAUUCAAUAGCAUUCGAAUUAUAGUUAAAACUUGUUUUAAUUAAUUUCUAUGUGGAUACGAAGAAAUAUAAAGUGAUACAAACAUGAUAUUAGUUAAAACGACAUUCAAUCGUUUAAAAGGCAUUAUGCCAUUUUACUUGUUGGUUUACAUUGUGUACGAAAAGUCAAAAUAAAAAUGGGCAUUUAAGUUUGGGAAAUUUGGUAAAUUUUUGUUUCAGAUUGGAUAUUUUAGAUAUUUCAAAUGAAGGGUGUUUAAGACUUUUAACACAUUAUAAAGUAGACUAAAUGCUAAUUAACCAAAAAGUAUUGACAUGGCCUAUUUUACAAAAUAUUAUUGUUGACUAGGCUUUUUAAACAAAUCCCUCCCAAGUAAAUGCAAUUUGCAUCAUGGAAAAACGUGCAAAACAUUACUAUAUAUUAGUUACAGUAAAAAAUCACGAUCUUUUAUUACUCUGCCAUAUUCCAUUUAAUGCAAAUUGCAAAAUAGUACCAAUUUGCUAAGACUUCAAUGAUAUCACAGAAUAUCUAUUUCAUCACACUAAUGUUGCAACUAACAUGACAUUUAAAUAUUUUCAACAAGCAAAUACUUAAAUAUCUAAUUUUUUAUAACACUUUCUAUUAAAUUGCCAUCUUUGUUUCCACUUAUCAACUUAACACUAAUUAGAUUAAAAAAGAAUCAUAUGUUGCAAUUUUCAAAAUCACCUACGUUAUUUACUUAUAAGCCCAUAUGUAUAUGUUCAAUAUCUCAUACUCAGAACACUCUACUACAUAUUUUUUUAUCAAUUUGCAUAUAUAUCUACAUCAUGAAGAAUAAGUAGAGAAAUAACAUUUUUUCAAAUUUGCAGUAACAGGAAGAAAGUUGAAUUGUUAAGUAUUUUUGGUGUAAUUCAAAGCAAUAAUGAAAAAUAUGAAGAGAAAAUUGAGUCAUACAAAAAAAGGAAUAAAUUUAAAGGUCUAAAACAGCCCACCCUAUUGGUAUAAUUCUUCCUGGCACAAAUUUCUCUAUUUUUUUUUUUGGGCAUAAAAUCGUAUUAAAAAUGAAAAAUCGAGGAAUCAUUCAUACUUGAGAAUAGCCCACUCUGAAAUUGGUUCUUAGAAGUGGUUAUUCACGUAUGGGUACUUUUUUUGGCGAGUUUCGAUCUUGGAAAAAUUGAUAAAACCUUCAUACCAAAUUCCUCAUUUUACUCAAGAAGACGAAGGAAAUCGAUUUUGAAUGGUAGAAGGAUCUGGAGAUGAAGAAGCCAAGAAGAAAAAUUAGGGGAAUUGGGGAUUGUGAAGAGAGAGCAAAGAUGAUGGAUUUAAGAUUCUGGAAUUCAAUUGAUUUGAGAAAAGAAAAUGGGGAAUUAAGUUUUCUAGGAUGCCGAAUAAAGAUGUUUUAGGUAGUUUAUAAAUCCCCCUUUAAUAUAUUUAUUUUAAAAACAUUAUUCUGGUCAAAGGCUAAUAUCCAAUGUGUAUUAUAACAUAGGCUAUUUGACCCAAUUACCACUAGAAUAAAUACCCUACCCAGGACCAGCAGCUAAUGCUUCAAGCUUUAUACAUCACUUGAAAGACUAGUUGUCACACAGAAAGAGAGAGAACGAGAAAGUGUUGAACUUAAUUAAGAUGGCAGAAGUGAUCCUCCACGUAUAUGACGUUACAAAUAGUAAUUCCAGCAAUGAAACCCUAAAUUUCGCCCUCGUUCAACUCAAUAACUUCUGUAAAGAAGCCAUCCCUAUCGGCGGCGUCUUUCACACCGCUGUCCAGGUUUAUGGCGACGAGGAAUGGGGAUACGAGCAGUGCGAUAAAGGCACCGGUGUUUACAGCUGUCCCGCCGGCAAAAACCUGAUGUACACAUACCGUGAACGUAUAGUUCUCGGAAGAACAAAUUGCUACGCUGCCAAGGUGAGUCAGAUCCUAAAAGAACUUAGUCAGGACUGGCCGGGAAUUAAGUACGAUCUGCGGGCAAAAAACUGUAACCAUUUCUGUAAUGAGUUGUUGCAGAGGCUGGGAGUGCCCAAGCUUCCGCCAUGGGUAAAUAGGUUUGCCGAUGUCGGAGAUAUUGCCUGUGAAACAUCACAAACUCUUCAAAAAACUAAGGAUGAAAUGUUAACGGCUGGAAAAGAGGCAUGUAAGAAUGCCAUUGAUAAUGCUAUUAAGACUCCCAAGUCUCUUAUCAGUUUAAGCAAAGGUACUCGCCUUCGAACAGAGCAAUUUAAACCAAAGUUCUUUGCUGGACGAAUUGCUAAAUCAGAUGAAGAAACCGGUGAGAAGUAAACCCUUGGGGACUGGAACUUAACCCAGCCAUGACCAUGUAAAAUGAUGGCCUAGUCGUAUUAUACUAUAUUCGAGUCCUAUCUCUAUCUUCAUGCAUGUUCGUAUUGGUGUCCGUGUCCAUUUGUAGUGUGCUAUUUCCCUGUGAAAAAUUCUAUGAGUACGGGUUUUCUCUUUUCCUUUUACCUACCUGCCUAUUUCUCUUAUAUUGAGUGAUGUGUAAUGCGUUAUUGCAUCAAUAUUACUGUUAUUGUACCUUUAUCGCCUUCUUCUCUCCCCAAAACUGUUGAUAAUUUUCUUUGAUCAACAAUUUUCACCAACAACUAGUUUAACAAAAUUGUUAGACCAAUUUGUCAAAAAACUUAACCGGUUAAAGUGAAUACAAUUUGUUUACUUCAACGGUCGCUAUCUUUGAAGGGUUGUUUAAUUAGAAGAGAAAAAAUUAUUUAGUUCUUACUUGUGAAACUUAUUUGUUUGAUUGUGUCUUGGAAACUAUUUGAUCAGACCACGCAAUGCAUUAAAGAAAUCAAGAAUAUUUGUGUGAAAUAAUAUGCGGAUUAAAAAAAUUACUAAAGAAGGACCAUAACUAGUUUAUAAUAAUGUUUAUAAAUCUCUAUGCAGCGGAUAUAGGAAAAAGGAUAAUUAUACAAUAGUAUAAAGGCUGGUAAUCAAUAGUCAUCUUAUAUGGCAUACAUGUAUUACUUUGUUAUUUGAUGCAUGAAGCAAUAAAAAACUAUCAAAUUAAUACAUUAAAAUGUUGGACAACUACUGUUAGUCUUCACUAUGAAUAGUAUUAUUUUUUUAUUAUUUAAAAUUAAGAAAUAAAAAUUUGUGGCUGAUCCUUUACUAGUUAUAGGACUAAAUUCCUAAUUAAGGGAGGAAAAAUUCUAGCUACAAAAACUAGCAUAAAUUCAUAUGACAGGAACGAAGCAUAGUUCCAUAAGCUAAAUGAAGAAAAAGUAACUUUACAGCUAAUAAAAUUGUUUUAGGGGGAGAGUCAAAAAUUGUGUAUUUUAUUUAGAACCACUGUCCUACAAUAAGGAUUAUGGAGGAGAAUAAUCAUUCAUAAAUACUAAUUAGUUCAUAACACUCAUUCUUGAAUAACUAUUUAAUAAACAGUUGUUUCACUAAAACAUUGUCUGGUAAAAAUUAAGGAGACAAAAACACUAAAUGAAGGGAAAAGAUUUCAAAGAAUUUGAAGUAAUCAAAUGUUGCCUCUUUAAAACAUUGUUAUGAAAAUCUAAUUGGACAAAAUCCGAGUGAAGGAAAAAGAGUACAAUCACUCCCUGAUUCCAUGAAAUAAAAUUCUCGUAUCGAGCUAUCCAUAUCUUGUUCGACAAUUCUUCCAUCGCCACCAUCGUUAUGAAAAUUGAUUUUCAUUAAUUAUGGCAUAAUUCAUUGUAUAUUUUUUUUAUUAAGUGAAACUUGAUGAAUGGAAGAUGAAUUGAAAGAAAGAAGUGAGAAUUAGCUAAAAACAAUGAAAUUUAAAAUACGGGGACUAAAUUGCAAUAUUUUAAUAGUUGAUACGGACCUUAGAAUGAAGGUCGAAGAAACUACAGGUUCAAUUGGAUAAAUUAGAAGUUAAAAGACCGAUAUUACAGGAGAAAAUGACUUAAAAUAAUCAAGAAUUAAAUUUGGGGACCAAAAUGUAAAGUUUUAAAUAAAGCAUAUCUGGGUAGCUACCCAACUAUGAAGCCAAGCGACCGCUCGACUUGAAUGUUCAAAAAAGGUGGUUGAAAAUCUUGCCCGAGCAAAUCACCAGUUUCCUACUAGGUGACCAUCCAGGCUAAAUCUAGCAAAAUUGGACUAUUUUCCAUUUCUUCCAGAAUUCUAUAUGGAAAUAACUUUCUUGCACGAUUUUGACCUAAUUUCACCUCUAUAAACACAAAAUAUGGACAGCUAACAUCAUACACCUCUCAUAUAUAUAUAAGAAAUUGUAAGAAUUCAUACAAUUAAUGAUUAAAUCUUGACUUUUGAGCAAAGAAGAAAAGGAGCAAGUGGAGAUUCAUCAAGAAACCAUUGAAAAAAAAAUACAAGAUUUCAAUAUUCUUUUUCAUCUUCUCAAUUUAUCAAAAAUUUGGGUGAAAUUUUCAAAUUAAACCUUUUUUUUUGUGUAAUUUUGCAAUGCUACGCUAAAUUUUCGAUUACUAAGAUGUAGAUGAACCUUUAUUAUGAAGCUUUUAAUAUAAAUUAAAUAUUUUGACAUCCAAUAUGCUCGUGUUCUUGAAUUAUUGUUAUUGUGAUUAAUGCUUUAAAUUGUUUGAUCACCAAUUUAAUGAAUUUGUGAAUUUUAUUGAUUUCGGGAGAAACAAUAAAAUAGAUAGUCCUUAUAAUAACCAUUAUAACAUCUAAUAUUGAUUUAUAUUAAAGAUGAAUUAAUAAGGGGGGAUUUGAAGCCUUAGAGUAUGUUUGAUUGUCUUUAUUUUCAAUGGAAAAUUUUACUUUUUUCAUCCAAAUUUCUACUUUUGAGGUGUUUGAUUGAAGAAAUUAUGGAAAAUAUUUUUCAAGUUUUGGUCACCUUACUAUAUUUUCUUCAAAAACAAGAAAAUUUUCUUUAGGGAGGGGAGAUUUUUUUCUAGGUAAUUUACUCUCUCUCUCUCUCUCUCUCUCUCUCUCUCUCUCUCAUCUACCCACCAAUAAUAAAUGAAUAAAUUUAGCCUCCAUUUGAGCCACAUUAUUGUAAAAAUGAGAAUGAAAAAUAUGGUCGUUAUGGGCUCUAUAAAAGAGAUAAGAAGUCUAAUACGGUGGCUUGAUAUGAUGGAUAAUGGUCAUAUUUUUCAUUUUAAUGAGGAAAUAAUGAGGCUCAAACAAGGCGUAUAACAUUUUCUAGGUUAAAAACUAAAUCAAUCAAACACAUAUAAUUAAUAAUUUUUAAACAAAUAAGUUUCAGGCAAUUGAAUCGUCUAGAAUUUAUUUUCUUUCCAUACAAAUUUCAUACUCAUAAUCACCCUUAGUAAUAUCCAAUCUAAAUUUACAAAAAUAUUUUAAUUUGUUCGUUUAAUUAGAAUAAUUAGUAUAAGUCAUUCAAACAACUUUGACUAUUCAAUUAGAGUUAAAAAUAAUUCAUUCAAGAUUAUAUACAGAGUUCUUGUGGGAACGAUAUCUUACUUAUUACUUUAUUACUUGUUUGUGAUACCCUGCAGUAAUGGAAAAUCAAAUGAUUAGAAAGGCUUCCAACUCUUUGAUCGCGUCAGAGAAUGAAGUAUAUACUUUAUUAUCAUCCAUAUCUUCUAGUCAUAGUUGUCUCCUUUCCAUUCCUUCCACAGAAUCGUACGAAGAAGUUGAGUCCUCAAAUUUAAUGGAUUGGCUAGUACCUUGUUCAAUUCUUCCACUAGAUUCUCUAGGGGUUCAUUGUGGAUGGCCUAUUGCCUCCCAACCUAUUGGAGAAACCGGCACACCUGAAAGUCUAUACUCUCGUUCACUGUAGGAUGCUUGUCGUAAGCAUGUGACCUUCCACAUACUUUCUUAGGUUGGAAAGUGGGGGUUUGACUCCCAGUUGGCCUUUAAAAAUGUCACAUCAAUUGCAUUAUAUGUGGCUUAAAGUACCAAGUUAUAGUUGUCCUUAGGUGUUGGAUUUGACAGUAUUCUAAAAGCACUCCUAGGUAGCGGGUGUCGCCUAGACACGAGGUGCAGGCAAAACACCACUCCUUGGCAACAAGCGCGAAAUUAAGCAAUCAAUUGCCAUGUUGAUCGCUUAAUGCACACAUAGUGUACUUUAUUUAUUAAUUUUUUUUAAACUUUUUCAUUUCUUUGAAAGCCUUUUAUUUGACUUCAGUUUUAAGUUUUUCCUUUGAAAAUUGUAUAAUUGACUAAUUGCAAGAAUUAUUAAGUAAAUAUAAUAUUUUAUACUUUUAUAUGUUUUUGUGCUUAUUAUUUUAAUUAUUAAAUAAUUUUUAAAUAAUUAAAAUUUUAAAAUAUUAUUAAAAAUAAAAUAAAAAAAUUUAACACCUGGAUGGCUUAGCCUCCAUGUCUAACCGCGUUUUACUUUUUUUAGAACACUAAGAUUUUGACCCAAACACCUAGGAGUCGAUAGGCCCAUCUAAUGUGGCCAACAAUUGGGUCCCUUCUUAUUGUUGCGAUUAAAUAAGGUGAGGAGUCUCCACAAAGUCAUAUUGUUUAGAAGGUUGUCAUCGAUGAAGCAUCGAACAACACUCCCAAUGCCUCAGCAUACAUCAGUUGAUGAGGUGAUGGAAUAUGCUAUCAUCAACUCGAAGAAAUUUGUCAAUUAUAUGAAGGAAUAUGCCCUAAUCACCUUGAGAACUUUGUCAACUAGAUGGUGGAAUGUGCCCUCUUUAAUGGAAAAUGUUGUUCAAAUAUCAAUAAAAAAGAGCAUGGAAUGAAAGAGAAAAGCAUAGGCCAAAUUUUGGAUUCAUGUGAUAACAUAGACCUCUUAGAGGUGCAGUCGCAUGGUGGUAUGCAGGGCUUUAAGCCCUGCUUUUGGAUAAUCUAUGUUGUCACAGAGGUUUACUUUAUACGAUCGUAUAAAGGAACCAAAUAGCUGUUGGGGUAGUUUUGGUUUGAAAUUUUUGCAGCUUUUCACUUCUUUUUGCAUCACUUCGUAUAGCUAUGAUCCAUGACUAAAUAUGUGUUUGAUUGACAUUGAAAACAUAUGAGAAACUUACUUUAUUACACAAAAGGAUCAAACAUCCUUUUCUUCCAUAUUCAUUGAUUUUCCCUUCGUGUUCUUGAAGUUUUGAAGAAUCACACAUAUGCUUAAGUGUUCGAUUCUUUACAAGACUUGAUUAAAUCCUUCAAACCAUUUGUCACGAGAUCCUUUAAGCACCGAAAUUGUAUCCAAGAGCAAGAGCGGACACAUAUUGUUUGAUGACAACGAUACUAUGCUCAAGCCUUCGAAUUCAUUUUCAUCUUCUUGAUAUUAUUUCUAUCUUGUUUCUUCUUCGUUACCCUGGUGUUGAAAAUUUUUCAAGAAUCUCAAACGAUAUUUUGCGAUGGAGAAGGGAACUACUUUGGUGAUGAUCAAGCUGAUGAUUCAAGGUCUUGUUUGGAUCAUUUGAUGGGACGAACUUCAUGAGAAGGCAAGCACAAAUUGAAGUUUUCUAAUGGCGUUGAAGAGAAUGCUUCAGAAAGAAAUGUUGAAGAAUAAAAGGAUUGAAUCCAUCAUCAUGAGUUCGACUUAGGUAAUUAUCACUUUCUCUUCUCAAAUUCGAAUUCUGUAAAUUGAAAUUGAGUUUCUAUUUCAUGCAGAUAUAAGGUACGGAUAUACGUGAAUGCUUAUAGAACAUUUUGUGAAUUUAACAUUAGAUAGCAGAAUGUAUUUGCAUAUGUACAUUUCAUUUCAUGUUGGGCCUGGUUUGGAAUUAUAGUACAUACACAAUUGCAAAUAAUUAUGUCGUUUAAUUGAUUAUGAAAAUGUAGUAAAAGACGGAUCCUUUCAUUGGUUUGAGAAUUUACAUGAGUUAGUUACUUGUUAUUCUCAUUGAAAAUUCAUUAUAAUACUUAACUGGGUCUCAAAGGACUUUUAGUUGUGCUGUGUAUAUAUAUAUACAUACACACACUAUGAUUAUAUUACAUGCAUAAGUCAAUGCUUACUAUCAAAUUGAAUGUAUUUUGAUUGUGCCUGAUCCUGUUGUGAAUUUAUCAAAACAUGAGUAUACAUUUUAUAUUUUAUUCGUUCCUAUCCAAAGAGACUACUUUGUUCCAUGCACGAGAUUACUUAAAUGUGAUAAUUAAUUGUGAAUUAAUCAUUUGAUAUUCACUAAUCAGUGCAUAUGUAUGAAUGAUAAUUGUACGGUGAUUAAUCCGAUGUCAUUCCUUGAGUAAUCUUAAUUUGUGCAAUAGAGUAUAGAUAUAACAUCAAUUUGUUUAUCUAAUUUAGAGAUCAAAUAAAGUUGCAUUGGAAUAGAUGCCAGCUGUUUAUGGAAAUGACAUGGCAAAUUAGUUGAUUGAAUUUUCAACUUUGGUUAGAAAUUACAUUAACUUUAGUUAGUAAUUUAUGCAAAAUUAUAGCUGCAUUGGAGAAUGAAAAAAUGUGAUUUUGUCCUAAUUUAAUUAUGGUGAAUGAGGCAAAUAUGUACCUUAUUUGGUUGUAAUAUGAUGCUAUUUUUUAAAUGUCACAAAAGUGAUAAAUUGCAUACGUUUGGAGAAGUUGUAAUUCUUGUAAAUGAAAUUACUCAAUCUUCUUCGUUCAUUGAAUUUGACUUCAAUCGUGGAACCAAUUUAGCUUGUUUAUGCUUGAAAAUGCAUUAUCGAUCUAUGAAAUGACUUUGAUCAAAUUGUGAGUGAUCAAAAUUAAAGAUAGAUAGAUUAAAAUACAUUAUGACAUAACGACCAUUAUCUAAAAGUACUCAGGCUUUCAUGGAUAUUAUCAUAAGUGAUAAGUAAAUCGAACUAUAAAAAAAUUGAUAAACUCUAAGUUCAAGUAUAACCCAAAAUGUGGGGGUUAACAUUAAUGCUUGUGAACUUAUAUGAAAAGUUCAAGACCUGUGAACUCAAUAUUACCAGAUUGUAUUUGUAUUCUUAAUUGAGGAAUUAUGGGGGUAACAUAGUAUAGAAGUUACAAUUCCCUAUACUUUUUUAAAUCAUAGAAAGAUAUCUAAGAAUGUGGAAAGGUAGAAUGCCCUUAUACUAAUCAUAUGGAUGAUAUACAUUAAGUCUAAAGUGGAUGAAAUGAAAUAAAGCCAAUCAUGGUGUUUGCAAGUUCAAUUGGAAUAUUUAGAGAAUAUUCUUGCUAUUGAAGAUCAUUGUAAUGAUUCAAUGAUGAUAAGUGAAUACCCAUGUAUGAAAUCCACAAGUUAAAGUAAUUGACUAGUGUAAUGAUUUGAUAGAAGUCCUUCAACCUUGUUUGGAAAUCAAUAAAGUUUUAAUUAAAGAUAGUGAGAAGCAUGUGGCUUCAUAAAAGGAUUUCUUGGUGGUGGCAAGUUGUAUCUAUCAAAUAAAUCGAUCGUUGGCAAGCUAUAUUUGAUAAAAUAGUAAGUCACAUGUAAUAGAAGUCAAGACACACGAGUCUUAGACGUGACUUUAUUAGGAAAUUAAUUAAGAAAGGAAUAAUUUCCUAAGUCAUGCGAAAUUUAUCAAGAAUUUAGAAGAUCCUUAUACUAAAUCACUAAAUCUCAAAUCAUUAAAUAAUGAUUUAGUAGCAUCUAUUUAGAGUAAGACGUGUUAGAACUCUUGAACUAAAAUGUCCACCAAUAAUGGCAACCAUACCUAUCAUUGCUCAAAAAGUAAUCCACGACUUCAAAAGGUAACAACAAAUCAUUUGAUAAGUAGAUAAUUUCAGCAUUAUAUAAAUCCGCGAUAACUCUAUCGUAAUUAAAUAAUGCUGGUUGUUACUGAAGUGAAUGUUGAGUUUUAAGUUCUUAAUGAAGCUCAGUGUUAAAAGACAAGUAUAUCUAAAAAUAACAAAGAUACUAGAAGAAAUUCAUCUAAACGAAGUUUGAGGUGGUGUCUCCUCAAUAGAGAGUUGGAGUUUCUCUCUUAAAAGCUCAUUGAAAAGGAUGAGCACAAGGUCAUAUUAGCCCUAAACAAGUUUGAGGAACUUGAGAAUACGUAAUACUUGUGUAUGUGUUCUUUAUCGGUAUUGUCACAUGAAAUAAUUGGUUCAAAACUUCAUGCCACAUUUGAUUUUGAAUUUACUUUGUUUGAAUUACACUAUAGUUAGAUUCAAAUCGAAAUUUUUUUAUUCCUUAUGCAUGAGUAUUAUAUACUUUGAAUAUAAGACUUUAUUGAAUUUCGAACAAGUGGGGGAUUAAUGGAAAAUGUUGUUCAAAAUUCAAUAAAAAAGAACAUGCAAUGAAAGAGAACCGCAGAGGCCAAAAAUGGGAUCCAUACGAUGGCAUAGAUCUCUUAGAAGUUUGGUCACAUGGUGGUAUGCUGGGCUUUAAGCCUUGCUUUUGGAUAAUCCUAUGCGACCGCAUAAAGGAGCCAACUAGCUAUUGGGGUAGUUUUGGCUUGAAAUUCUGCGGCUUUUCAUUUCUUUUUGACACCACUUUGUGUAGCUAUGAUCUAUGGCUAUAAAUAUGUGUUUGAUGAACAUUGAAAUCAUAUUGAAAACAUAUGAGAAACUUCAUUUCACAAAAGGAUCAAACGUCCUUUUCUUCCAUAUUCAUUGAUUUCCCUUUUAUGUUCUUGAAGUUUUGGAGAAUCACACAUGUGCUUAAGUGUUGAUUCUAUAAAAAGCUUGAUUAAUCCUUCAAACUAUUUGCCGCAGGACCCUUUACGCAUCGAAAUUGUAUCUUAGAGGGGACAAGUAUCGUUGAGGACAACGAUAGCAUGUUCGAGCCUUCAAAUUCAUUUUCAUCUUCUUGAUAUUAUUUCUAUCUUGUUUCUUCUCCAUUCCCCUGGUGUUAUAAAAUUUCCCAACACUCUACGCCUCGGUAAUAGACAGAAGAGCGAUAAUGCGUUCCUAUUCAGGUGAGCUGCCUUGAGAAUGCUUGCAUGGUAUUUUUUUAGCUAGAAAUCGUAUGGCUUGCCCAUGCAGAUAGGGGCAUAAGAUAUUUAAUCUGAUAUUAAUGGAAAACUUCGUCAAAAGUAUUAUGAAUGACAAGAAAGUAGUAGUGAACGUGAUAAGAAAUUUCAUCGAAUCCUUCACGAUUUAAGUUUCAUUGUAAUUACUUAAGUGAAAAAGAGAUUGAACCUUAGAAUAUUUAUUCCAUGACUUAUGCGUAUGGUCCAUAAUUUCUUAUAAUUCUCAAAUUCCAACAUAUGUUGCAUCUCAAUGCAUGAUUAGGCUACAAAUCAAAAGAGGAAAAGAUGAAAGGAAGUCAACGAAAAGGACAGAAAACCUUGUCAACAAAAAGAAAUAAAAUUAAAAAGACCGAAUUCGUAUUCUUCAUAACAAAACAUGUAAAAAAAGAGCAAGGUCUAGUCUAUUUUGCAUGCAAUAAAGUCACAGCGGACCGUGAGCUUUCACUAUUUUCAGACCAUGCAAACUGCUACUCUAACAACUCUUUUUCUACUUAUUUAAUGGAUAAAUAUCUAUCUUGUUAUUAAUAUUUAAUAUGGAAAUUAAUAUCUAUAUAUCUAAUUUGAAACUAACCCCCCUCAAAAUGAAUCACUUCGUAUAAAUAUUUGAACUAUUUGUAUUACCUCUUCAACUUUUCUCAAAUAAUUAACAAAUGCACGACAUUUGUAAAUAGUGUUGGGGUUAUUGACUCAUUUUGAAAAAUAUAAAUGCUGAAGGACUUGUAGUAUAAAUAGCAUUAAUUGAAUAUUUUCAAGCAUCAAGGGGGGUUCUAUUUUUAAAAAAGGGGGUGGGUGGGGGUGCGUUGGGGUGGGAGUGGGGUUCCAUUUAAUUUUUCAAGUCUUGCGUCAGUUACAAGGAAAAGGAAAAUUAAGGAAGGAGAAUUUUAGGGCAAUUAAAAAUAUUGAGGAAACAUGGUUAUAUUAGAUUAGGAAUCCUAAAUAAUUAUGAUUUGUUCUUCAUACACGGCAUAGACUGAGAUUUUCACCCACCUAAGGUGUUACGUGUGAAAGAGAAAGUAAGAGAGAAGUGAACGAAAAUGGUCAGAGUAUUCUAGCUUCAUGUAGGAAGACAUUGUAAAAAAAGGUGAUAAAAUAUUAUCUACUGUAAAAUUUUCUCAGCUAAUAAAGUUUUCUCAUUUUAUAGUCGUCGAUAAUUUUUCGAAUCACAUUUUAUUUGUUUUUUCUCUUUCGUUUUCGUUUUCAUUUGUUGCUUAUUUUCCUACGUUUUGUUUGAUUUUCCCCCGACAAAUAGGCAAUUACAAGACAAACUUAAGACUUCAAUCACCAUAAUGAAUCAUUCAAUUUGAAACUAAAUAAAUAUUGUCAUAGGGAGGGCAAACUUAAACAGCCCUUCUUUGACAAAACCUUUUUGAGAUUAUAAGUUGUCAAACUUUAUUUUUUAAUUACAUAUUUUAUCAGAUCUACAACUUUUUAAUUAUAUAUUUCUGGAUCCUGUAAUUUCAAAAAAAUUUGUCAGAUAGGGUUUUUAUCUUCAACAAAAACAAAUAUAAUUGAUAAGCUUCCAUCAAGGAUGCAAUUAAUUUGUUUAAUAGGUGGGUAGAACUUUCUUGCUUCUCCAUUGAAGAAGAUGAUCCGUAAUUGCAAAGAAGUCUGAUACAGCGGACCCAUUGAAAAUAAUUCAUUAUCGAGAAUCGAUAAAAUGCUGCAUGCAUUGCCAACUCAAAAGGCGUCCUAUUUUACAUGAUCAAUAAACAGUACAAUAAUGCACAAGCAUAUUGUUAUAUCAUAAAGGCUGGAAAAACUGAAGAUUCAAAGAAAAUGAAUCAAUUAAUAAGAAUCAAUAAAUACUGACUCCAUCGCCAACUGCAAAAGGGACUUCGUUACACCUAAUAAACAACACACAAAUUUAUUGGGUGCGUGAUUCACGUUGUACAACCAAAACAAUUUAAUAUCAAUAGCUUGUGGGUGCAUGUCACCUUCUCCUACUUCAAAGAUAUUAAUUGUAUAUCAGUUGUUGGCUGUAAAACAGUGCAUUUAUCAAUAAUGUAAUUAGUAUUGUUUACUGGUUUGUGUACUGUUAUGUUUCAUUUUGUGAGGUUCUAACAAGCUACCUCUGACUCGCACUCUACGUCACUAACCUCCCUAACCUAGUCGAUGUCAUCAAACAGAGGUAAUUGAAGUGAUGCCUUCAACUCGAUCAAAACUCUAUGUUGAGGCAAACCCUCCAUGGUCAAGAUGAGGUGCUACGAUCUGCUGCAGCUUAUUUCUUGAAGUUAUUAGCCUUUCAACUCCCAAAGGCAUCUUCUUAUCUUUGCCUCUUCCAAGAGAUCUUUUGUACAAAAUAUUAUGAGAUAUGAUUGAUGUAAUAUUUAUGUAGAACUUGCCUCUUAAUCAACUUGCCAGUCUACUUUUCAGAUGACAAACCUAGGCUAUACGGCCGUCACUUUUAAAAAUCAUUAAAUGCUCUUUGAAACUAGGAUUGUAGAAGUGACAUCUAGGAUUGACAAUUUAGAUGUUAAGAUGAGAACAAAAGUUUUCAUCUAACAAAUGUAAAACCUCAUAUUUAGUAUCAUUUGAAGGUAAUGGAACUUUAUACUCUCAAUAGUAAUCUUGCUUAUUUUUAUUGCUUCCUCUCUACAACUUUGUGCUCACACACAUUUGUGUGACUCCUGACUUCCAUUCAUUCCACACUCAAUAUUCUCCUCUACAAGUUGACUAACUUGAACUCAAAGCACCUACGACGUUCUUUCCUAUCAUUUAAGAAGGCCAUAUGAUUCUAACAGUUUGUUCAAGUGUGUAGAAGCCAUAAUUAACUAUAUUUACAUAUUAUAUUUUUACGUAAAAUCAUACACAUGUAAAAGAAUUCAAUUUUAAUAAUUCAAUUAUGAUUGCAUAAGUUAUAAGAGUAUCUCACGAUCUCUUAUCCUAACUCAUGUUACUUAUUGCACAAACUAGACAAAUAUAUCUUCUCUUGGUCUCAAUAAUAUUCUUAAAUUAUGUAAUUAGUGAUCAAGCAAUUGAAUGCCAAUUAAACACAUAAUAAGCAAUUAACACAAAAUCAAAUUGGCAUGAAAUAUAUUAAUUUAAGCAAACAUUAACCUAAGCUAUGUAGUUCACCCUAACAAUAAGAAAUUUAGUAAAUCAUAUUUUUGGAAUUAAAUGACAAUAGGAUGAAAAAUAUCAAUAGGUUCAAUACAAUGGAUAAAGAAACUAAUAGAAGCAAUUUUUGUUCUUUGAACUGGUUACAAAUAGUCAUAUUAAGAUAGACUUGGUUACAAUGGGUCGUAGAUAACACAUGCUGAUCACAAACAACAAUAGCUUACAUAGACAUGAUCACAAACAAUAAUAUCUUACCCAUAUCUAGUCACAAAUAAUCACCUUUAAACAUAUCUUGGUCACAUGCAACACAAAGCACACAAUCAAUAGGUCACAAUUGAGAUAAUAUUUUAUGAAAUACAGAUACCUUAUCAAAAAUUAUGAAUUGUGAAACACAAAAACUUGUUCAACACAAGAAUGCAUCAAAUUAAAUGAUUUAUCAUCUAGAUUUUUUUUAAUGAUCAGAUUAUAAGAACAUUGUUAGAGUUUUGAUAUGUGAAGAAUACUAUAGAAGACUUGAAGGUUGGGAGCAUCUAAAUUGUGAAUUAAAGGAUCAAAGUUUGUGAAUUGAAAAUUAGAAGUUCGCAAAUCAGAUUCAAUCAAGAAAUCAAUUAUUGAUUUAAUAUAAUGGUAGAUUUAUGUUUUUUUUGGUUAUAAUCAUCUUGGUGAAUGUCCCAUAGAAAUCCUAAUUUGUUAAUUAAAGAUUUAUUUUCUUUCGUGGCAAUUUUUUUUAGAAUUAUUCUUAAGACGUGUCGUUCAAUUUUAAAAGGUCAACUUUAUUAAGGAAAGUAACUCAAAUCCUUGUAUUAUAUUUUAUUUGAUGUGGAAUUUGUCUCUUAGCAUGCCCGCAAACCAAAUUCAUAUCGUGUUGGUGUUUUUUUUGAAAAGGGAGUUAAAGAAGUCAAAAUAUGGAAAAAAUUGUAUAUGGACAGAGACUGGGUGUCUAGGUGCCAAUUGGGUGUGAAAAUCAGAUUUGAAAAAGAGAUUUAGUACUUGAGAACCAAACAAAUUGUUGUACUGAUAAGUGUGUUUUUACACACUUAUUUAGCUCACAAACAUGACUGAAACAUGGACAAAGUAGUUAAAUUAUGACUUAAUCUUGUUAAAUUCAUGUUAUGUAGGUGUUUCUAUGGAAAAGAUGGAAUUCAAAAGAAAAGAGCCGACAAAGGACCAAAACGGAACAAAGCGAUAGUUCGAGGACCAAGUUGCAAAUAAUCCAUAGAUGAGACGGGAAAUGGAAUGAAGAUUCAAGAGUGUUAAAGUUCAAUCAGAUGAGGAAAGGAGUCGAGGUGAAAUAGGGUCGAAGUAUUAUCAAGUAUCAAAUUUCAGGCGAAAAAGUUAUGCUCGUGAUUUUGAGUCUCUACUUGAGAUCCAUUUUUGGCAUAGUAAACAUCAGAAUUUGUACGUCUUUGAGUUUUCUUCCCAAUGCACUUUGAAUCACUUCAAUCGGAGAUCGGGAGAGAAAGUUAUGACCAAAAUAUUGAAAGCUGUCCGGAGGAAAAAUUUUAUAACCAUGUGGCCGCAUGGUUAUAAUUCCUUGCGGCCGCACAGGGUAUUGCAGGGAUCCAAAUGAGCUGAAAAAUUGAACCAUGUGACCGCAUGGUUUAACACCAUGCGGCCGCAUUGCUUUAAGUGCGAAAAAAAAUUCUGAAAUCCCGUUUUUAAUUGAAACUCUUUCGGGGCUCCUUGUGGACAUCAUAUAAAAGCCAAAAUUCAUCAGAAAUAGGGCAGAACGUCCAGGGAGAAGAAGAAUACAACUUUUGGAGGCAAGGAACAUGAACUUGAAGUGGAUUUCACAAGGAUUCAAGAGGGUUUUCAAGGUUUUAUUCAAGAUUUCAGAUUUGAAGAACUUUCAUACGGGUGUUCUUCUUUCUAUUCAUUAAUUUCGUUUUGUUUUCUGUAAUUAUGAAUCUUCUAAGCUUGGGUUUUAAUUACUAGGUGAUCGAUGAACCGUUGUUUGUUAUUUUAAUUCUAUAUUUCAUGAACUUGAUAUAAAGAUUCAUUGGAUGUUUUGAUUGAUUUACAUGCAUUAAUUUUCUUCCGCAAUUAGUGGCCAAUGAUUGUGUGAGUAUUGAUGACUUGUUUCUUACAUUCGAGAGAAGUGGAAUAGGUUCGAUAAGGUGUAAAUUAACAUAGGGUCCGAUAGGGGAUAGAGAUAUACCCCUGUGCUUUAUGUAAUUCUUAAAUUGUUCACAAAACUACAUGCAUUCUUGUAUGUUUACAUCAUCCAUAGAGAUAUAGGCUGGUGGUGUGCAAGAAUAGGUCUAAUAUAUAUCGAGAGAGUAUAUUGGAUAGAAUUAGGAACACUGAAUUGGCAGAUUUUCAUCGUAUCAUUAAUUUUAAGAAAUUAGGGUUUUUAUAACUUCAAUUGGGGAUUCGUGAUCCUAGUAACUUUAAUUUGAUUCAUUUUAAUAAAUUAGCUUUUAAACUUGCUUAAUUUCAUUUACUUGAGUGUUUAAGUCGUUUAAUUAGAGAAAUUUCGAAAUUACGGUUUCUAAUUGAGAAAUUAGGGUUUUCAAUUGAAAUUAGGGUUUUUUAGUUGAAAUUAGGGCUUUUUGCACUUAGAUCACAUUUCCACUCAAUUAGAUUCGGUUAAGGCUAGAUUAAAUAGAAUUGAACUACUCAAUCUCUGAGAGAUGAUAUUCGGACUUUUAAAAAUCUACUUUAUUACUUAUUACGAACCGUACACUUGCGGUAGUUUUAAAUCGAAAGAAUUAUUUCGUGAACAAGUUUUUGGCGCAGUUUCCGGGGAUUGAGUAUUCGUUUAAUUUUAUUCCAUUUAGCACUAAUUCAGAUUUUUUUAUUUUUAAUCUAUUUUAGUUCAUUUUAUUUUACUGUUAUUUAAUUUUAUUACAUAAGUGCAUAUUUUAGUUAAUUAAGUCUUUAAAUUGAAUCCUAUUGCAAAAGUGCAUGUCAAGAUCUGCUGAAAGAGAUCUACUCCCAGCCGACCCAGAGAUCGAAUGAAGCUUUAGAAGAAGGCAAAGAGAAAACAGAGCAGCGAGAAAUCAGAUGGAGAACGUACAACACAAUCCUGUUGUACAAGCCAAUGGAAGAGGGGAAGAAGACGAAGGAAACAUGCUCGUUGGAGAGUUCAUGCUCAAAUCAUUCAAAGCCAGUCCAUCAUUGUGUAUCCACCGUUCGGGCAGCCAAAUUUCCAGUUGAAGACAAAUGUGAUACAACUGUUCCAGAACGGACAUCAGUUUUAUGGAAAAGUUGAAAAGAACCCGCACACGCAUGUCUCGCGCUUCUUAGAGAUGUGCCAACACUUCAAAUAUCAAGGAAUCUCUGACGACGCCAUAAGAUUAAGACUGUUUCCACAUACUUUGCAGGACAAGGCGAUUGAAUAGCUCGAUUCUCAGCCGAUAGCCAGCAUUACUACCUGGAAUGACCUAGCUCAGAAGUUCUGUACUAAGUUCUUCCCACCGGCCAAGAUUGCAAAGCUAAAGCACGACAUAUCUAUCUUCAAGCAAGGUGAAUCUGAAAAUUUUGAUGAGACUUGGAACAGAUUCAAAAAUCUACUAAGGAAGUAUCCACACCACGGGAUUAGCAAGGGACUUCAGGUCCAAUAUUUUUAUGCAGGGCUACUUCCUGCUUUCAAGAGCAUGGUCGACUCUUCAGCUAAUGGGUCAUUGUCCACAAAAACAAUUGAUGAAGCAUUGAAGUUAUAUGAGAUAAUGGCUACAACCUCAACAAUGUGGACCAUGGAAAGAGUAGUACCAAAGAAGACACCAGGAGUUUAUGAAGUGGAUGUGUAUUCAGCGUUAUCUGCCAAGAUUGACUCCUUAUUUCACAAGGUGGAAAGUAUUACCCAGUCAGCUAAUGCAGCGCAGACAAAGAAGGUAAAUUGUGAAGAAUGUGGAACUGAGCAUGUGACAGCAGAAUGUCCGAUUUUGACGCAAGGAAAAGAGCAAGCAGAUUUUGCUCAAUGGGGACAACUUCAGCAGAAUAAUGUGUAUGAAGAGACCUUCAACCCAAGCUGGAAAAAGUACCCCAACUUUUCUUGGAGCAACCAAAAUUAGAACAGGCCACAAGGGCAAUACCAACAGCAAGAGAAGAAGCCUCAAUUGGAAGAAAUGUUCGGCAAAUUCAUGGAACAGACCAACCAAUAAAUGGAGGCGAACAACCAAUUCAUGAAGAAGACAGAACCACACUUCAAGACUAGAAUGCAGCCAUUAAGAAUUUGGAAACUCAGAUGGGACAGAUGGCAGUUGCAUUAACAGGUAGAGCACUAGGCAGCCUGCCAAGAAACACAGAAGUCAAUCCGAAAGAGCAUGCAAAGGCUAUAACAACGAGAAGUGGGGUGGAAUUGCCUGAGAGACAAGUGAAUAAUCUCGUGACAAACAGAGAAGAUGUGUCUCCUGAAGUAGAAGAGAAUUUGGAGCAAGAAGAACAGACAGAAGAGCCAACACCGAGAGCAAAUAAAGGAAACUCAAGGGAUAAAGAAACUGUAGCUGUGAACCCCUAUGAGCCACCCAUACCAUUCCCACAGAGGCUGAAGAAGCAAAAGAUGGAACAACAAUACAAGAAGUUUCUCGAGGUCUUCAAGAAGCUCCAUAUCAACAUCCCAUUCCUUGAAGCACUAGUUCAGAUGCCUAGCUAUGCAAAAUUCCUGAAAGACAUCCUGUCAAACAAAAGGAAGCUAGGAGAUCAUGAGACAGUUAUGCUAACAGAGGAGUGCAGUGCCAGGAUUCAGAGAAAGCUCCCACCAAAAUUGAAAGAUCCAGGGAGUUUCACUGUCCCUUGUACCAUUGGUAAAUUUUAUUUUGAUAAAGCUUUAUGUGAUCUUGGUGCAAGUAUUAACUUAAUGCCAUUGUCUGUUUUCAGGAAAUUAGGAUUGGGAGAAGCUAAAGCUACCACAGUGACCUUACAGCUGGCUGACAGAUCAUUAACACAUCCACGAGGAAUAAUUGAAGACGUGUUGGUUAAAGUGGAGAAGUUCAUAUUCCCAGCAGACUUUUUGAUUCUGGAUAUGGAAGAAGAUAAAGAUGUUCCUUUAAUACUGGGCAGACCAUUCUUAGCCACAGGCAGAGCUUUGAUCGACGUUCAGAAUGGGCAGUUGAUACUGAGAUUGGGAGAAGAAUAGGUUUUAUUCAAUGUCUUCAAGGCCAUGAAAUUGCCAAUAGAGACUGACAGAUGUUUCAGGGUUGACAUGAUCGAUAAAAUCAUUGAAGAGUCAUUUACACUGCAGAAUCCAUCAGAUGCAUUGGAGGCCUACAUUGCAUAUUCUAAAUCCACAAAUUCUGAUUCUGAAGACAUAGAAAUGUGUGCAAGAUUUUUGGAGUCCAACCCACCUUACACGCGGAAACGAUACUUUGAGGAGCUUGGGACAGGGCCAAAGAAAUCAUAGCCAUCUAUUCUGAAGCCACCAAAGUUGGAACUUAAGCAGCUGUCCCCACACUUAAGAUAUGCAUAUUUGGGGGAGUCCAAUACACUUCCAGUGAUAAUUUCAAACAUGGUUAGUGAAGUGGAGAAGGAAAAACUGCUUAGGGUGCUUCGAGAUAACAAGCAAGCAAUUGGGUGGACCAUAGCUGAUAUCAAAGGGAUCAGCACUUCCUUAUGUAUGCAUAAAAUUCUCAUGGAGGAGAAUUUUCGACCAACAGUUGAAAGUCAAAGAAGGCUAAACCCAAACAUGAAGGAGGUAGUAAGAGCUGAGGUGAUCAAACUUCUGGACGUUGGAAUAAUCUACCCAAUAUCAGAUAGUAAAUGGACUAGUCCAAUGCAAGUUGUGCCCAAGAAAGGAGAAAUUACAGUGGUUCAGAAUGAAAAGAAUGAGUUGAUUCCAACAAGGGCGGUAACAGGGUGGAGAGUUUGCAUUAAUUACCGCAAACUAAAUACCGCUACAAGGAAAGAACAUUUCCCUCUUCCGUUUAUAGAUCAGAUGUUGGAGAGAUUGGCAGGCCAUUCCCACUACUGCUUUCUGGAUGGGUAUUCGGGUUAUAAUCAGAUACCAGUUGCACCAGAUGAUCAAGAGAAGACCACCUUCACAUGCCAUUAUGGUACCUUUGCAUACCGAAGAAUGCCAUUUGGACUUUGCAACGCUCCUGCCACAUUUCAGCGAUGCAUGAUGGCAAUUUUCUCAGAUAUGAUAGAGAAAUUCAUUGAAAUCUUUAUGGAUGACUUCUCGGUCUUUGGGACCUCAUUUGAUGAGUGUUUGGAUCACUUGAAUUUGGUUUUGCAAAGAUGCAUAGAAACGAACUUAGUAUUGAACUGGAAGAAAUGUCAUUUCAUGGUUCAAAAGGGAAUAGUCUUGGGACAUAGAGUAUCGGCAAAGGGGAUAGAGGUGGAUAAGGCAAAAAUUCAAGUUAUUAUAAAACUACCACCACCUACAUCAGUAAAAAGAGUUCGAAGUUUCCUUGGUCAUGCAGGGUUUUACAGGAGGUUUAUAAAGGACUUCUCCAAAAUCACCAAGCCUCUGUGCAACUUGCUAAUGAAAGAGUUAACUUUUGAGUUUGAUAGGAAUGUUUGAUAGCUUUCAAUACUCUGAAGGAAAAACUCACAACAGCGCUUGUGAUUGUGUCACCUGAUUGGGAUUUGCCCUUUGAGCUAAUGUGUGAUGCAAGUGAUCAUGCAGUUGGUGCGGUAUUGGGACAAAGAAAGAAUAAAAUAUUUCAUGUGAUAUACUAUGCAAGUAGAACUUUGAAUGACGCCCAAAUCAACUAUGCUACGACCGAGAAGGAAUUGCUAGCUGUGGUUUAUGCAUUCGACAAGUUCAGAUCGUAUCUUGUUGGGUCAAAGGUUAUCGUCUACACAGAUCAUGCCGCUCUGAAGUAUCUUAUGACAAAGAAGGAUGCUAAGCCGAGAUUGAUCCGUUGGACAUUGUUGUUGCAAGAGUUCGAUAUUGAGAUCAAGGAUAAGAAGGGCAGUGAAAAUGUGGUAGCUGACCACCUAUCAAGAUUGGAAUGGGAUGAACCUGAGAUGUCAGUGGACAUCAAUGAAAUCUUUCCAGAUGAGCAAAUUUUUGGAGUAGAAAUAGUCCCAUGGUACGCUGAUAUCGUUAACUACCUUGCUAAGUCCAUCCCGCCACCGAACUAUUCUAGCCAUCAAAGAAAGAAGUUCUUCGCAGAGCUGAAGUAUUACUUUUGGGAGGAUCCCAUUCUCUACAGAAGAGGCGCAGAUCAGAUAAUCAGAAGAUGUAUUCCUGAAGAUGAAGUACCUGAGAUUCUAGAACAUUGUCACUCUUCUGCAUAUGCUGGGCAUUUUGAAGCUUCAAAGACUGCUGCAAAGAUACUACAGUCGGGUUUCUAUUGGCCUACUUUAUUCGGAGACACAUUUGAGUAUGUGAAGAGAUGCGAUAAAUGUCAACGAACUGGAAAUAUCUCAAGAAAAAAUCAGAUGCCACUAAAUUACAUCUUGGAGGUUGAAAUAUUUGAUGUAUGGAGAAUAGAUUUCAUGGGAACUUUUCCCCCAUCAUACUUAAAUCAAUAUAUCUUGGUGGCCGUUGACUAUGUCUCUAAGUGGGUGGAAGCUAUUGCAUUGCCUACUAACGACGCGAAAGUGGUGAUAGAGUUCUUGAAGAAGUACAUAUUUACAAGAUAUGGUACACCAAGGGCAAUAAUAAGUGAUGGGGGCAAACACUUCAUAAAUCGUCAAUUAGAGCAGCUGUUGAACAAAUAUGGGGUGAAACAUAAAGUAGCAACUCCAUAUCAUCCACAAACCAAUGGGCAAGUUGAAGUUUCGAACAGGCAAUUAAAGAGAAUACUGGAAGUUACAGUGAACUCAUCCCGAAAAGAUUGGUCUAAGAAGCUUGACGAUGCACUGUGGGCCUAUAGAACAGCAUUUAAGACACCAAUAGGAAUAUCUCCAUACCACCUGGUUUUUGGAAAAGCGUGUCAUCUACCAUUAGAGUUGGAGCAUCGAGCAUAUUGGGCUAUGAAACAGUUGAAUAUGGAUCUCAAGGCUGCUGGUGAAAAACGACUGCUGCAACUUAAUGAAUUGGAUGAGAUGAGAAUGGAAGCUUAUGAGAACUCAAAGUUGAUCAAGGAGCGCACCAAAAGAUGGCAUGAUUUAAACAUUCAGAGGCGAGAGUUUGAAGUUGGCCAGAAGGUGUUAUUGUACAAUUCUAGACUCAAACUCUUCCCAGGAAAGCUAAGAACAAGGUGGUCGGAUCCCUAUACCAUAACUAAGGUGAUGCAAUAUGGGGCUAUUGAAGCGAGUUACGAGACCAAAGACACUUUCAUCGUCAAUGGGCAAAGAUUGAAACACUAUUGGGGCUGUAAUUUCCCUAAGCAGAAGUCCACUGUGCAACUCAACAACCCAACAUGAAGAAGAUGCAGGAAAGUCGAGCUAUCGACUAUAAACUAGCGCUGGGUGGGAGGCAACCCACUGUAUCCUUCAAUUUAUUUUAUUGCAUUUAUUUUGGAAUUUGUUUACAUUUCGUAUAUUUUAUUAGGUCAUCGAUCAUUCACGCAUGAUAGUCUAGGCACUACACGUGUAUAGUUGCAUGAGUCGAGGUUAAAGAUAAUGUUUUGGGUGUUUGAGUGUGAAGUUAAGAAUUUUGGGGUUCAAAGUCGUUAGUUUUAUUUUUAAGAUGUUUAAAAAAUAAAAAAUAAAAAAAAUAAAUAAAUAAAAAAUAAAUUCGAAUAUGUAGAGUCGAGUCAUUUUUGAAUUUGAAAACCAAUGUAGGAGGGUUUUUUUUUAAAUUCAUGGUGUGUUGGGGGUUAUAAAAAAAAAAAUUUGGGUUUUUGUCCAUGCGGCCGCAUGGACCCCAGCCGAAACAAGGUUGGGGAAUUCCAGUUACACCAUGCGGCCGCAUGGUGUAACACCAUGCGGCCACAUGGUGAAAAAGUGACGCAUUAUUAACCCGUCACUUGAGUUACACCAUGCGGCCACAUGGUGAAAAAGUGACGCAUUAUUAACCCGUCACUUGAGAAACAACCCCUUUUUCUUUUUUUUUUUUUCAUUUUCCUUCCCCCUCCCCCCAAACACAAACAUAUAUUUUCCCCACAAUUCCAAAGAUCAAAAUCAUUCACUAAACAUCAAGUCUUCACACUAGAACCGCAUUUAACUUGUCAUUGCAAUUGAUAUCAAGCAAAUUUUGAAGCAUUCUCUCCAAGUUCAUCUCCAAGGUAAGAAAUUUACUUUCUAUGCAAAGUAUUAAGCUUUUCUUUGAUGUAUUGCCAUUUUCGAAUUGGGUAAAUUUUAAAUUGUGAUUGCAUUGUGAAUUGUGGACUAGCCCUAAGUGUAAAUCAAAAGCAAAGUGAAGGAAAUUUUCAAUGCACACAAGGUGUUCGAUUAAAUGUCAAUGAGGCAUAUGAUUCUAAAUUUUGAACUUUUCAUUUGUGUGAUGAUUUACAUUGUUAAUGUGAAGCAUACUAGAUGAAGAAUCUCAUGGAAUUUCAUUGGAAAACGUUAACCUCACAUAUAUGUGCACAUAACCACAUAAAUUGCUAAGCCAUGUCAACUCACGUCACUAACUUCGUCCAUGUAUUUUCCUAACCAAACGACCUCCGAUUGUAGUGAAAUUUGGAUAUAUGCUAGACCACAAUGAGUACUUUCAUAUGCCUAGACCUUGUCUGGGAAAAUUUUAAUAUUUCUUGAUGAUGCUCGGGGCUGAAGUUGGUCACUUGAUCAUGGGUCGAAUUUUCAAAAAAAUGCAUGUUAGAGUCAUAAUUUUGAGUUUUUCUCAUUAAUGCAAUAUUGAUGUUACAUUGACUUCUAUGCGUUGAAUAUGGCACAUAUUUUGAAGAAAGUUUGGGGGAUUUGUGCUUGACAUCGAUAUUCUUCAUUGUUUCCUUAUUUCACGAAUGUGAUGCACUUCGUUCCUUAUUUGUGAUGCCGCCGAAGAGAACAUCAAAAGGUAAAGAAAAGGUUGGUUCCUCCUCCGGCACAACCCUGCACCAGAGAGCUAGUAGGAGGUGUGCGAAGAUUCUAUGAUGCCGAAAUGUUAGCUCGAAAUGAGAACAUAAAACGCCAUUGGGGCAUGAUACCAGAGAGACAGGUCCGUUUAGAGGAUUUUCCUGAUUUUGAGUUAGCAAAUCUGAUACAAAUUUGUGGAUGGGAGAAGAUUGUAGAAAAGCCACACCCAGUUUAUGAAAGUUUAGUCCGAGAAUUUUAUGCAAAUUUCAAUAGUAAAAUUGAGACUCCGAGUUCUGAACACUUACACCAGACAUAGGUGCGAGGUAAGUGGAUAAUGUUCUCCCCAGCCGUCAAUCAUGACUUCUACAAUCUUAAUUUGGACAAUGUGGUCCCGAUUCCCGUUCAAUUCAACUGGAAUGAAGUGGCAGAGGUUCUCUUGGGAAGAGAGAAUGCUUGGCCCCUACCUACUGCAAAGUGGCAUCAAAUUGAGCUUACUCCCUCCAUAGCCAUCCUUUGGGUCUUCAUGUGCCAUAACAUCGAACCCACAUCGCAUCGGACUACUUUCACGAAUCAAACUACUGGGUUCAUAUAUCAUUUAGUUCGGGGAUGCAAAGUUGAUUUGGCUACUCUUAUUUUUUACCAGAUACACAAUUUGGGAACCUGGGGAGAUAGGCGGUCUUCGAUGAUUUUCCCUAGUCUGAUUAGCGGGAUAUGUCUGGCUGCCGGUGUUAUGGUUGAGGUAGGGGAGAUGCCUGAGAAAUCAAGCCCAUUGAUAAAGCUCACCACAUUUGAAGCUCAGGAACGAGCUAGGGUAAGGAAGAGAGAACAAGAAAGACUUGAGCAGCAAAGACAAAAUGCGCAGGAAGAAGGACAAGCUGCUAAAUAUUUACACUUACCACAAGCCUCGCCACAACCAGUUGAGAUGGAUUCGCAGCUACUUCGACAGAUAUUUGCCACAGUCACUGCCACUGGAACUAGCAGAGACAUACAAAAUCUCCAGCAGAGGUUCGAGACAAUGACCACCAAAGUUGAAAAAGUGCAGAGAGACCUCUACUCCUCCCGAGACUACACAAAAGGUGCUUUGAAUGAAGCCACAGCUGCGAGAAGGGAAGUGGAGACUAUGAACGGUAGGUUGAACAUGAACGCUGGGAGAAUGGAUGGCAUACAGAGGCGUGUGAACGAGACUUGGGAUCGCUUGGGAAAUAUGGAAAGUAAUCUUCAAGCCAUUCAGGCCGAGCAAGCACAGCAGUCCGAGUUGCUAAGACAAGUCCUAUCUCGCUUCCCACCUCCUCCUGAAGAUGAUGCUGCAUGUCCCAGCUUCACACACAACCACCGCAUUGAUCAGGGGAGUUUUGUUAAUCUUUUAUUGCCAACUUGUGUCCAUGUUUUAAAUUCUACCAUUUUAACUUUACAUUUUACAUUGAGGACAAUGUAUUGUAUAAGUUUGGGGGAUGGUAGCAUGUUAAGUUUGACAAGUUUCUGCAUGAUGCAUACUUGAUGAGUGAAUCUUUAUGAACGUUUGCAUGCUUGUGUGGGUUUGGUAGCCUUGCCAACUAUGAUGUGAUUAUUGGACAUGUAUAAGCUAGAAACUGUGGAUUUAGUGCAGGAUUUAAUUUGCCAAUACUUAUUGAUGCACUGCUUGACACUCUUUUACAUGCCACUCAUGUCACGUGUUAAGUUAUUGAUUGGAAUUUUAGAAUAAAUUAGGAGAAACCUAGAAUAACCCUCUAUAACAUUAACCCGUAAUAUCACUUUAAGAUAGUUUGGAGAUGAUUGAGCCAUUGUAGGAAAACAUGGAGAUAAGUGGGGGCUCCGUGCAUGAAAUUAUAAUGUGUGGAUUGUUUAAACCCGAAAGGUGAGAAAUAGGUGAAAGCUUUAAGUGAGGAUGGUUUUAGAAGUCAAAUGUCUAGAAAAACAAAGAGGGGGCAUAAAGUAAAAACUGGAAAAUUAACACUUCUCUCAAAAAGCCUUUAUGACUCGAGCAAGUAAGUCUGUAAGGGUUUAAAACCUGAUGCCCUAAAGCCAACUGGUUUGGGAGUCAUCGGCCUAAAAUUCGUUACAUGGGUCAUAUAGAAAGCAAGAAAAAAGGAGAGUUGAUAAAAAGUCAUCUUGUCGAGCUUUUAUAACCCGAGUGAAUAAGACUACAAGGGUUUAAAACCCGGUGCCCUAAAGCCAACUGGUUUGGGAGUCAUCGCCUAAAGCUCGUUACAUGGGUUAUAUAGAAAGCAAAUGAGAAGAUGACACACACACACACACAAAAAAUAAAUAAAUAAAUAAAUAAAAUAGAAAAAUAAAAGCCCUCGUUGGACAUUUGGUUGAUAGAACUAUAACCUCAAUGCGAAGCAAGUAGCUUAGUUUAAUCCUAAAGGUUGAAGCAAUCAAAAAUAAGGAGAGUCUCUACUUGUUGAUAUGUGAACUUGUAAUGGUAAAAUCUAUCCAAACUAAGAGAGGGUAAGGAUUAGAAUUGUUUAAACUCCUAAUUUUAGAAUACACCCUCGAGAAAUUGUGUGAAAAGAAUACAUUUGGGGAUUGUGUAUCUCUCGAGUGACGUAAGGAUAAAUUUGACCACUAUGGAUCUGGGAUAUACUAAUCAUAAGCUUGAUAUGUUGGCAUGACUUCACACACACACGUUGAGGAUUGCAUUUGAUGAGUAAAGGUUGAUUCAAUUCUUGCACUCUUGAUAUUGAUUCUAUUAUUAUUAAUAAGUCCAAGCCUGAGACACGGCAAGCUAUUAAGCCAUGUUUGUUUAGCAUUAAGUCACUACAUUGUUUGAGGACAAAUAAUAGUUUAAGUUUGGGGGAUUUGAUAAGUGUGUUUUUACACACUUAUUUAGCUCACAAACAUGACUUAAACAUGGACAAAGUAGUUGAAUUAUGACUUAAUCUUGUUAAAUUCAUGCUAUGUAAGUGUUUCUAUGGAAAAGAUGGAAUUCAGAAGAAAAGAGCCGAAAAAGGACCAAAACGGAACAAAGCGAUAGUUCGAGGACCAAGUUGUAAAUAAUCCAUAGAUGAGACGGGAAAUGGAAUGAAGAUUCAAGAGUGUUAAAGUUCAAUCGGAUGAGGAAAGGAGUCAAGAGGUGAAAUAUGGCUGAAGUAUUAUCAAGUAUCAAAUUUCAGGCGAAAAAGUUAUGCUCGUGAUUUUGAGUCUCUACUUGAGAUCCAUUUUUGGUAUAGCAAACAUCAGAAUUUGUAUAUCUUUGAGUUUUCUUCCCAAUGCACUUUGAAUCACUUCAAUCGGAGAUCGGGAGAGAAAGUUAUGACCAAAAUACUGAAAGCUAUCCGGAGGAAAACAUUUAUAACCAUGCGGCCGCAUGGUUAUAAUUCCUUGCGGCCACACAAGGUAUUGCAGGGAUCCAAAUGAGUUGAAAAAUUGAACCAUGCGAUCGCAUGGUUUAACACCAUGCGGCCGCAUGGCUUUAAGUGCGAUAAAAAAUUCUGAAAUCCCGUUUCUAAUUGAAACUCUUUCGGGGCUCCGUGUGGACAUCAUAUAAAAGCCAAAAUUCAUCAGAAAUAGGGCAGAACGUCCAGGGAGAAGAAGAAUACAACUUUUGGAGGCAAGGAACACAAACUUGAAGCGGAUUUCACAGGGAUUCAAGAGGAUUUUCAAGGUUUUAUUCAAGAUUUCAGAUUUGAAGAACUUUCAUACGGGUGUUCUUCUUUCUAUUCAUUAAUUUCAUUUUGUUUUCUGUAAUUAUGAUUCUUCUAGGCUAGGGUUUUAAUUACUAGGUGAUCGAUGAACCGUUGUUUGUUAUUUUAAUUCUAUAUUUCAUGAACUUGAUAUAAAGAUUCGUUGGAUAUUUUGAUUGAUUUACAUGCAUUAAUUUUCUUCCGCAAUUAGUGGCCAAUGAUUGUGUGAGUAUUGAUGACUUGUUUCUUACAUUCGAGAGAAGUGGAAUAGGUUCGAUAAGGUGUAAAUUAACAUAGGGUCCGAUAGGGGAUAGAGAUAUACCCCUAUGCUUUAUGUAAUUCUUAAAUUGUUCACAAAACUACAUGCAUUCUUGUAUGUUUACAUCAUCCAUAGAGAUAUAGGCUGGUGGUGUGCAAGAAUAGGUCUAAUAUAUAUCGAGAGAGUAUAUUGGAUAGAAUUAGGAACACUGAAUUGGAAAAUUUUCAUUGAAUCAUUAAUUUUAAGAAAUUAGGGUUUUUAUAACUUCAAUUGGGGAUUCGUGAUCCUAGUAACUUUAAUUUGAUUCAUUUUAAUAAAUUAGCUUUUAAACUUGCUUAAUUUCAUUUACUUGAGUAUUUGAGUCGUUUAAUUAGAGAAAUUUCGAAAUUAGGGUUUUCAAUUGAAAUUAGGGUUUUUUAGUUGAAAUUAGGGCUUUUUGCACUUAGAUCACAUUUCCACUAAAUUAGAUUCGGUUAAGGCUAGAUUAAAUAGAAUUGAACUACUCAAUCUCUGAGGGACGAUAUUCGGACUUUUAAAAAUCCAAUUUAUUACUUGUUACGAAUCGUACACUUGCGGUAGUUUUAAAUUGAAAGAAUUAUUUCGUGAACAUGUACCACCGCUCACUGCUAGCUAAAUUGAGCCUUGGCUGUUGAGCGGCCAUGUUAAUAAAAAAAAAUUGUUUUAUGAUUUUUGACUAGAUUUUUAAAGCUCUUUCUUUCUAAAACAUAGUUUUUAUAUCCUUUAUAUACUCCACAUGAUUUUGGCAUUGUAUAGAAUUAAAAUAGUAUUAGAGAACACAUUAGAAAUGCAAAAUCAUUGUAAUCUUUCUCCACAUCUUAGUGAAUUCUCACCAUGUACAAAUUUCUUGUGUUGUGAUUGCUACUUCAUAUUUUGCUAUAUAUCUCGUCUAUUUUCUAUCAAGUCGUAUCAGAGCAUAGUUCGAUCAACUCAGUUAAAUGUUUGAUUUUUUGUUAUAACAAUCAUGAAUUAUGAUAUUCCACUUUUGGAUCGCAGCACAAGAUUUUCAUUGUAGUUGGUAAAGAUACAAUCAGUACUCACUCAUAUGGAUUUGGAUGAUUUUUUUUUUUUUAGAUUUGACAAGAUGCCAUCAAAUUGGAUGUUGUAGGAGAAAAGGCAUAAGGACCGAAAGGUCCUAUCAUAGAUUUAUCCUCAUAUUUUGAAUCAUAUUAUUCAGGACAUUUUGUGCUAGAAAACUGUCGUUGCAUUACGAUUAAAGUUGCUGCAAGUCUUCUAUGAUAAAAAGUCUUACUAGCAAAUUACAUUUGAAACAGAGAUUGUAUUCUCAUCGUAUGAUAUAAGGCAUCACUUGAUGAUCUCCUAGUUAUUUUAAGAAGAUUGUCAUUAAUUUGGAGACCUUGAAGGUCAGUAUGAUGAAAAAGAUAUGGGGGAUUUUGUUGUGUUCUUGCCUGCUUUGUAUAUGUCUUUUAGUGACAUGAUCUUAUACAGUCAUGAUAUUCUCACCAUUGAAAAAGUAUUAUGAUGCUCUAUUUUCAAAAAAAAAACAAAAACAAAAAAGAUGAAGUAUCUUGUUAGAUCUGAGGCUCAAAAACAUGAUUUUGUUGUUAAUGGUGACUACAAGAUAGAAAGAUCAACAUCUAAUUCCAGUGAAAAAAAAAAUAAUUAUUGUAAGAAAAGGGGCACAUUGAGAAUGAUUAAAACAAGUUACAAAAUAGAGAUAAAUCAAUUGCUGCUAAUCAAAAGGAAAAAAAAUCAAAAACUUCACGUAAAGCAAGUAUUACGUAAUAUUGAUACAAUGAUGAAGAAAUUUUGGAUAUUUUCGAUGGCAACUCCAAACCUUACGAGAAUUUGAUUCUUGAUACAACUUUCAUUUUCCAUAUGUGUCCAAAUUGAGAUUCGUUUUUAAUAUAUGAAACAGUUUCAAAUGUGUUAUAGUGAUGAAAAAUAAUGCAUCUGGUAAGAUAGCUGGUAUUGGAAGUAUCAGAAUUAAGAUGCUUAAUGGGACUGUUAGGAUACUUGAUGAGGUGACACAUGUUUCAAAUUUAAAGAGAAAUCUUAUCUAUCUGAGUACUCUUGAAUUAAAAUGGUACAAGUACAACAUGAUAGUGGAGUCCUGAAAGUCAGUAAAUGUGCUUGUGUGCUGGUGAAGAGACAUAAACUGUCCUAGUUAUAUGUUUUGCAGGGAUCUACAUAUCAUUGGAUAACAAUCAAUAAAAAUUAAACACUCAGGUGGAGUUGGAGUUUGGUAUAGUGACAUCGAAGUUUGGUUUAGGAUCUAGGAUCUACAUUAAAGAACACAUCUCAGUUGAGUUUCAGAAGUCAAAGGUAAUGUUGCUUUGACAUAUUACCUGUAAUGCCUUAGUAUUCAAUUGCUCGGGACAAAUCUAUGAUAGAUAUUGGACUCUCACAAAGGUACGAUGAAGCUAAUUUAGUUGCUUUUUAUUUAAAUGUGGUCGAAGAUAUCAAGUCUAGAAAAAUCCUUCUACGGAAGCCGAUAAUUAUGUUGAUUCUAUUACAGGUAUGAUUCUACACUGUUUGAUAAUUAUUGUUGAGUUAUUUGUGAUUUUAUUGUUCGUUGUGAUAAUUUGAACAACUUUGGUACUCGAGGUAAUCCUGCAAAACAGUGCUUGGAUCCAGUUUCUGAGGUGGAGAAUUUUUCUAUUGAGGAAUUUUGUUGGAGAUUUUUUUGUUGAAGAGCCAUGUUCUAUUCCUUGCAGUGGAAUUUGUCUCUAGUUGGAGAAUUCUAAAGCUUUGUUCAUUACUGUAGAAUUUGUGUCAAUGUGGAGAUUUGUUAAUAAGUAAACCAAAUUCAUCUAGUAUUUUUGUAUUGUUUGAAAAAGGAGUUAAGGAAGUCAAUAUAUGAAUACAAUUAUGUUGUGGUUGAGAUUGGAAGCUCAAGAGCCCAAUCUUGGUCCCUAGACGCCAAUUAGGUGUGAAAAUUGGAUUUGAAAUAGAGAUUUAAUGCUUGAGCACCAAACGAAGUGUUGCAUUGUCGUUUGCUCACUGUGAGCUUGGUGUCGAGUGCCGCUCGAGCAAUAGUGUUAUCCAAAAGAAUUUUUUCUGAUUAUUUACUCGAUUUUUUAUGCUCUUUAUAUCUUAAAGAUAUUCUUUUGGGUUCUAUAUAUAUUUCACAUGAUUUUGGCUUCAUAUAGAGUUAGAAUAUAUUAGAGAACAAUUAGAAACACAAAAUCAUUGUAUUCUUUCUCCAUAUUUUAGAGAAAUUUCCUCCUCUACCGAUUUUUUGGGUUCUUGUGUUGUGAUUACUACUUCAUAUUUUGCCAUAUAUCUCAUCUAUUUUCUAACAAAGUGUCAUUCACCACAUAAUCCUUUGUGGGAUCAUUGAAGGGGGUAGGGUACAAAUGUAUCGAAUCCAUACUUGAACUUCAUUUUGUUAAACCAUUUCCCCAAAUUAUUAAGUUGACUUUAAUCGAUUUUCAAUUUAGUUUGAAGGUAGGUGAUGUAGCUAUACCUUUGAGAGUAAAAUAAUUGUCUUUGAAUGGAUAAAAAAAUCGAAAAGUUGCAUAAAUCUCCCCAUUGGGAUUGAGCAACUCUUUUUGUAUAAUCACCAGUUACACGAAAAUGUGGUCCGUAAUACCUUCAUCUUUGUUUCCAUUUGGGUAAACAACCAAGUUCCUGCAAAUUAGCACAUCAUUACUUUCACAUUUAAAUGACACCUAUAAUAUUAUAAUUAAGUGCACAUGAGAUAUAUAUGUUGUAGUGUGACCAAAAUCUUGUAGAUAUUGGAUUUGUAACUUGAAGUGGUUUUGGAGAAAUCAACUUAUGAACUGGGACAAAUUAUUGUCGCAUUUUCGCUAGCUAGACGUUCGAGCCAAUUGUCAAAAUUGGAGCAGAGAUUUUUCUCACGCUUUUUGUCCCCUAUCGGAUAACGCCACUCAAGCAAUGGUGUUUCCCUACUUUUCGAGUUCUAAUGCAUUUUGGACUUUUAUUCAUCUACAACUUGGUUUCUAGGGUUUAUAUUUAUACAAAACAGCAUGUAUUGUCAAGAACAAUAGAAAAUACAACAUCUUGAGAGCUUUAUAUUUUAGUUGAGAGUAUUGAGAUCUUGUAAAUACAAUUCCUAUUGAUUAUAGUAAAUUCUUCUCCUCUGCCCGUAGUUUUUUCCCGUCUUGGAUUUUCACAUAAAAUCUUUGUGUUCUUGUUUUUCUUUACUUCACUUCAUUAUUAUCAUAAUCUUCUGAUCAAUUCACAAUAAGUUGUAUCAGAUCAAGGUUGAUUAUUUUGCAUGGCAACGAUAAAGUUUGAUAUUUCGUUAUUCGAUCAAAACAUGAGAUUUACUUUAUGGCAAGUGAAGACGCGAGCAAUUCUCUCAUAGAUGAAUUUGGAGGAAGCUUUACUUGGCUUUCAUAAGAUGCUUUCAACCUAGAUGGAGGGAAAAUGUAGCGUAGAGAUCGAAAAGCUCAAAUCCAAAUUCAUCUACAUCUAUCAAAUCAAGUUCUUUAGAAUGUCAUCAAGGAGAAUAGUGUCAUUGCAUUGUGGUUGAAGUUGGAGCAACUUUUUAUGACAAAGAACUUGAUCAGUAAGUUAUACUUGAAACAACGUUUGUAUUCUCACCGGAUGUCUGAAGGUACAUCAAUAGAUGAUCACCUACCAAUGUUCAAAAAAAUCGUGGCCGAUUUAUAGUGUCAUUGCAUUGUGGUUGAAGUUGGAUCAACUUUUUAUCCUAAUGGGGACUUGUUUAAAACACAUGAACGAGUUUCCAGAGGUGAAGUGAUUAUGGGACGCAACGUGCUUUGUAAAAUUGUCAAAGUUUGUAUAGUCAAAAUCAAAAUGUUCAAUGGUGUUAUUAGUCCACUUAUAGACGUCGGGCACUUUCCAGGACUGAAGCAGAAUCUUAUAUCUUUGAGUACACUUGAAUCGAAGGGGUAUAAAUACAUUGGUGAGUGUGAAGUUUUGAAGGUAAGUCAGGAUGCUCUUGUAGUCAUCAAGGGACAGAAAAACUCUAUGGAGUUUUACAUUUUGCGAGGUUCUACAGUUACAGGUGAUGCAGUAGUUUCCACUUCUUCUAUGACUGAUGAUGAAUCACUAAACUUUAGCAUAUGCGACUUGUGCAUAUGAGUGAAAAUGGCAUGGCAGAAUUGAAUAAAAUGAGUCUUCUUGAUGUGUAAAAGACCAGUUUGUAAGCAUGAAGUCUUCGAGAAAUAGAUUAGAGUUAGAUUUACUACAUGUAGACAAAACACUAAAGCGGCACUUGAGUAUAUCCAUUCAGAUCUCUGGGGAUCAGCCAGGGUACCUUCAAGAUGAGGUGUCUAUUACUUGCUGAUAGUAAUUGAUGAUUUUUUCAUAAAUGUUUGGGUAUUCUUUUUCAAACAAAAUAGUGACGUGUUUGGGAUCUUCAAAGAAUGGGAAAUUAUGAUUGAAAAGCAAACUGGAAAGUAGGUUAAAUGUCUACGUACAAAUAAUGAUUUGGAAGUUUGUUCAGAUGAAUUCAAUAGUUUAUACAGGGUUGAAGGUAUCUUGAGACACUUGACAGUGCCUUAAACUCCUCAACAAAAUGUUGUGGCAGAACAUGGAAAAGGUUUGAUGUAUGUUUUCAAACUCUGGGUUGCCUAAGACUUUUUUGGGCUGAAGCUGCUACCACAACUUCUUUUAUAACAAACCACUCACCCUCAUUUGCCAUUGAGAAAAUGACACCAUAAGAGGUAUGGUCUGGUAAACCUUCUUACUAUACUUAUUUGAAGAUUUUUGGGCGUCCUGCUUAUGUUCAUGUGGAUACUAGGAAGUUGGAGCCUAGGUCUAGAAAGUGUCUUUUUUGGGCACAAAUCAAGUGUAAAGGAAUUUAAAUUGUUGUGUCCAGAGAAGAUAAAUAUUGUGAUUAGUAGAGAUGUAGUAUUUGAUGAACUUGCUGUGGUUCAUGGUUCACCUCAUGGGGAUUAUGAUAAAGCAGAAGAACAAAAACAUUCAACUCAGGUGGAGUUGGAAAUUAGUCCACGGGAACAAUUAAAGGUUAAAGAACAAUCUACUUCAGAACAGUUCAACUUAUAAUUGACAAACAGUAAUACUUCACCUACUUUGCCUAUUCCUCCAUCAGCUCCAUAGUAUUUGAUUGCUAAGGAUAGACCUCGCAGAUAGAUUAAACCUCCACAGAAAUAUGGAGAAGCAGAUUUGUUUGCAUAUGGGCAGAAUCUGGGCACAAUUUCUUCCCAUAAAUGGGCAGAAUCUGGGCACUACAGUGCCUUUUUUAAAUAUUGGUUGCGUCUUCAAGCUUCCUCUUCGUUUCUCUUUAUCGUUUUUCAUCUUUUCUUGCACAAGUUCCUUCAAAUCAUCACUCAACGUUGAUUUUUCACCUACAUGAUAAAAACAACUAAAUUAGGUAAUAAAUCGCUAAUGAAACUCACAAAAAUCUAGGUUUAAUGGCCGAAUAAGUUCAAAAACCCGUACUUAUCACAUCCCAAACUUAAAUCUUUGUUAGUCCUCGAACAAAGCUAUACAACACACAAAUUAAAACCAAACGAUAAUACUAUAAUAACAAACACUCCAACUAUUCGAUAUUUUGUCACUUUGCUUCAAUUCUUACAUUAUGCAAAUAACUUAUGAAAUGUUUACAAAAAUGCUACAACAAACACUUUUAAACUUACACCAUGCUUGACUUAUGUGUGUGUGUGUAGUCAUUUCAAUUCAUCGCAGUACACAAGCUGGUGAUUUUCCCGACACUCAAUGGUCAAAUUUUUCCUUUGUCAUUCUUGGGAUGCGCACUCCCCCAAACUCGAUAUUUUUACUCUAGCCCAAGGUAUCAAGAACUUAAGGUUGUCCUCAAAUCACUUAAUCUUUCCCUCUCGAAUUUGAUUAGUUUGAACCUAUAAAACAAAUUAUAUAGUCAUGUAUGAAUUCACCAAAAAAAUUGAAUGCUUAGACCACAAGCUUUCAUUAGGCAGAUUAUUCACAAUCCAUCAAUCCUACAACAUUAUCAACCCUAGAUGCUUAUAGCAUCCCUUUUCCUUUUCUUCAUUUUUUUCCAGUGUAGAUAGUCCUCGCUCUAGUCCUUAAGGGUAGCCUUCUUCAUUCGUAGAUCGUCUCGUACGCAUUGGUGAUGCAUAGGACCAGAUUACUCAAUGCUGACUCACACUCCUUAGGGUAGACAACUUUUUCCUAUAGAGAUUUUUUUUUUAAAUAUAAAUAGAUGGAAAACAACAUCUAACUUUCAUUUGAAGUCUAAGAACACUCCACAAAAUCAGUCACUGAGUCGGGAAUUAAUGCAAUUCUAAAUAAGUUCUUUCACAGGUUCAACAACCCCCAAACUUAUCCUUUCAUUGGUAGAGUAAUUGAAAAAUUUCUAACAGCAUGGUCAUUUAAGUUCCCUUAACAACCUACAAGUGCAGCCAACAAGUUCGUGUAAUGAAUCUCAUGAACCAAGUGCUCCAUAAAGAGUCAAUCAUUGAAUAAGUGGAUGAAAAUAAAUAACACUUAGCAUUCAUGCUCCCAAUUCAUAAAUCAAUGCAACGCAACACUCAAAAUGCAAUUGGCAAAACUAUCAAACAACACAAACAAGCACAAAAGCAAGUGUUUAACAUGAAAUUUGAGUUUUUAGCUAAAAAAAAUUUAGCACAAAUCACAAAAUUCCACAAAAAAUUUAGCACAUACCACCUCACCCCCAAACUUAAAUUGCACAUUGUCCUCAAUGUACAAGCAAAAAGAAUAGAAAGAGCAAGAGGAUCAAAUAUUCCCCUAAGUUGGUUUUGAUGGUGACGGCUGUGAUGAUGGUUGGGGACCAUUGGUGACAAAAAUUCACAAAAAACAAAAAGAAGUGUCCUCCCUCAUGCUUCUUCAAUCAGAUCGUCCAAUCACAUUUUCUCCAUAUUUUGAGGUAUAAAGGGUUCAAAAUAUAGCUUUAAUCGAUGCUCAUUCACCUUAAACUCUUUAUUAGUCUGCAGGCUUUUGAUUUCUACUACACCAUGAGAAAAAAACAUUAGUAACAACAAAAGGGCCAAUCCAUCGAAAACAUAAUUUACCUAGAAAUAACUUGAGGCGAGAGUGGAAAAGAAGAACUUUUUGUCCGACAACAAAAGCUUUUCUUGAAAUCAUUUUAUCAUGGUACACCUUAGUCUUUUCCUUUUAAAUUCUUGAACUUUCAUAGGCCUCAUUUCGAAUUUCCUCAAGUUCAUUAAGUUGAAGCUUUCUUUGAUCACCCAUCAUACUUGGGUCCAUGUUGCAUUGCUUUACUGCCCAAAAUGACUUGUGUUCAAGUUCAACCGGGAGGUGACAAGGCCUACCAUAAACUAACCAAUAAGGGGACAUGCCAAUCGAUGUUUUGUAUGUCGUCCUAUAAGCCCAAAGUGCAUCGUUGAGGCAGAGACCCCAAUCAUUUCUAUUGGGAUUCAUAGUGUUUUCGAGGAUGGGUUUGAUCUCUCGGUUAGACACUUCGACUUGCCCACUAGCUUGCGGAUGGUAAGGUAUAGCCACUUUAUGGGUGAUGUUUUAUCUCUUCAACAGGGCCCAAAAGGAGUGGUUGCAAAAAUGUAGUCCCUUAUAGCCAAUAAUAGCUCUUGAUGUUCCAAACCUUACAAAAAUGUUGGAUUUAACCAAAUUUACAACCACUUUAGAAUCAUUAGUUCGAGUGGCUCUUGCUUCCACCAUAUUGACACAUAAUCAAUGGCAAGAAUGAUGUAAAGAUUACCAUAAGACGAAGGGAAAGGUCCCAUGAAAUUAAUGCCCCAAACAUCAAAAAUUUCAACAAAAAGUAUAUGUGUUUGUGGCAUUUGAUUUCGGGCUCCCAACGUACCUAUUCUUUGACAUCGAUUACAAGAUUCGCAAAAGAAUAAUGCAUCUUUGAAUAUGUUAAGCCAAUAGAAUCCACUUUCAAGCACCUUGAGAGCCGUCCUCUCUGCUCCAAAAUGUCUACCACAUGCAUAGGAAUGACAAAAGGUUAGUAUUGAAUAAAAUUCAUUUUCAGGCACGCACCUUCUUAUCAAUUGAUCUGGACAAUGUUUCCACAAGUAAGGCUCAUUCCACCCAAAAUACUAGGCCGUUGCCUUGAGUUUUUGCCUUUGAGCAGUGGUCAAGUCAUUUGGAAUUCUCUUAAUGACUAAAUAGUUUAAUAUAUUCGACCAAGGAGAUGUGUCUGUAACGUGAAGCAAUUGUCCAUCGAGAAAGCUCUCUUGCGAUGAGAGAGUUUCUCUCUCAUGGAUAACAUGACUGAGAUGGUCGGCCACAGAAUUUUCACUCCCCUUUUUAUCUUUAAUCUCAAGGUCAAACUCUUGUAAGAGGAGUAUCCAUCUAAUCAGUCUUGGUUUUGCCUCUUUCUUGGCAAGCAAGUAUCUAUGAGCUGUAUAAUCAAAAAGAUAGUUACUUUUAUGCCAAUAAGAUAUGAAGGAAAUUUCUCUAAGGCAAAAAUAAUUGUUAAAAGCUCUUUCUUAGUGGUGUUGGGCAUCAUUCAAAGUUCUUGAUGCAUUAUAAAUAACAUGUGGUGUCUUUCCAACUCGUUACCCUAAAACGGCUCCCAAUGCAAAGUCACUUGCAUCACACGUCAAUUUGAAUGGCAUAUUCAAAUCUGGUGGUUGAAUGAUGGAUGUUGAUGUCAAGAGUUCCUUCAAGCUUUCAAACGCCUUUUUACAAUCUUCAUCAAAAUGAAAAGGCACCUCCUUUUACAACAUCCUGCAUAAUGGUCUUGCACACUUUGAAAAAUCUUCGAUAAACCUUCGAUAAAAUCCCGCAUGUCAAAGAAAAGAAUGAACCUCCCUCAUACUUGUUGGAGGGAGUAAAGAACGAAUCAAAUCAAUUUUAGAUUUAUCAACUUUUAUUUCCUUGGCAGAAAUGACAUGGCCUAACACAAUGCCUUGAUCGACCAUAAAAUGGUACUUUUCCCAAUUAAGUUCUAGGUUAAAAUCCAUACAUCUAUUAAGCACAAGUGUGAGAUUUUUCAGGCAAUUAUCAAAGGUAUUACCAUAAACACUGAAAUCGUCGAUGAAAACCUUUAUGAUGCUUUCAAUAUAAUCAGAUAAUAUACUUAUCAUACAUCUUUGAAAGGUUACGAGAGCAUUACAAAGACAUAAGGGCAUGCAUCAGUAAGCAAAAGUGUCAAACGGUCAAGUGAAUGUUGUCUUCUCUUGGUCGUCCAAAGCAAUCACAAUUUGGUUAUAACUUGAAUAACCAUAAAGAAAACAAUAAUGAAAAUGGCCUGCUAAUCUUUCCAACAUUUGAUCGAUAAAGGGUAAAGAAUUAAGUUUUCUAUAAUCAAUACAAACCCUCCAACCUGUUUGGACCCAAGUUGGUAGAAGCUCAUUCUCUUCAUUCGUCACCAUUUUGAUUUUGGGCUUCUUUGGAACAACUUGGACCGGGUUUACCCACUUGCUAUCUGAGAUGGAGAAGAUAACACCAACGUCUAGUAAUUUCAAAAUUUCUUUCUUCACAACCUCCAUCAUUGGAGAAUUCAAGCGACGUUGUGCUUCUUUUGAUGGCUUUGCUCCAUCUUCGAGCAAUAUUUGGUGAAUGCACAUGGAAUGGCUUAUCACAUUAUUAUCGGCUAUUGUCCAACCAAUAACUAUUUUGUGUUCCUUGAGAACACGGAUAAGCUUGUCUUCUUGAAGUGUUGUGAGAUUCUUUGCAAUGAUCAUCGACUGUGUUUACUCUUCUCCCAAAUAUACGUACUUCAAAUGCUCAGGAAGAGGUUUAAGUUCCAAAGUGGAGGCCUGCAUCACCGAAGGUAAAAGUUUCUCUUUAGAUAUUGGAAGAGUAAUAUAGGAGAUAUUAUACAUUGGUGGAAUACUUGGUAGUGACUCAAGUGAUGCCACGGUUUCAACAAUAUCCUCACACAAUUGUAGAUUCUUGCUCAACCCGAUGAGAUUGUUAACAUCAAUGCUUUUAAUCAAAGUGGUAUCCAAUGCAUCUUCAUUUGAUAAUUCAAUUUUUUUUUGUACUAAUGAAUCCAUUAUAUCAAUUGAAAAACAAGCGUGAACAUCACUAGGAUACCUCAUUGCUUCAAAGAUAUUGAAGCGAAUAAUCUCACCAUCAAACUUCAUUGUCAAAGUACCAUCAUGUAUGUCUAUCUGUGUACACUCAGUCCUCAUAAAUGGGCUUUCCAAAACCAAUCGUAGCGAUAGAGAUGUUGAUUUAUCUUGCAUGUUAAGAACAUAGAAAUUUGCUGGAAAAAUUAAUUUAUUUACCUACACCAAAACAUCCUCCAACACACCCUUUGGAAAUGCAUUGGAUCUAUCAGCAAGUUGAAUAAUAACACCGGUUUCCUUAAGUGAUCCCAAAUUUAAAGAAGCAUAAAUAGAAUAUGGUAUGACAUUAAUAGAUACUCCCAAAUCUAGCAUUGCUUUUUCAAACCUAUUGUUACCAAUAAUGCAAGUGAUGGUAAAACUUCCUGGAUUUUGGUAGGAGUUUCUUUUGCAAGACCUCCGAGACAUUUUUCCCUACGCUUAACACUUUAUUAUCUUUCAACCUAUGCAUGUUAGUGCACAAUUCCUUGAGAAACUUCACAUAAUGGGGCACUUGAUAAAUGGCAUCCAAAAGUGGUAUGUUCACUUGAACCUUACGAAAAUCCUUCAAUAUUUCCUUCAAAUGUUCAUCCCUUUUGGACUUUGCAAACCUACUAGGAAAUGGAGGGGAUGGAACAUAAGUAGGAAUGAAACUUUUAGAAUCUACCUUAGAUCCCGACGUUGGAGUCGUAGCUUCAUCUUUCUCACAUGCUAAGUUCUUCUCUUACGUUGACUCCUCGACAUGAUCUUUCAUUUUCCUUGGUGUCUCUUCCAAAAGCUUUCCACUUCUUAGUGUCACGGCACUAGCAUUUUUUCUCAAGUUGACUGUUUAAAAAAGAAGUUUUCCCAAUCCUUGAGCAUUCAAUUUGCCCACUGUGUUGGCUAAUUGACUCAUUUGUGUCUCCAAGUUCUUUAUUAAGGUUUUUAUCUCUUGUUGAAAUUGCAUUGUACUAGAAGCUAAGUACUUAACCGUAUCUUCAAGAGACAUCCCUGAACUUUGAGAUGGAGUUAGUUGAAGUGGUUGAGUGUGUUGUGGUUGCAUUUGUUUUUAUUGAACCCCAAGGGAUGAUUAAAUUGUGAUUGUGAAGCUAUGAAAUGAUUUUCUCCACAACUGAGAUUAGGAUGAUCUCUCGAUUCAGGAUUAUAUGGGUUAGCAUAUGGAUAAUAUCUAUGUCUUUGUUGCAUUGGAAAUCUCCCAUUGGCAUUUGCUUGCUCUGAGGCUCCUUCCUAUAGUGCCGGGCAUGCAUCAGUAGGAUGUCCCAUAAUAGAACAAAUUUUGCAUGCUUUUGCUUGUUGCAUUGUCCCAAGUGCCAUUUGUUGUACAAGAGAUAUAAGACCGGCUAGUUGUCGUUCAAUUUGAGAGGUUACUCCUACCCCAAUUGUUUAACCGAUGCUGCUUCUCUACUACCAAAUUGUUGUGAGUUUGCGACCAUGUUGACUAUCAAAUCCCUAGCAACUACCAGUGUUUUAUCCAUUAAAGCUCCACUGCUAGCCACAUCAAUCAUACUUCUCUCCAUCAGAAGUAAUCCUUCAUCGAAGUAUUAAAGAAGUAAUUGCUCACUGAUUUGGUGGUUUGCAGAACUAGCACAUAGAUUUUUGAAUCUCUCCCAAUAUUCAUCGAGAUUUUCCCUUUGAAAUUGUCGAAUGUUACAAAUUUCUUUCCUGAUGUUAAUAGCCUUUGAAGCUAAAAAAAUCUCUCCAAAAAGAGUUUUUGCAUUUCAUUCCACAUGGUCAUAAGACCGGGCAACAAAUAAUAAAGUCAUUCCUUAGCAGUGUCUGCAAGAGAGAAAGAAUAUGCCCGCAAUUUGACUUGCUCUUCCAAAAUAUCUUUCGGUUUCAUGCUUGAGCAAACCAUAUGAAACUCCUUCGAAUGCUUAUUGGGAUCUUUUCCGAUGAAUCCAUCAAAUGUGGGGAGUAGAUGAAUCGUUCUAGACUUUAGUUCGAAUCCUACCUCUAUUUGAGGAUAUUGAAUGCAUAGAGGUUGUUGAACAAAAGUUGGAGCUGCAAGUUCCUUUAAUGUUCUAUUUCAUCCGCCAUUUCAGGCUCUAUGCGUUCGGACUCACUUGAGGAUUCAAUGCUCAAUUGCCAUAGAUGUCUAGUUUGAGAAAUUUCUUCUCGACUUUUUGAUUUGUCGGCCUCUUUUCUUGAUCAUAGGUUGUAGUGUAUUGUAGGCUUUUUGCUCAUUUACAACCUAAACGACAAAGAAAAUAACAAAAAGAAAUAGAAAGCAACAAAAAGAAAAUAUUGCGAUUAACAAAUUGAUAAUACAAUCCCCAACGACACGGCUCCAAAAUUGAUACGUUCCAAAUGACAUUAAAAUUAAUUUUUCUUACUUAACUUAAAUGUGUUGCCUUGAGUAGUAAUAUGGCAAGUAAGGGUCAUUUCUAACAUAGGAUUGAUUCAAUUAUGUAAAUUGCACACAAAAAAGUAAAAUUUAAAAUAAUAUAUGAAAUAGAUUAAAUGGAGGAGGGACGUUUGGUUCAUUGAACCAAGGAAAGCAAUAAAUUCAAAAUAGAAAAGGCUUGAAAUUUGAAAUAAACAAAGUGGUUCUUGAUUGACUACAAGAAAAUGUGAUUGAGGGGUAUUUCAUUACCACGAGAAUGAUUUUUCUAGCAAUUACCACAAAAGAUUUUCGUUCUCUAGAUUAACAAUAAUUUGAGAAUAAUUGCAAGCUCAAUUAUCUCAAUCUCUUCUUACAUGUUAAUUGAAUAAAAUAAGCUCUUUACUCAACCCUAUUCAUUAAACAGCCUAAAACAAGUUCUCUAGAUUUAAUUUGACAAAUGCAUUACGACAAAAGAGAUGAAUUGAAUUAAGGGCAAACUUGCAAGCUCGGUUUACUAACUUAAGUGUUAGUCCACAUACAUUCAAUUGAAAAUUCUUCAUGAUCUAUCGAAUUGUAAUUGCUACAAGGUUUUAGAAUAAAUAGCUAUUACAUACUAUAAAUCCCAAAGUAGCAUUAAUUGAAACAACUCAAUCAUUUAGUUGUACACUUAAACAAUCAAGAAGACCAAUAUUAACAUUUAACACAAUGGAUUAAACACAUUAAUCAAGAAAGCUAUAAAGCACGAAUUAAUUGAAAAUCAUAACUCGGUUUGAAAUAAUCCCCAAUUUUAAAUAGGUUUAGUUACCCAUGAAAUAUUCACAAAUAACCAUCAAAUUCUUACAAAACAUUGAAGGAAAAUAGGAAAAAGAAAAACUUACGGUCUGCUCUCUUUGCCGUUUUUGGGCUGUUUUCGAUUUUUCAAAAUAGCAAAUACGCGUUCUCCUUCCCAUUUUCAAAAAUGAAUUUUGGAAAACAAAAUAAAUAAAUAAAUUUGUACAUGACACUCAAAACACCUAAAAAGAUGUUUUGAGUGUUUUCUAGCAAAAACCUUGUAUAUUUACAAAACAUGGAAAACGCUCAUUCAGACGUCUCUCUCAUUUUCGCUUAUCUCAUUUCCACAUAUCCCACAAUCUCCGCAUCUCUCUCUCCUCCCAUUCCUUUCCUUUCCCUGUUUGCAUCUCACUCUUCUGACUGCGCCGUGGGUUUGCAUCUUGACUCUCUACACCGUGCGUGAGUUGAUGUAUCGUCUGCGGUCUGCUGUGAGUGGUGCAUCAGUGGUCUGCCAUCUUCAAAGGUAUGUAACAUUGUCAUUUGAUUUCAGUUGUUUUCUUCUGGUGUUAGUGCUUUAUUUCGGUUCCAUGAAUUCUGAUUUAGGGAUUCUUCAUUCCUAUAAUGUUUUCUGAUUUAGGGUUUUUUGAUUUAGGGAUAUAGGGCUUUUUAAUUAACAUAAAUCACAGAAACUCUGAGCUUUUAUAUUCUUGAAUUCUUAUUUGUUUCUUGAAACCCAUGUAUUUUGUUCUUCAAUUUGCUUCUUCUUCAAACGGCAAAAUUUUCUUCGCAUUUUCAAAUUUCUGCUUUUUCCCCUCAAUUUUCUGUUCUUAAUGAGAAAAUAGAAACCGUUUUUCUUUGUUUUGUGUUAGAUUGUAAGAAUAUUGUCUUUGUAUUAUUUAGAUUGAAAGUACAAUUUCCUACACACAAUGUAUAAUUUGACAUUGUACCACUUUUGAUAUUCUGCAAGAGAAACAUGGACCAGAAGUUUGAUAAUCAAACUUUGAUAAUUUACUCUUUCAAUACCAUGCAUUCUCCAAUGGUGUUAACGACCAAGUUUGUGACAUAUAUUCAAUGUUCACGUGCUUUAGUUUUGUUGUUUUACAAGUUAUAAAUUAAACACUUGUCAUGUUGAGUCUUCACUAGCUUCUAAGCACCUUAAUUAAACCAUUGUUCUACUUGUUUUUGGACCAAAGAAAGAGAAGGCAGAAAGACAUCUAUGCAAAUUGUCUUCGUCUGGCAUGUGCCGAUAGAAAUGUCUUCUUUUCCAUUGUGUCUCUUUGUUCAGGCCUUUUUUUAUUAUAAUAAUUUUUUAAGGAUUGUUGGGAGGGAUUAAUUAUUGUUGCAUCAAACUAGUAUUGUUCGGGUAAUAUUUAUUGAUUAGCUAAUACUAUUAAUUUUUUCCUGGUUCAUGAUAAAGUAAAAUCAGGGCUAAGUUUGCUUUAAGUGCCAUUUUAGUUUUUAGGCAUUAUAGUAUUGUUGAAAUUCUAGAAACUAAAAAAUAAGAAACUUUUGAAUGACAUGGUUGGACUCCUUUUUCUUAUCAUUUGUAACUUUCUACAUGGGAUGACAGAAACUACAAGAUGGAAUUUGUUAAAGUUGGUUGUUUGUUUUCAAAACAGUUUGUGUCCACAGCAUAGAUGCACAAUGCAUGUUAGAAGAGUAAGAAUAAAGGUAAAAAUAGCCAUUGGAAUUUGAUAUAGUACAUCAAAGGUGGCCAAGUAAUUGGAGGAGUUGUGAAAUUUGGUCAAUCAUUUUUAUAUUCAUGUUCUCUCAGUUUGCUUUAGCGUAAGUUCCCUUUAUACUUCUAGUGCCUCCUUUUAGUCCUUGUUUCCGUGGUCUUCUAGAUCUGGGUUUUCAUUGAAUACACUGUUUUAGUGUUCUUAAUGGAGGCUAAAUUAUUUUGAUUAAAAUUAGAAUGAGAUCUAUUUAAUGUUAAUAGUCUAAUCUAGCAAGUUAUUUUGAAGAAUAAGAGGUGAUAUACCUAGAAAACAUCGAAUGAGUGCCUUAAAAUCCUUUCCAUAUAUACCUUACUAUACAAGGCAUUGAACCUUGCCCCUCCCCUCUCAACAAGAAAAGAAAAUAGAAGCAGCUUUUACCUGCUGCUAAACAAGAAAAAAAAAUAAAAGAACUAGAAAAUAAAAGAGAACAGUACCUCUUAAUCAAGUAAGUUUUUGGUAUGGCAUGUAUCAUUUCUGCAUGGAUUUUUUAGAGCAGUACCGCCUAAUCAAGUAAGUUUGGUAUGCUUUUGCUAUUUGACAUUCCACUUGAAGACUUCUGAGCAAUUGGUGGUAUGUGACUAUAAUUAAACACAUUAUUUGAUGAUAAUUUGAUUUAUAUCAAUAUGGCUUCAACAUGGGUGGUCACAAAGUAAGGAAUAAGGAACCAGUGUCAUGGUCAGAAGAGAAUGAAUAAGCUUUUAUCAAAAUUCUUUACGAGAGCGUGUAAUCAAACGCAAUGCAAUGUUCUAUAUUCACAAAAGACAAAUGGGGCAGGAUCAAUGAAACCAUGAUAGCUUCAACAAAAAUGGAUUACGACAUAGAUAGAUUGAAGGGAAACUAGAACCGCUUGCGUAAGAUUCAUCGCAUGUUCUCUGAACUUUUGGGAUAUACAGGUGUUACAUGGGAUCCAAAUACUAACAACGUUAAUGCUGUAGAGGAAGUUUGGCAACACUUUUAUACGGUACUUUUAAUUUCAAAAGAAUAUUUGCGUCCUUAUUUUUUGUCUUAUCAAUUUUACAAUUUUGUUUUUUUUUUUAAAAAAUUGACAAUGUGACUUCUUUUUUCAAUGUUAGAUUAACAAGUCGGAUUACAAGUUGUUCAAGAGGGAAGGAUGUAAGCACUACCACGCUCUUGGAGAGAUAUUUAGCGGGAAACGGGAUUGGAUUUCCACUCAUAAGAAAGGAAGGUUAGAUAUCUUUGACAAGGUUGUAUUUUUGGUUAACAAAACUACUUUCACUAUGCAUAACCAAUAAAGUCAACCAUAAGUCAUCGCUACUUGAUCGUCUCGAUAUCAGGCUUGGUAUUGGCUCUGAUCCUGAUAUGAUUUAUGCAGUUCUGUUUCUCUAAAUCUUAUAGUUAGAUAAGGAAAUUUCAAGUACCAUUGGAGAUGUAAGAAAGAGAAGAUUUCCCAUAGCAGAAUCGUGGAUAGGGAACUAUACUACCAACCUACUCAAUUUAUUGUAGAAAUUUUUGGAUCAAUUAUUAGACCAUGCUCUUACCUCACUGUCAAGCUAUCCGAACAAGAAAAAUGGAUACCAACCCGGACUUGCAAGAGAGCUACUACAGCUACUGGAGGAUUAGACAGUGCCUCUACUCAGCUUCCAAACACAUCAGAGGAAGAAUGACAGCUAGAAGAUGAUUUUUUGAAUAGGGGAGUGAAUAUACGUGCAGAAAAUGAUGGUGAAGUCGAUGUGGUUUCAAAUAUUCGUCGACGUAACGAAAUUGAUAUAUCAGGUGAACGACAACGUAAGGAACCUAAGAUCGGUAAAAGUGAUAAACUCGAGGCUUGCAUGGCACAUUGGUCAUCUAAAAUUAGUUCGAGGAAUGACGAAAUUGAGCUUAGAACACUUUACUUAAAAGAAAAGCUUGCAAAGAUCCAAGGAAAAAUCAAGUAAUCAAUCAAAUAGUGAAGUAAAUAGUCCGGAUACUUAUUCAAAUAUUAUUUGCUUGGACAUCUUAAACAAUAUGGAAGGGGUGUCCAAUGAGGUUUAUAUGAAAGCAAUAAAGGCUUUUAAAGAUCUCAAUUUUAGGGUGUCAUUUGUAAAGAUGCCAAAAGCAAGGAGAGGACCUAUCUUGGAACUACUUUGACGUGAGUGUGGUGUUAAUUUCUUCAGUAUUGUGUUGUUUUAAUUUGUGACUACUUUGUGUUGUUUUGAACUAUCUUGGAACUACUUUGUAUUGUUUAAAUUUCUCUAGUAUUGUGGUAAUGUUGUACUAUUUUCAUUUACGAACAUAGUGAUGUUGAACAUCGGAUAAUUGAUGUUAAUUUUUCUUCAGUUUCUAAAUGCUUUAUUGCUUGUUUUAUUCGAAAGAAUGGUGGUUGACAUGACUUAUGAUAAUUAUUUUGGUUAUAUCUUGUUCACAGUAUGACCGGUCAAUCAAAUGUGGAUGAUAAUGUGAGUAUUGAUGAUUCCAUUGAUGAAGAUUCGAGUGAUGAUGAUUUGUUAUAAAUGGAUGAUUUUGACGUAAAUUUUGGUGAUUUAAUGCUUAAUUACUUAGUUGCCAACAAAGCAAGUACCAUUGGUAGGAGACCUUGUAAAACAUCAUUACUUAUAGGAAAAUGUACAUUCUAGAAAUUAUGAACCGACAUCCGGACGUGUACUAUCAUAAUUCUCGCAUGUAGAAACACGAUUUCAUGAAUUUUUGUGAUAUUUUGAAAGAGAAAGGGUUGUUGAAAGAUGGGAAAAAAGUGAGUGUCGAGGAUGGUGUUGCUAUAUUUCUGAUGAUUGUAGGGCACACUACAUGAUACAGUGUUAUUGGUGAUAGGUUUCAGCAUUCCAACAAUACGAUACACAAAUGUUUAAAACGAGUUGUAAGGGAUGUUUGUUCAUUUGGCACAAAGAUAAUCGUUCGACAAAUCAAGACGUUGUGCAUGAGCAGAUUUUGCGCAAAUAUCCUCUCUUUAAGGAUUGUAUAGGAGCAAUAGAUGGAACACAUGUUGCAGCUUGGACUUUUGCAUCUAGACAAACAUCUUUUCGAGGAAGGAAAUCUAAUGUAACAAAAAAACGUGAUGUUGACAUGAUAUUUUGAUAUGAAAUUCACAUUUUUAUAUGACGACUAGGAAGGUACUGCUAAUGAUUCACGAGUAUUCGUCAACGCAGUUAUAAGAAGGUCGAACAACUUUCUAAUGCCACGAGGAGGUGUAUUCUUAUACUUUAAAUAAUUAUUGCAAAUACAUUUACAAUGUCUCACUAUGUAAGCCUUUUUUUAUUUUUCAGAUCAAUUUUACCUUGUUGAUUUUGGAUAUCCAAACAUGCCUAGAUUUCUUGCCCCUUAUGGAGGCCAAAGAUAUCAUCUGCGUGACUAUGUUGAAUGAGGAAGACUACGUGGGAAGGAAGAAUUGUUCAACUAUAGACACUCCUCGUGUCGUAACAUUAUUGAAUGUUGCAUUGGAGUUUUAAAGGCAAGAUUUUCUAUUUUGAAGCUGAUUACCAAUUAUCCAUUUAGUAGGCAAAGACAAAUCCCUAUGGCAUAUUGUGCAAUAAACAACUUCAAUAAUCAAGAGCACGCUUUAGAUAAGUUAUUCGUAGAGUAUUCAGAGGAGAAUAUGGUGUUUCCAGACAUACCAGAGUCAAGUUAAAAUCAAGAAGUCAUACAUUUUGAUGCUAGUCAAACAACUCAAAUAGGACAAGUCAGGAAUCAAAUUGCUACACAAAUGUGGAAUGACUACUCAAGACAUCGUACAUGAUUUCGUGG